ACUUUUUUUUUUUAUAAAAACUUCUAAAAAUAGCAAUUCAAACGAGUUUGAUCUUUUGCACAUGACUGCACCAAACACUUGAUAGGUUGAUUAAUUUGAGCCCCAAAGUGUCUUAAAUGGGCUGCUAAGUACCCCUUUAAUCCAAAACAUUCGCAUCAAUACUAAAGUAAGACUGCUUGGGGGCUUAUCUUAAUAGCCCACAUGAACAAUCACAUGUAAAAUGUGUAAUCUUUGCAUGGAUUAGGCAGACGCGGUGACCUGUGCUAGCUUCCAAAGCUGUUAUCUUUAGUAGAGAUGGUAUUUCCAUUGAUUAAACAAGCUCCUAACAAAAUUUGACAAAAAUAAUUAGUUCCGUUUUCUCAGAAGUCUGUAAACAGACGGUAGUUUGUGUUUAACGUGUAAGUGUAGCAAAUCGCAAUGUACCUAAUGUGCUCAAAUUAAUGAUCGUGGACGAAAUUUUUUUUUUUUUUUUUUGGGUGCUUUCUUGAUCUCCACUAGGAACCUAAUUUGAGUAGCAUGGUGAGUGGAAAUCCACCUGCUGACGAAAAAUUGGAGAAAACAUUUGUAUUGUCGUUGCUGUAGAAUUGACAACGGAUAUAUGGAAGAGCUCAAGAAGUGGAGAAAGAUUCCAUAAUCUUUGAAUGAUGCUAGUGGUAGAAGGUAGAACUUGUGUUGUAAGCUCAAUUUUUUAAGCAAUGGAAUACGCAAAUAUGGAACUGUUUUAACUUUUCCUCUUCAGGAGCCCAACAUUUUUUAACAUUUGUUAAAUAUACGCAAAUAUAAAGAAGGUCGAAUAUUUUCACUCAUUUAACAUUUGUGCCUAGACUUUAAAAGAAAAUGAAUAGAUUUAUGCGCCCAACAGAAAUUGAAUGUAUGACUGAAAAAUGAACUAAACUAUAUUUGAUAUUUGAGUUGAGUUCGACGCGUCAUAAGAACUAGAUUCAAAUUGGUUCACUAAUUAAUCAAAUCAAAUAUAAAACAUUUUUCUGGAUUUCGUAAACUUUCGAACUCAACUUGAAUUUAGCUCGAUAAGCCAAAAUUUGAUAUCUUCAUAUAAAAAUUUCAAAGCUACCCGAGUUUGAUGUGAACUAAGUUUGACUAAAACUUGUUUAAGUUUAGCAUAAUAAAUAAAUAAGUUUUAAACACCAAAGUGCACCAUUUGAUUGGACACUACUGUGUCUCUAGUUUAGUUUAAAUAAUGAUUAAAGAGAUGAGUUGAACGAGACAGAGGAAAGAAUAUAAGAAAAAGGUUUUAAAUUCGAAUUCCCCGCUUACACUUAAAAAAAAAAAAAAAAAAGGGGUAAAAAUAUAAUGAAGAAAGUUUUCAAACUUUUCAACGUGGCUAAAAAUAUUGAUGAAAUGGGCCCUUAAAUUUUCUUUCUUUACGAGUUCUAAACUGGAUUAAAGAACCUGAAGACGUGGGUUCCGAAAAUGUCCAUUAUUGGGAAAUGAAAGGGAUUUGCGAAAUCAUGGCCUGCGUGUGCUUAUUCGCUGCCUAGCAAUUUGUGAAGUUAUACACUAACAUGUGAACGAUAUUAGACACGUCAAAAGCUAUUCUGGAUAGUGUUCCACACAGUUCUUUCCCAUAAACCCCAGUUUCAAUUGACAAAUCCAUCACCAUGGCAUAUUGAUUAUGAAAGGAAAACGAACACAUGGUCUCCAAAAAAAAAAAUUUUUUUUUUAAAAAGAAACAACAUUGUCAUUACCUAUAUAUAAUUUUUUCGACACUAAUUAAAAAAAAAAGGAUUAUAAAUAGCAAGUAUAUAGAUCUGAUUAGAUUAAAAGGAUAAUCUGACAUCUCUUUUGUUUAUUGCAAAUGCGAUUCGAAUCUUUAAUUUAUAAUUUAAAAAGAAAUUUAAUCCUUUUUUUUUUUUGUGCCAUUGAGCUAAAGCUCAGUGGUUGCCAUUACCUGUAUGUAUGAUGGGCAGAAGGAAAAUGAGCAUUAAUGAAAAAGUCCAAGUGAGCUGCAAGAAGAGUCAGAGCUAUGGCAGUCUUCUUUCUAACAAGAAUUGUAUACGGCAAGAGCAGUUCUUUUUGGCUGGUACACCCACCCACCCACCCUUUUCAACCUCAAAUUACGCGAAAUAAGAGGGGGGGAAAGGGGCUAAUCAAACAUGUGUUUGUGGGAAUACCGGUCUUUUUUUUCCUCCCUCUCCUUGCUAAUUAAGAAUAAAAAAUUCACAGAGUCCAAAGUUUGCAGGAGGGAUCCAAAUAUUAGUACUGUGUUACUGCUAAACUAGAUUCCUGUCCUAUUUGUUGUGAUUUGCUGUGGAGGUGGUGCCUAAUCCACUUUUGUUGAUACGAAAUACAAGGUCCAAAUUUCGCCUUCGGCAACCUAAUGAUCCGAUGUACCUCUUUUAACUCUUGGCGUCCGUUCAAUUUCAUUAUGUUGUCUAAUCUGAUUUUUGCUGUCUAUCCUUUGCCAAAUCGAGAUACAUGUUGUGUCAAACAAGGUUUUCAAAAUCGGGAUCCUACCUGGGAUCUUUUUUUGGUUUGUAGGAUCGGAUCGUAGAAUCGGUAGAUCCUACAAAAAAUGUAAUAAAUUAUCAUAUUUAUAAUUUUUAAGUUUGCAAUUCAUAAAUAUAGUAACAAAUAAUGUAAUUCAUGUGCAAUCAAUAUAAUUAUAUUGUUAAUUAAGGUUAAUUCAUUUCUAAAGGCUCUAAACCAUAUUAAUUUAUUAUAAUAAAAACACAAAACACUAAUUCCAUGUGAUAACCUAUAACAAAGAUCAUUUAUUCACUUUAGUGAAUCAUAUGAGUCAAAUUUAAAGAUUCAUCAAAUUUUCUAGAUUUGGAAUUGGGCUUAAUUAUUUACAUGGAUUUAAAGUACUCUGAAUAUAGUUUACAACGCAACAAACGACACUCAAUUUCAAAUUUUCUACACAAAGAUAUAAUCAAAAUACUAAAAUUAUUAUUUAAUUUAUUAAAAAUAAUAGAAUUGUAUCAGGAUCGUAGAUUGGAUCGUUAGUAUUGAUCCGCAUCGUACGAUCCUCCUAACAACUAUGGUGUCAAAAGCCUGCACCAAAAAUUGAUAGUGCUUAGGAAACCACUGAGGACUCCCUCUCAACCCACCGAAAAUUCCAAAGCCUGGGAGACAAAUUAGGUAGUUUUGAUGAGGAAAUUAUGAGACACAAAAAUCCGAGGUUCGUGCUUGUACGUAUCUACCAAAAGAUCUUUGGCCUCUCAUUUUAUGGAGGAAUUUAUUGUGGCCGUUUAGUUUCCCUUUCAUGGCUCCUUUCCUUUAGGGUUUUGUUCGGACAAAUUGAUUGCACCUGCGUCCCUAGCAAUUUAUCACACAAUUAUGAUUUAUGUUUCCUAAUUCGUAAUGUUAAAAUAAUUUCCUCACAUGUUUUUUCAACACACCUUUCAAUUUUUUUUCCUAAGAAAAAAAAGAGUAAAAUGGGCUGAGAGAUUCUCAACAAACCACAAUGUAAUUUUAAAAUGAGAGUAAGGACGACUGAUUAAUGAUUUGAAUUUGGUACAAAAACCAAAUGAAUACGUAUAGACAAAACCUGCAAUAGAUGUACGAGUAACACGGGAUUUUCUUUUGAAAAGAAAAGAGCUUAUCAACAUCAAGACAGAUAUGAAAUCCAGUACUAGCGCUGUUACAAACAACAAGCAACCUAUUAACUUUGUUACUAAUGUUUUCAAAUUCAGAUUGAACUACUAGAAAUCGGUCAAGCAUCCGGUUCGAAUCUCCCCUAAAAAACGAAUAUAAAAAAUUCGGUCAAUUUUAAUCAAAAAUCAGAUUCAACCGGACUACAAUCUUGAAACUGAAAGAGGGAACUCUUACAAUUGGACCAAACUAGGGGUAUGCCAUAAACAAUUUCUUAGUAUUUGAGAACUCGGGCCUUCUAACCAACUCCUCUAGAGGGAGUUGGCCACCAUAUUAAUUGUAGGAUGGGAGGUCAAGGAUUCAAACAUUACCUUUCAUCAAUCAAUGUGGCUCAAUACGAGAUUGUCCUAAAUUUAUACAGGUGUGUGAUGCAUCCGUUUAGUCUGAUAGUGAUUCAGUUUCCCGUCAGAUUUUCCUGUGAUUCAGUUCCAUAGGGUAGGUUCCUCCCUUAAAAGUUAAAAGUUAAAAGUUAAAAAUAGGAGAGGGUUAGACUAGAUUAGAUUAAAUGUGCUGUUACGGCGAAAAGGUUCUCACCACAAUGCCACCUGUCAGUUCACGAAAGCCUUCAAUGCAUCCGCAUUUUUUCACCAGAAUAAAAGAAACAACCUCAACUUUCCCUUCCAUUCAAAAUCCAGGCAAGCAGAAAUAAAAACUUGUGGUCACAAAAAUUUCACAUUCUUUAAUCAUCUCCCCAACAGUCCCUGCCAUAUGUUUGUGGUCCAGAAAGCCCUCAUCCACGUCUAAAAAUAGUCUUCAAAUUAGCCCUUUGCCUUCCCCCCUCUCUCUCUCUAAAUAGCAUUAAUCAAGUACACGUGGAGGGCUCGAGAAAUGAGGGGCGGCGAGUGGUGUUGACGUGGCGAAAAGUGCAAAAAGAAAGUUGAAAGUCACACCUGAGAAGGAAAGAGAGAGAAGAGGAGAAAGGGCAAGAGAGAGGUGGAGUGGACUAAAUACUAAUGGCCAACAAGAAAUGUACUACUCUCCAACUUACUAGAUGACAUCUCAUCAUUAUCUCAUCCUCAUCCCACAAAACAGACCACACCCACACUUUUUUUUCUUUAUUGUAAUCCACAACUCUUGGCUUCCCAAAUUUCUCUCCUUCUUUUUUUCUGGAUUAUUUAUUUAUUUAUUUAUUUUUGUGAUUCUAUAUUUUAGAGGAUGCAGAUAUUUUGGGAAUUUUUCCUAGUCACAAAAAAAAUAUCCAUGUCCUUGAUUAUUGCAGCAAAUAUUUUGUGUGGGAUUUUUUUUUGUGUCCUCCUGUUCUAGGCUUGUGGACAGGUGGGGUUCACACUUCACACUAUACGACGUUUUGAUGUUGGGGGCUUGCACUUUGUCAAAUGGGAUUGGACGUGGGAAUUUUUAUACUUUACUUUUUUUUUUUUUUCCCUCUCUCUCUCUCUCCCCCUCUCAGCAUCUGUCCAAUUAUGCAUCAAGUUGCAAUCUAAUAGUAUAAAGUUAAAGUACAUCAGGUUUUGUGGUAUUUUUCAUGCUUAUAUAUCUAAUCUAGGUUUAUAUGCGGAAGAAAUAAAUUAUACCAAAGGAAGCAACAGUCGGUGGUAAAGAAAGUAGCUUUAUUUGGUUUAGAUGCUGUCAAAUUAAAAGUUAUCUACUUAAAGGGCUUUUCAUGUCAAUUAAAAUAAGUUUUACUUUCCAAUCAUAUGACGCGUUACAUUUGUAAUUGAUUCGCUAGAAUUGACUACUUAGGCGCCUUUGAAAAUUGUGGUUUCAAUUAUAAAAACUCAAUAUGAUUGGUCAACCUAAUUUGAGCAAGAAUAUAAUAUUUAACCACUACUAUAGUGUCGCAUUUACAAAUGAAUGAUGCGUAUUUAUUAUGUGAGUCGGCCUUGUUUGAAUUGUGAUUUUCUAUAGAAAAGUUUUUAUAAUUUCUGUAAAUAUAUUUUUAAUCAAUUUUUUAUUUUAUAUAUAUUAAUAUAUUUUGUAUAUAUUAAUUUUUUAAAAAUAAUAAUCCAAACGAGAUGGGUAAAAUACGACCUGACCUUAAAGAAGAGUGAAUUUUCACAUUUUGACUAUUCAUUGAAAGGGAAAAUACUCAAUUUGAUUACGAAAAACAUACUCCACCUCUGAAUUAAUUAAUUGAAGGGGAAAAAAGGGGAAAGAAAAGAGAAAAAGACAAACAAACAGUAAAUGAAGGCCCUGUUUGGCACUUGAGUUUUUUCCCAAGUUUGUCAACUAUAAAUUUUUUAAAAACUUUAAUUACAGUAAACUCAAGAAAUUUUUUCAAGUUUUUAAACUAUACGUUUCAAAAUAUUCAAAAAUUUACACACUUCAAAAAAUUUUUUAAAAAUUUCUACAAUAAAUUACAGUAAAAUUUUAAACAAAUAUUCAAAAAACUCACUUGCCAAGUAGAGCCGAUGGCUCGAGGUUUCAAGCUCCAAAUGCCAACUAGUGCCGUACUCUUUCAAACAUUCACCUAAAUCUAGAAGCAGGAGACGUCCCAGCCACAAAAUCUGGAGUACACAUUCCUUUUAUUACUUCUCCCGUGAGAAUAAUUGCAAUUAGAAGAUUUUAGAAGGAAAAAAGGGGCAAAAAAAAAAAAAAAAAGCAAACAUCAAAAUUAAAGAAAAGAAAAAGCGGUGGUGUCGUUGGCUGACAUGAACAGCCACGUGUCUGGGGCUCUCUUUCAAUGUGAGCCACAAGAUUCCAUGGAUUUCUCGAUCGUUCUAUUCAACAAAAAUAGAAAUAUAAAUAUUUUCCGAUCGAGCAAAUGGUCAAGAUGGUCCCUUAUUCUUUCAAGAAUCACUUUUCAUUCCCUCAUUUUUUUUAAUUUGAGUAAUUUAAAGCAUCAAAGGUAUAAAUUGGAGUACCAUUCUACCCCGAACAUUCCGUCUCGGGGUCAUCCAUCCUCUUGGUAAAAAUGAACAAGUUAAGAAUUUCAUGACUUUCUUGUACAUGUCCAACCUUGCAAUACAGAGAAUUAGCGCUGAUUUUUAUGCUAGAAAGUUGAUUCUAUUUCUUAUAUUUAUUUGUAAGACGGAUUUGUAAGUGUUUUAAUCUUUUGAGUUUUGCAACAUGGCAUCUCCUUAUCAAAAUAAACUUUUCUUAUCAAUUCAUAUGAAAGUGAAUACAUGGCUGAAGAAAGUAUUCACUGGAACAAAAGUGGUAAUUAUAAAUUAAAUUAAUAGAGGACUAAAUUACUAUAUCUCAAAAUUGAAUGGUUAAGAAAAAUAUCUCUGAAAUUCCAAGGACCAUUUCAGCAAUUGGCCCUUUCCAUUUCCCCUCUCUGACGUGGCAACCCCUUGCUUUCUGCUUUUUCUCCCUCUUCCCAACGAGACACUUAGCCAGUUAACUCCUCUGUAAUCGGCACAAAUCCAUUUUGCUAUUCCCCUUGUUCUCCAUUCUCAUCUUCUCAAGACCCGAGAAACAGCUUCCAUUAGCUUUAUUUCGUCUUUGUCCUUAACUCUUCUCUAAAAUAACCAAUCGUCAGCUAAUACCCUUUCUUCUGUCUUUCCUUCCUUGGCAAACUUUUGUACCUCUAUUCUUGCUCUGUUUUGGGUAAAGGUUGAAGCUUUCAGGUGUUUCUGGUCUUGAAACUUCCAUUUUUCAGCUAAUCGUUUGUUUAUAUGAAACCCCGCUUUUUGAAAAUUUCCAGGUUUUCCUUGAAUCCUUCUUCAGAGUUUGUUCUGUGCGCACAAGCAACGGAGUCAUUGUACUUUAUCCCCAGCUAUUCUUCAUUGUUUCUUGUAUCUGUCUUCUUUUCCUAUAUAAUUAAGUCAAGCAGUUCUUUGGUGGGGGUUUUUUUGGAAAGGAGAUAAAGUUUGGAUCUUGAUUGAGUUCUGUUGAUUUGGAGACUUUGACUGGUGAGAGCAGAAUUCAAGUAGUUGUGUAAUUCGUUCUGGGUUUUUUCCACUACCUAAUUUCAAGAUGUGGGACAUGGAAAUUGAGUGCGAGAAUGAAGGAAAAGCUUCAGUUUUUGGAUCCAGAUGUGAGCCUUUGUUAUUGUAGAGAAUUGAUUUGCGGAGCGUCUGAGGUUAAAGGAAGCUCUAGUUCUUUAUUUAGUUUAAUAAGAUUUUUCUGAUCCUGAAGACCGGUGAAAACAGUUACCUUUUGCUGAAAAAACCAGAAGUUUGAAAGAGGUUUGGAGUGUUGAAGAAUUAUGGUUGCAGCAUCCAUGGCUUUACAGGUAUUCUGACACGAGCUUACUUGUCUAUAACUGACUUAAAAGAAAGUUGGGAAAAGUUCUUCUAGCUUUUAUGGUUAUGUGCCUACUUUUUUACUGGAUAUCUGUUUCUAUUUUUCUUUUUUCUCUUCAUGAUCUUCUUGUAAAGAUUUUUUACUUUAGCAAGUAGUGGGUUAAAAUUUAUUGAACAAAAAGGGCGAAGAUUAGCUUGAGAAUCGUGGGGCUUAUCACUGAUUCUUAGCUGCUGAAGAGUUGUAAUAAUGCUUGCUUUAAUGGAAAGUGAAAUUUUACUCUUAGACGAACUACUUGGGUGUUCAAUUUAAUUGUCCAGCUUUUUUCUUUUUUGGGGUAAGCUCACUUUUAGUUCUACAACUAAAUAGGAGAAAUUUGAAAAAAAUAAUAAUAAAAAAAUUUUUUUUGGGGGGGGGGGGGGUUAAAACUUCAUCUUAUGGCAGACUUACUUAAAUGACCCCGUUACAGUUUUGUCAUUUGAAAGUGCUUUAAUUAUUGAGAUUAGAACAAUGACGACAGGUUUGUGCAAAGCCACUGAUCCCAGCCGCUGAGAGUAAAUGAUUGAUUUCCAGAGUUCACUGUUCUGCUUGGAGUAGAUCACCUAUUAAAAAAAGUGGAAAUGCAGAAUGAAAUAUUCAAUCUAAGCCACUAAAAAGCUCAAGUUUUGUUGCAUAAUUUCAUCUAUAACUUAGAAGGGCCAUCUAUCUGCAUAUUAAGUGUUAAUUAUGGGAUCAAGAAUUUGUGGUGACUGACUGAAUUCCAUAUUUCUAAAUCAAAGAUUUUGAAUGGUUGCUUGUUACCUUAUUUGGCAUUUGAGGGUUUUCUUAGAUUGAAGCUAGCUUAUUCUACUUGGCAUCACUUGCUCUUGAAAGUUGAAACGGUUGUAUCUCUUCGUAUCAGAGGAGACAAGAGCCUUAGCUUCAAAAGUUCUAGUGAUUUUGUGUAAUUGUGAAAUCAACUUGUUUUACAUACGGUAAAAGCAGUUAAAAGACCUUUGUCCAAAGGUUAAAGUUGACCAUACUUGAUUCUAGUUUAGCCACUAGGCUUAUGACAGAGUCGUUAAAACUCAGACAGAGUUUCCCUGCAGAAAUCCUAUCUGUUUUUGUACACACUGUAAAUUAUGUAUUUAAAGUUAUCAAACUUGUUCAUGAUGAUUUAGUUGGUUAUGCCUGGAGGAGACUGUUUUACUCUCUUGUAACGUUCUCUUCUCAACAUGAUUAUAUAGGAUGACAGUGGAAGCACAGAUUCAGAGACCACACUCCCCAUGGUCAUAGGCAACAAAAUGCCUUUGGAUAUGGAAGUCUCUUCUGUAAGGAGUAUCCAGUUGACUGGGCAAUUUCGGCCUGGGGAUGAUGACUAUGCUCAAAAGGUGUAUAUGGCAUUUAUGAAUUUGUCUAAGUUUUCCACACUUCCUUGUUGAUUAGAACAUGUUUUUUUGGUAUGUGUUCUAAUUUUUCUGCUUCCUUCCAAGUAGGUUAGAAAACCCUACACAAUCACUAAACAAAGAGAAAGGUGGACAGAGGAUGAGCAUAAAAAGUUUCUUGAAGCUUUAAAGCUGUACGGCCGAGCCUGGAGGCGUAUAGAAGGUACAGAUUUAGUUGCUAUCCUUGCUAUCUUCUUUCAACUAAGCUGCAUACUGAAAGAAUGUUACUGUGCGCAGAGCAUGUAGGUACCAAAACUGCAGUUCAGAUUAGAAGUCAUGCUCAAAAGUUUUUCUCUAAGGUUUACUGCUCUUAAAUCAGUAUCCAUUAUCUCCUAUUGUGUCUAUAUGCUGCCUUUUAAAGUAAGUCAUAUCAUUUAUGACUCAAGGCGUGCAUCUUCAGAAUUCAUUGUUGUGAGGAUUCUUGUCAUGUUGAUGCAUGUUUGGUUAUCUUGAUUAGGUUGUGCGUGAGUCCAACAAUGGUGAUUCAGGCUCAGUGAAACCAAUUGAAAUUCCUCCACCUCGCCCAAAAAGAAAACCCUUGCAUCCAUAUCCUCGCAAAUUGUCUGCAUCAGUAAAAUCUGGAGCUUUGGCUCUUGAAAAACAAUCUGCAGCUGCAAAUAUAUGUUCCCCUGCCGAAGCAAACCAAUCUCCUACUUCUGUAUUGUCUGCAUUUGGUUCAGAUGCACCAGGCGUAACAGACUCAAGUACACCAGAAGGUAGCUUAUCGCCUGUUUCAUCAGUUAUAGGUGGUUCCUCUGGUUUUGUCCUGUCUGAGCCACCUAAUUUAUCACCACCAGAACCAAAUGCAUCUCCGUCAAGCAGCCAAGUGAAUAAUUGUUCAAAUCAGGAUGAAAAGCUUCCUUUGGUAAUUGUUUUGUGCUGUUCUUUGAUUCAUUUGUUUAAUUUUAUUUCUUUAGCAUCUGAACAUAUAGGAGACAGUAAGACUUGAUAACCAACUGUUUCUGUUUGAUUUUUAUUUCAGAAGCUGGAAUUGUUUCCUGAAGACAAUUGCUUUGUCAAAGAAGGUUCAGAAGAAGUAUCAUCUACCCAGUGCUUGAAACUAUUUGGGAAGACUGUAAUGGUUACCGAUUCGUGUAGGCCAUCUUCUCCAACUCCUCUAACCUGCAAAAUGCAGCCACCUAGUCACAGCGAUGGAAAAUUUGCACAGGCAUUGCCUUGGAAUUUUGUUCCCAUAAAAUAUUCACAAGGUGAUUUAGAGCGUUCCUGGGGUGCUCUUCCCUUUGGAACACAUGGUACUUUGUUUUGCUUACCGCUAGGUGGUGAAAGAUCAAAGCCUAGUGAAACAACACCUCCCUCGUCUUUGCAAUGGUGGACAUACCAAGGAGGUGCAUCCUUUCCAUUUGUACGGAUCCAUAGCCCAAUACCCAUUAAAGCAUCAUGCUUUGGAGACCAGAGAGAUGUGCAAGACAUGGAAAUCCAGAAGGAUGGUUCUUCUUCUGAUUCAAAUGCUGAAUGCGAGUGUGCGGAGGCUGAGAGCAGCAGAAACCUGGAGGCUCAAAGCUGUCAGUUUUUAUUUGCAAAAGAGGAAAGAGCUCAAGCCUCGUCUAGACCAUGUGAAACAUCAUUUUUGGAGCUAAAAGCAGGCUCUGGUAAGUGUACAAAAGGAUUUGUACCAUACAAGCGAUGUUUAGCAGAAAGGGAUGCCAGAUCAGUAGUUAACAGUGAAGAAAGGGAAGAGCAGCGAAUUCGUCUUUGCUUGUAGUCGUUCUUCUUCAGGUUUUUUGCUUGUGCAGUUUCAUCUUGUAGAAAAUAUUUUUCCCCCUUUGGUUGGAUUGGGGCUAUUGAAGAUGUGAAUCUCUGGUAAUACCAAAAAUCUUGGAUGAUUGGUGAGGAUGAAUCGAUGAAGCAACAUGGUGCCAAAGAGGCUGCUCCUGUGGCUGUGUAGAGAGUCUUUUUCAACUUUGCUUUUCUUUUUCUCCUCCAACUUCUGAUACAUACUCUUCUUUUGUAAUAUUUCCUUUCAUCCCUUGCACUCUGUCCAUGUAGCCUUUGCUGUGUAAGUUCCUCAGCUGCAAAUGUUAAUGUCUGAUCUUCAAAUUUUGCUGUCUCUAAAAUUCUGUUACAUUCUGAUGCUACUUUUCUCCAAUACAAAUUAAUACUGAAGAAAUAUGGAUUAAAAAUCUUUCUUGUUUUAAUACGGAUGAUGAGGUGUGAAAAUUUUCACCAUAAAUCUCUUCAAUGGUCAAUUGCCAUCCUUAACUGCAUAUUCUGUCUCUAAAAUCUUGUUGUUAGGAGCUCAAUUGGAACAGAUGGGUUCAAGGGGCUGGCUUGAUCACAUUAGUUUAGAUUAGCGUUGUGAGCAUGGUGUCUAGCAUGUAAGUUAGAGAUUCAACGUUGAUUUAAAUGUAAAUUAGGAAUUUAACAAUGAUUCAAAGCUCUAAACUAUUAUGUUUCGAACUUUUAUUUAGAGUUUAAUGUCUAAUAUGCAAGUUAAUAAUUCAACGUUGAUUCAAAAGUUUAAAUUAUAUUAUGUUUGGGACUCUAUUUAAAUAUUGAGUGUUCUUCUCCGUGAACCUAACAGCCUUGUAGGUUUGACUUUCAGGGCAGAAGAGUGUCUCUAAGGCAGCGAAAUUCCUCGCAGGUUUCUGGAAUUCUUGUUUCUACAAUGAGCUAUAUCCACUAUUGAAGUUCUGCGUUAUCCAUCCAGGUUUCUGGAAUUCUUGUUUAAGGUGGUCAUUGAAUCCAGCUUUGUUCCAUAGUUCAAGGUGGUCAUUGAUCAGCUAUUGCUUGUGUUAGCCAUUUCUGUGCAAGAUGUUAAUUACUAACAAGCUUGUAGAUUUUUCAGGCAACGUUUAAAAAAUUAGCAAAUGCUGCCCUUUUUUUUUUUAAGUUCACAUCAAUCCCUAUAGACUGGUUUGCAUUCGCCAAAGCCAAUGUGUCCAAGAGAAUCAAGAUAAGAAGUGGAAUACCGGUCACUCAAAUCCUUAUCCAAGUCAGACAGGGGGACUUUUCUCGUAUGUGAUUCCUAACCUGAUUCGAUAGAUACCUGGAUAACUUGGAACUUGGGAAUGGAAUAUUCCAAGAUGAUUGCAGGUUGGCUCCAUUGUUUAGGCCUUGUUUGUAUUGUCAUUUUUCCUUCAAAAAUUUUAUGUUUUCAAUGGACCCAUUAAAUUUUUUAACUCAUAUAUAUCAAAUUGUUAUAAUAAUUUUUUUUAAUAUAAAAAUAGUGAUCUAAACGAGUUCAGUUAAUGUCCCUAAAUUGUCCAUUUGCUUUUGCACGGGAUGCUAGCAAUCAAAGAGACAAAUCAUCUGACAGCCUUCGUAAUUUUCAAAUCCACUUAUUCUUACAUUUGAUUUUUACAGUGAAAAGUCUAAUGGACAAAAAGUCUAGCCGAAGAAAGCCACUACUAUACCAACCACUAAGACCCUUGUUUUCAUCUCACUAGAAGAACCUUAAAUGUGUAAUACCAUGUUCUAAAAUGAAUCAGCAAAUCUUUGACCUUCUAGAAAUAAAGGCACAAAAUCUAUUAGCAAAUUGUCUAGCAAGUCGUCCCCGUGGGCUCUUCUUAGCUCCGGAACCUUGUUUUCCUGCAAAUAACCCUUCUGGUUUUCUUACGAUUGGUUAGUUUGGACAAUCAAACACCCAUCGAGUCAAUGACCAAAGCUGGCCGUCAGGGCUACAUACAUACGAGCCGAACCGAUUGCGAGCUUCUUGAGUCAAAUUUCGACUCAAAUUCGAUGUUAACCGAAUUCGAGGUGACCAACUAGAGUUUAAGCUAAAAAAAUACUCAACUCGUUAAAUCGCGAGUCGAUUCGAUUAUAUUUAUAUAUUUUUUUAUUUCAAUAGUAAAAUUACAUAUAUAUUUAUAAUAUUUUAUUAUUUAUUAAAAAAAUUAUUAAUUUAUUUAUUUUUUUAAAAUAAAAUAAUUAUUUUUUAUUUUUUUAAACUUGAACUCGAGUUCAACUAGAGUCGAAUUCGGAAUCGAGCUUUACUCAAACUCAAACUCGAAAUCAAUAAAUUUAAGUCGAUUCAGAUUCGACCGUUCGCAACUUUACUGCCGUGAUCCCGCGGGACGCACCUUCAAAUGUCCCAGUAGAAGCAGUCACAAAAGAAUCCCAGCCACAUGGCCCACAGGCCACAGUCAUAUUCGCCACCGUUGUGCUUUUUAUCCGAACCAUGCUAAUUUUGAUUCUUUGCUGGAAAGUGGGUAACAAAAUCACUUCGUGUAAAAAAGGACUCACAAAAUAUAUAUAAAAAAAAAAGGAUGCCGUGUAAUUUUGAAAAGAGAAUAAUUUCCUCUCAAGGCACAACGUGAAUUUAGGAGAUACAUCUCAUCUCCUGGUUUGAAGACGAAUACUUGGACUAAUAGUAAGGCGUUGAAUUUGAUGAGUUUUUCGAUAUUUUUUUUUCCUAAUGGAAGUGGAAUAUUUUGAGAACUUAAAUGUCCCAUAAAAGAUAGGAAAACUUGCAGUGCUAAAAUUUGGUGAUAAGCGAAGUUUGGGCAGUUGAGGAAGGACUGAAAAAAAAGAAAUGGCAAAUAGAACAUUUAGAUAUUUUUAAAUGGUAAAAAUUAAUGUGACGCAAAAGCGCAACAAAAACUUAUAUAUUAUAGGCGAAAGUACAAAUUACACCAAAAGCUGGGGGCUUGGGUUGUCAACCAAUUACUACCAGACCACAUCAAUCAGCCUUCCGCCAGAAUUCCCGUUAUUUCUAAUUACCUGCCACGUGUACUGUCAUUUCAUUUUUCCUUUCUUUUCAUUCCUUCCACUCUCACAACCGGUCAUAUAUAUACCCAUACACACAUCAUCAUCAGUGCAUCAGUUUCGAAAAUCACUCAUCAUCCUCCUCCUGAUCCCUUCUAGAACACUUCCAUUCCCUAUUAUUCUCUGUCGUUUUCUAGAUCGGAGAUUUGCAAAAGAAAUUGUUGAAAAUCAUCAAUGGCAACUGCCGCGACUCUAAAUCCAGCUGAGGCUGAGAAGCUCGAGAAGCUUAAAGCUGCUACAGCGGCGCUCAAUCAAAUCAGGUUCCUUCUCCUUUCGCUUUUCCUUUUUGUUUAGUUUUUUGAAAGAUUAUGCUAAUCUUUAAUAGAUAAUAUGAUGUAUAAGGACGAGUUAAUGGAUCUGAGCAAUAACUGAGAGCUGAUUUGGCGGGAUAUUAAUCUGUUCGGUUCAAUUUUUGCAGUGAAAACGAGAAAUCUGGAUUCAUCAACCUCAUCGCUCGCUAUCUUAGGUAUUGUAAAUUUUAGCUUUUAUUAUGCUUGGUUUGUCGUCCGAUUCCAUUUUUUUGUUUGUCAUGCAGCAACUUUUCCAAAUUUCCAUGUCUUUUGCUUCUUCUUUCCGCUUUCCGAGAUUUCUCAAUUUUGGCAUGCCAAAAUUCAUGAGUUCGGAGAACAGUGUGUAAGCGGAAAACUUUGCGCUGGAUGUUGUACAGAUUUUAUGUUUUGAGUUCUCUGCAAAAGACCCUUAUUUCAAAUGUUUCGAAUCCGAAUUCGAAAUAUUUUUGAUGAUUUGAUGUAAUGUUGACUGCUUUACUGCUGGAUUAGUAUUAGUUAUUCUUGUGAGUGGAAUAGAAUAAUGUUGCUUAUUGAGGAUCAUUCUUUCCAUUCUUAUCUGCUCUGCUUUUGGAUUGAAGCGGCGAAGCGCAGUAUGUUGACUGGAGCAAGAUCCAGACACCCACAGAUGAGGUUGUGGUGCCUUAUGACACCUUAGCACCCGUGUCUGAAGGUAAUUUUGUUUUAUUGAACGUUGCUUGUUCAUGUAUCUAUCAAAAUAGUUUACUGUUUUAUGUAAAUGUCAAAAUAAUAGGAUUUGCAUGGUUGUUCUUUAUGCUAAGAAAAUUGCAUAUGUGGAUGAGCGCAGAUCCUGCAGAAACAAAGAAGCUUUUGGACAAACUUGUUGUGUUAAAGCUCAAUGGUGGCUUGGGCACGACAAUGGGUUGCACUGGUCCAAAGUAUGCCUUUUUUUUUUUUAAUAACGUGUGAUAAAGUUUGCAGAUUGUGAUUAUAGGAUUCUUAUGAACCAGCCAAAUUUUGUUUCUUGUGCGUGGCUUACUUGUUCCUUUUUGUUAACAUGAAGAUACUUCUAAGAGCUUUUGAUUGCUUUUCUACAAUACAAAGUGUCUCUACAUUGUGCUGCUUCAUUUAUGUCUGGUGGCACUUUUUCUUUUGGCAUAAAAAGAUACAUGAUUUGCAUAAGAAUCAUCUCAUAAUUAGCUAAGGAAAUUUAUGGGUUUGCAAAUUCUUUCAACCAGAUUGUACAUCUUCGUCACUUCUAGAGACUCAUAGACUAAGAGAUUUUUUGUUUGUGAAAUAUUCAUGAAAUGGAAGUUCUGAGAAUAUUUGUAAUGCCAACAAAAUGACUGGUAUAAAAUAUUAGAUCUGUGUUCAUUUAGUGCUUUUACUAUCUCCUUGGAUUUGUGUUGUAAGAAGAAUAAAGAAAAAGGACAAAAGAAUGAUGUCUUUUAGUUUCUGCCAUCAGAACAUGAAGUGCCUUUUCAAUGCCAUUUGUUUUUUUUUGGGGAAUAUCUUGUAAUAGUGCAUCCAUAAGAAAAAGAUGGUCAUCUCUUAGGCCUUUGCAUUUGGCUUGACAAGUAUAACAGAAUAGAAUAGCUGUUCAUAGAAUUACACUUUCUCCUUGUCGCUGUGUUGGACCUUGGGAAGACUUGGAUGAUAUCUUUAUGAAAUGUAGAAGUAGAAUUAAGUUUUUGAUAAACAGAUGUACCAUCUUCCCUAGCUUUAGCUAAAUUAGACAUUGGACCAUGGAAUAAGUCGCAAUUGACUUUUUGGAUCUUCAUAGAAUAAGCUCAUUUUUUUCCUUCCCACAAGACAGUUUUGGCACGUUGAUGUUCCUUUCCCUGGGAUUUGACAUUGUAUAUCUUUAUGAUGUAGGUCGGUCAUUGAGGUUCGCAAUGGUUUGACAUUCCUUGACUUGAUAGUUAUCCAAAUCGAGGUAAUAUAUCUAGACACAUUAUCCUUUUAGUGUUAUGGUCUUUUUAUCUUUGCAAAGUCAGUUGAUAGGUAGAAGCUCUGUGUAGACACUCAACAAGAAGUACGGAUGCAACGUACCCUUGCUUCUAAUGAACUCCUUCAACACACAUGAUGACACGCUGAAGGUAAAUGACACCAAUGUAUAUGUAUUAUUUGAAGUACUUUACUUUAACUCAGAUCAAAGGAGACUCACCUGUUGCUUUUACACUGUGCAGAUUGUAGAAAAGUAUGCCAAAUCAAACAUCGAAAUUCAUACAUUCAACCAGGUCGAUAUAGUUUGACCACAUUCAAUGUUUCAUUCUUUUCCCUUGUCUAAGAUACCCGUCGGGUUAACUCAUCUCACAUCCCUUCAUUUUCAGAGUCAAUACCCUCGAUUGGUGGUUGAAGAUUUCAUGCCACUUCCAUCUAAGGGAAAUACUGGAAAGGAUGCAUGGUAUGAACAAAAUUUGAGUUCCUUGUUUCUGACAAAUACACAUGUAUGGUUUGACGGUGGGAAAGCUCAAGCUGUAAAAUCUGUAGAAUCUCUACUAACACAGGAUGAAACUAUGAUUCUUUUCAAAGCUAUUAUUGGGUUUGCUAUCAUUAUAACUUCUCUUCAAUUGUAGAAAAUUUAUUUUCUGAUGAACUUGCAACCUUUUCCAAUGAGUUAAGCUAGCUAUACCUGUACUAAAACUAGCCAAUAUGUACUCCCAUAUGCAUGUAGACACACCAAGCAGUAAAUAUGGAAGAAAGGUGAAUGUCAAAUCCUGAAUAUCCAGUAUUGGGUAAAAUAAGUUGGAAGAAAUCCUAGAGUUUGUGUUUGUAGAAUAAUCGUCGCGCUAAUAGGCACCUUUUGAACUGAAAAAAAGAAAGUUACUUACAAGGCAAGAUAGAGAGCUAUGGUCUCUUGAUGACUGGAAAUGUGGUAAAAAGGAGGUAUGACUUGCCACAAAUUGAGCAUGAAAACAGAUUAUGUACUAUAGAGAGGGUAAUGUGAUGAAAACCAGAGAGCACUUGAACUUCCAUUUCUGUAACUUGGAAGAAGGCUUGUGAGUUUUUGAAAAGUUAAAUAGUUUGUGAAUGGAGAAAUAAAUUGAGGUCAGGUUAAAGAGGAUGAAGAAGACAAUUUAUUCAAUAUUAAGAAAAUAGCUACAAAGUAAUGUCCAAAUACAUAUGGGUAUUUCUCCUGUGAAAGGAAGUCAGUAGGAAGUGAGGGAGCUUAAGUCUCAAUGAUGUAUGGAUGUAAUGCACCUUUAUUGCAUUUUCUUAAUGUCCCUAUUUCUUUGCGUAAGGUAUGUUCCUUGAACGAUUGGAUUGACUUUUUGAAUCAGCAAUCCCUGUGCAUUAGGAGUUUAGUCAAUGUUUCUCAAAAACUUUUGAUUAUCCGUUAUGUUACACAUUGAUAUAGUUUGCCUUUUCAGGUAUCCUCCUGGCCAUGGUGAUGUGUUCCCAUCCUUGAUGAAUAGUGGCAAACUUGAUGCUUUAUUAUCACAGGUUUUGCUCAUCAUGCCUUGAUUUUUCUGAUGUAGAGAAUGUUCAAUUUAGCAAAUUAAUAUGCCUUUGAUCCUUUUCUUCUGCCUUUUGCUUCAUUACAGGGGAAGGAAUAUGUAUUUGUUGCAAAUUCAGAUAACUUGGGUGCAGUUGUUGAUUUAAGUAUCCUUGAUUAGUCUGAUGACCUGACAUCUACUUCCCAAUAUAUAAUGCAUAAUCACUUGCUUUGCCAUGGUGGAUCUCGUAACAAAUUUUUUGGCAAUAUGUGGUACUUCUAUUUCCUUAAUUCAAUCUUGCAGAAAUUUUAAACCACUUGAUCAGUAACAAGAACGAAUACUGCAUGGAGGUAACAAAAGAGACUUUAAACUUUUGCUUCAUGUAUUGAAAUACUUCUCCUACAGUCUUGUCCCUUGUGUUUGGCAGGUCACUCCAAAAACAUUGGCUGAUGUUAAAGGUGGUACGCUCAUUUCUUAUGAAGGAAGAGUGCAGGUAUGUAUUCCUCUCUAUAGCUGCAUCUCUCUUUUUUCAUUUCUGGGCAUAGAAAAAGAGAACAGGAAAAGAAAACUUGUUUAACAAGUCCUUGACUUUUAGCAAUUCCUCGAGAAUCAUAAUCCACAAAGGUGAUAGCUUCUGACCUACAUAGAAAGACCAUUUCUCUGCUGAAGUAUGUUGCAACAGUAAACUUGAAUUUUGUUGUUCACUAUACCUUUUUCUCUUGCAACUAUAUUUUGGUUGUAAGUUGUAGGUAGUUUGAUACGUCCAUCUGCUUCUGUUUAUCACUUUGUUUCGCUUGGUGUAAAACCUACUCUGACAAAAUUAACUGGUGGCAGAAAAACCACAAAUUAAUCAAGUUGGCACUGUAAAAGUUACAAGGCCAGCUGUUGCUGGUAAAGCAUUGCUUUUCAUAUGUAACAAUGACUUUAGUUGUCAAUUGUACUUAAGAGAAAAUUGGAAUAGCUACUGAAACUUGGUCUAUUUGUAAAAUUUUGACAAGAUUGAUAAGCAUGGUGUAUUGUUUACUUGGUAUUUUUCUUCCUUGUCUUUUGCUAAAUGCUUUAAACAAUGCCAUUACAUAGAUAGAUGUAUUCAUUGAUGCACUGGAAUGUUUUCUAUUUUCAUGCUUAAUAGUUGCUAUUAAUUCAUUUUCUGUCUUCUGUUGCAGCUCCUGGAAAUAGCUCAAGUUCCUGAUGAACAUGUGAGAUUCAAUUUCUUUUGGUUUCUUUACCUUUUAGUGAAAUGCUUUUAAUUGUUGGCAUACUACAUGCAAUCUUGUGCAAUUUAAACUUCUCUCUUUAAAUAACUAUUUCUUCAUAAGAAGUUCCCAGGAUUGAUGUAUGUAGGGGUAUAAGCAUGUUACAUAUAACCAGCAAGGUUAAUGAGUAAGAUUGUUUACUUAAUGUGAAGUUAGACUAAACAAAGGGUACCCAGAAUUAGCCCAUUCUUGAUGUAACAUCUUUUCCUUGGGUUACACAAUUUCAUAGACAUCAUUUUGAUAUUAAAGGAUUAUGCUGCUGCUCUUUUUUUACAGGUGAAUGAAUUCAAGUCGAUAGAGAAGUUCAAAAUUUUCAAUACCAACAACUUGUAAGUGUUAUGCUUCUCAUUUUAAGCUGAAAUGUUAUUUGCUCUAUGCACUGUGGGCAAUGCUUCCUUCAUGGAAUGAUAUAUUUUCUGCUAUCAUGCAGAUGGGUGAACUUGAAAGCAAUCAAAAGACUUGUACAAGAAAGUGCACUGAAGAUGGAGAUUAUUCCAAAUCCAAAGGUUCUACUACUUAACUAUCUGUUCUUCAUCUGCCAAUAUAUCUGUUCUUCUAUUAAAUUUUGUCUGAUUAACAGGAAGUAGAUGGGGUGAAAGUUCUUCAACUUGAAACUGCUGCUGGCGCUGCAAUAAGGGUAUAUUAACCUUAUCUCUUGAUAUUCAUUUUAAACAUCUUUAUUUUCCGUUUCUUUCCGUUUAGGUUUAUCAAUAUGGCAUUUCACAUUGUGCCGUCUCCUCUCUACCAACAACCAAAAGUAAGAAGUAUAAUCAUUUACUUUCACCCCCCCAACCCUCAAUCAGUUCUUUGAUCGUGCUAUUGGCAUCAAUGUUCCUCGAUCUCGAUUCCUCCCAGUAAAGGCAACUUCUGAUCUGCUUCUCGUCCAGGUGAAUUUUUAGUUCAUACAUGGCAUUCUGUUUGAAUACUAUAUGAAUUGCUGUUUAUUCAUUCAUUUAAUUUUUACAGUCCGACCUGUACACUUUGUCUGAUGAUGGCUAUGUGGUCCGCAACGAGGCUAGGAAAAAUCCAACUAACCCAACUAUUGAAUUGGGACCUGAAUUUAAGAAGGUUGAGAUUUUAAUUCCCCCCAUCUUUCUCUAUAGGUUGAGUUGUUUAUAUUGCUAAUUGUGUAUUCCAAUUUUUUAGGUCGGCAACUUCUUAAGUCGUUUCAAGUCUAUUCCCAGUAUUGUUGAACUAGAUAGCCUGAAGGUGAGCGGCGAUGUGUGGUUUGGAUCUGGCAUCACCCUGAAGGUAAUACAAACUGACUACUUGUCUUCCUGUUACUCUGUUUCUGAAGCUUUAUGGAUGUAUCGGUCCUUGAAGAUUUGCUUGUGAAAUGUGGCAAUUUGUGGUUGUACAGUGUGGUUUGUUAUUUCUUAUUUAGUGUCCAUAUGGCAUAUGCACUAACUUCUUAUUUUCUUCUUGUAUUAAGGGGAAAGUGACAAUAACUGCAAAACCUGGAACCAAGUUAGAAAUUCCCGACAGAGCUGUAAUUGCUGACAAGGUAAUAUAUGCAGCUGACUGCCUUAAAAAUUCGGUUCAUCUAUUUAAAAAAUUGGUUCAUGGUGCAUAGCAAUUUGGCUUUACAUUCUCUCUCUGGUGCCAGGUUAUAAAUGGCCCUGAGGAUAUUUAAGAGGUCUAAUUCUCUGGAAGUGAUGCAUAGUUUUGCAGAAGCGAUGGGGACUUUUUGGUUGUGAUGACACUUGUUUAACUUUCUAUGGGUUACGUAGUCACUUAUGGGGCUUGCUUUCUUGGUUGCCUGAAUAGCACAUAUAUAGUUGACGGUAAAAAAUAAAUGGACGGUUUUGUUCCGCAAUGCUGAGUUGUUAUAUGUGUUUUAUUUUUUAAUACUACAUGUUAUCAAAUUGUGAUCCUCAGUAGAGAAGUUUCGACUUUUGAGGCCGUAAAAACUGCAUCCGCAAGUCAAAUUUUCCAAGGUUUUUAUUUGCCGGAGAUUGAACUCUAGAUGGUAUCUCCGUUUAUUCUUGAAGGUGGUGCACUUGAGUUUCCAUCAACAAAUCUCCGUUUAUAAUUCUUUAGUGCUUAAUUUCCGUAAAUCACAAAUUAGUCAUAAAUUUAGAUUCACUCUUUCAUGAUUUAUUGGGCAAAGACCAAACAUUUCCUAAAGUACAUGCUUGUUGAUGGAAUUUUCUUCAUAAUUCGAGAUUGCGUAUAAAUUUUAAAAACUCAAAGCCUAUUUAAGUAAUUUCCGAUGGAAAUAUAUUGGUACUGGUAUAGUAGUGCACAUUUAUGCAAUUUUGCAUUACAAAAUACAAAUAGGUCUUACACUUCUAUUUUUAUUGGUUCCAGCGAAAAAGAGUGAAACCUAAUAAUCCUCGUCUCACUUACAGUAAUGGCUGACAGCUCCACAUAAUUUAGAAAGGCCCCUAACGAGUCGAUGCUUUCCCGAAGUAUCAAUGGGUAGUAGUCAUGGGUUCCAACAGUAAAACACGAAUAUAUCAAAAAGUGUUCAUAGGUUUUGUUUUAUCUUUGGAAAACUGCUAAGGUACCUCAAAUACUUGAUUAUCAUGUUGUACGAGAAAAUAUGAGAAAAUAGAAAAAGAUGCACAUAUUUUGCACAUACAUACAUCAAUUUUGAUGUUUGAGAACUUCCAGCCUAUUAAAUGCGAUUCAUAUUUUUUCUAUGGGAUUCUAUUAAAACUAAAGCUUAUUUCGUAGUUGAUGAGUAGAGGACAAAAGAAAAAAAAAAAAAAAACUGGGUCCUGAAAUACAUCAACCAAGUACUGAUAGUAAUUGCAUAAUUCCCGGAUGAUUCUAUCGAGGGGCUAGAGCCGUUGAUAUGAAUUAUUUUGGUAGAUAUUAUGUUGUAACUUUCACAAUAAAGAAGAUAGUAAUCAUAGAACAUAUAUAGUUGUUGAUAGAACUCUACCAAAAGAAGAGGGGGCUGUGCCUCUGGUGUUAACCCGCCUGACCGCCACUGAUGCCUAUUCUUAUGCACAUUGAAGUAGCAGCAAUAUUAGAAUAUCCAGCCAACCAAAAAAAAAGAAAGGAAAAAGAAAGUUUUAGACGAUUUAGUGUCAAUUCUGUAGUCGUAAUUAGCAAGAAAAUUGAUUUACAUGAGCAAGGCUAUUCACUUAAAUUCAAGGCCUGUGGUGACUCAACUUUUAAAUUAUUUUGUUUCCAAGUGCAGGAAAAUUAGCCGGUGAAACCAUCCUUAGCAGUAGUUCCAGGAAUGCAUGAGCGAAAUAACGCUAUUCACUGCCAUAUUCUAUCAUGAAUGGGUAACAUUGUUCAGACAAAUUUUAUUCCUUGAACAAACAAUAAAUCGAUAUCUUUUAGUACUCGCAUCAUUCACAAACCCAACGUACAACUUCAUGAAUAUUAGUUAUAAAUUGCUUGCACAUUUUGUGCAUGUAAUGUGAAAUGGAAUCUAAUAAAGUUUGGACUUGUAAGAACUUCUACAUAGUUAGAGAUUAACGACAAACUUUUAAAAAUACAAAGCCUUUUCAAGUAAUUUUCGAUGAAAAGAUAUGGGAAGAGUACACUUUCAUGCAUGCAUGCAUGCAAUUUUGCAUUGUGAAUAGGCCUUACACUUCUAAUGUAUAUUUGUUAUAGCAACUGGAAAAAAAGUGAAAACUAAAAUAUCUCAAACAUCCUUGUAGGGAUUUACUAACAAAUUAAGAAACAUUUAUAUUCAAAUCCCAACAAGAAAAUCCCGUUACAGAAGCAAUCAAACUCACCCAAACCUAGAUCCAACUGCUAAUCUAAUCUUUUGUACAGUGGAGCUUAUAAGAGCAUGAAUUGUGGCCACCGAAUCUGUGAUUAGUCGGUCAGAAAAUGUGUCAGGGCGCACCAUUAUUUGGAAAGCCACAGUGAGCAGUGAACUGUUCGAUCCGAUCAUGCUAGAACUAGAAGAAGCUCCAGCUCUAGUUCCACCGUCAACUCCAUCACUUGAGAUGAUAAAGCCCGAUGGCAAAACAUUUGUAUCUGUGGUGUCUUGACCGCUUAUUGCAGAAGUAAUGGUUGAAACUGGCACUGGAACAUAAAUCAGAUUAGCCCCUAACAAGUCGAUGCUGCUUUCUUGAAGUAUCAACAUGUUUUCCUUCGGAUUAACGGGCUGCAACCGUUAUAUAUGAGUCAAUAUUAAAAGUGUUCAUAGGUUUUAAUAUAUGGAAAACUAAUCAGAUACUCAAAAUGCUUAUUGCCAUAUGAUACAAGAAAUUUGAAAAAAAAAAAAAAACAUCAAAAUGUUUACCUGCAUGAGGGAGAUGGAGUUUCCAGGGUGAGUGCCAGUGGAGAUGUGUGCAAUUUCAUGAACAGGAUUUCCUUCAGACAGAACAUCCCACUACAAAUUAUAUUGAGGGAAAAUUAUCAAUAGGUUAAUUUUAUUUUUUAUUUUUUUUACUAAAGACUAGAAUCUCAAAACUUGCAUAAUUCUCCAUGUAGACAAAAUGCUACAGUGCAUUCAUCGUGCAAGUUUAUGUGAAGGUUGCAUUUGAUCUAACAAAAAAAAAAAAAAAAACUUCAUGAUUUCCAACUAAAUUUAAAAAAUGUUUGAUUAAUAGAUGGUAUAAUUAACAAGAAAAUUGGUGAAUAGCUAGGGAAUAAAACCUGAUCUCUUGCAUGCUCAUCUUUGAAGAAAUCAAACAGAUUCUCAAAGGAAGUUGGAAGCCGAAGGGACGCAGCAACACAAACGAUCAUGUUAUUGGGUUGGCCGGAGGUAUCACUUCUAUGAACCGAGACUCGAAACCCAUUUCUGUUCAACUCCGACAGCUGAGGGAGAUCUAUUCUCUCUGGCAUGCUUAAUAUGUGACAGAAGUUUUUGACCAUCUUGUGAGAAAGUUUUGCCAGGCUUUUCCGACCUUCAGGCGCAUCAAUAACUGUAUGAAAUUAACAGCAAAGCAGAAAAGCUCAAGAAAGUUGGAAUAAAAUCUCAAAAAUCAAUCUUUCCAAAAAAUUUUAAUUAAAUAGAAACUUGAUUUGUAAGUACCUCCUUCAAGUUCAUGUCCAGGAGUAGGUAUUGGUCCCAGUGAAAAUGCAAAUCUCUCACACAUCCUUUGCAAAGUAACAAUCCAUCUCUUGGCUCCAUAUGCUUGAGAAUCACAAACCAUAUCUUUAUAAAGAGGGUGAGUAAGAGAUCUAUCAUCCACUUGAACAUGUUCAACCCAUGCCACCUACGGGCAAGGAUGUAAAUUAAUAUUAGCUAGGUUGAAUACAUAUGUCUACUAGCAAUUUCUUGGUUGAUGCGCUAUCUAAAACUUGAUUGGGUACUGAUUUAUAUAUUUUUUUAGGUACUGACUCUAUCAUUUUUAGCACACAGUAAAAAUACAGCACACAAUAUGCACGAAUUAGAUCUUGUUAGAAAAAUAAUAAACAAAUAUAUGAAUUGUCAUGUAAACUGACAUUUGUUCAUCAUACUUGUUUCGAUCAAUCUUAAGUCUCAACUGAAACAACGAAACAAAUGAUGAAAUGAGCAUUGGAACUUACAUUUGCUUUUCCAUUGGGCAUGUCUUGAAUAAGGCAACCGGAAGGAAACAUCCAUGUUUGUGAAGAAGAAGCAUCUUCUAGCUCCUUAAGGGAAUCAUAGGAAACAUUUACGAUCACCCACGUUGUUGAAUCAAGUUGUCGGACAUAACGAAGGAACGCCAACUCUCUGGGUGCAACAAGAGGUGAAAGAACGUGCAACUUUUCAUGCAUCUGCAAUAACGCAUCCAUAAAAAUUAAUCAGUUCUGUAUUCCAAUGGCUAACACGUACUGAGUGAUCAAAUUAUCAUCAAGCAAAAUUACAAAAGAAUUAUACCACAAAUAGAGAACCACCCCUUUUUCCCGUGUCAAGCACUUCAAUUGUCCUAACUUUGGUGACAAUUGUAGGAAAAAAGUCCAUCCAUUUUUCCUGUAACAUGAAUAAGAUAUUAAAACAUCAAUGGAAUACGUGCUAUUAAAUCUAACAAAACUAAAUCAUAAAUCAUAUCUCAUAUUUGAUGGAUCAAGGGGAAAAAUAAAAAUAAAAAGGAGCAAGAGAGGUUGGAGCAAACCGGAUCUUGAAAUAUAUCAAUCAAGUGCCUGGCAGUAAUUGGCACAAGUCCUGAAUCUCUUGAUGAUUCUAUCCAAGAACUAGAGCUGUUGAUGUGGGAUAUUUUGGGAUACAGCUUGUCAUAAGUUUCCCGAUGAAUCAGAUAUCUCUCAUUAGUUGGAGACUUAACCCAUAAGGGCUCAUUUCCUCGGAAAAGCUCUAACAAUUCGUCCAUGGCAUUAACAGCAGUUUCAACCAUCACAGAUUUUUCCAUCUCUUGUAUUUCAGAGAGCCUUUGAGGUAACAAUGUGGUCGUUGAAGUCCCUGGAAUAUUUUCACCUAAAUAUGAUAGGGGACUAAAAGAUGGUGGCAAAUAAGAUUCGAGUACUCCAGAUCUUCUGGAAAAAGUGGACACCACACGGGAUGCCCUUUCAAGCUGCAAAUAUACAUAGCAAAACAAAUAAAUCAGUAGUAGUUAGGAAUUGUAAGAGGUAAAUUAGGUCUUGUAUAAGUUAUAUUUGAAAAUUUCAAAUACAUAAUGAAGAUAGAUUAGAGUACCUCUUGUUUCAACCAAGCAUUUUCAGCUCGUAAUCUUUCUAGAUUUCUUUGCCUAGCCUCUUCUCCAGAAGAUGCAUCCUCACAUUUUGGGCAUACAAGAUUCCUUAAUGCUUCUCUCAUAACAAGAUUCUCAUAAUAGAAUCUGUCAUUUUCAACUCUAAGGGCAUCGUUGUCAGCUCGUUCAUUGUGGCUCUGGAAAAAAAAAGAGAAGGUCAAAUCAUAGUACGUAGAUGAUUUUCAAUGUCCCUAAAUUUUUAUUUGAAAUCAUAUUUAGCUGCUAAAGUUUGACCGCGCGUGCAACUCAUGUGACAACCAUCAAAGAUAUGUUGUUGCCAAAAAAAAAAACAGUUCUCACCGUUUCCAUUUUCCAAUAGAUUCUUAUUUCUCUGUCUAAAAUUGUCGAGCCCAACUCACCAACAUCAAGAUAAUAUAUUCACCAAGUAAAUAUGUAUCAUUAGUAUUCUCAAUUUCUUUGAAUGUGAAAUGGGACAGGAACUCGAAUAAUGAGUCCUAACAUUUGAACAUGCAAUAUUAAUUAGAAAUGUGAGGGAGCUCUUAGAUAUUUUUAACCAAAAACAUCAAUUUUACUCACUAAUUCAAUUAUGAAAAAAAAGUACAGAACUUGAAGAAACAUAUUUAAGCACAAGGACCUUCCAAUAAUCAUCCAAUGAAUCUCAUGCACAAGGACAUGAGUUGCACAUGAAGAAUGACACACACAAAAAAAAAAAAGUAGCAUUUUAAAAGAACUAAAAAUAUAAAAAAAAUAAAGAAAUAAUAUACCUUUGUUUGGGUUCUUUUAUUUUGGAACCAGAACUUGAUUUGUCUAGGUUCAAGCCCUAGUUCUCUACUUAAUUGUCUCCGUUGAUUUUCAUCUGGAUGAGGACAGUCUUUGAAAAACCUACCAACCAAAACAUCUUGUAAAGACGUACGUAGGAUUAGGAGAAUAAUAUAAGUGCUACUUUCUUUUAUUUUUUCAAAAACAAAAUGAACUAUAUCUGUCCAACAUGUAUGCAAAAAAAAAAAACUUGCAUGGGUCAUCAUAAAAUUUAAUAUCAUGCUUGUAACAAAUCAUGGAGAAAUAAAAUGAACAGAAAAGAGUAAAUGCACAAAGGUUUAGAAAGGAUCUUGCAUGUAAAAUGUAAACUAAAACUUUUGAAAGUUUCAUUGAAACGUAUAAGAUGCUAAAUAAUACUGUUAUCUCUACGUAAACUAACAAUAGAAAUAAUAAUUAUCUUGUAAAAAGGAUUUACCACUAAUUUGGGUUUACAUGUAAAUUCCAACAUUUCAAUAGAAGAAACGAGAGAAAAUAGUUAUGUUUUGCAUCAUAAAUCAAAAUAAUUAACACAAACUUUUUUAUUUAUGAUUUACUAAAAUCAAGUAAUAUUGAUAUUUCAAAGAAGACUAAAGAUGUGUUUUAGUGUAUUUAAGUUGCUUUAAACAACGUUUUUGCAAAAAAUUAUUAGUGUUUCAUGAUCAUCAAGAUAAUCCUUAGGAACUUCAUAUGCACAAAUAGUACUAGGGUGAGUAAGAGAAAUUUCUAUUCUUACUCUUCAAGUCGUUGGAUUUGUUCAGCGGAGUGUCGAUGAUACUGUUUCCUCUCCCUCUCCCUUCUUGAGUUUGAAGAAUCAUCAUGUUCAUCAGCUGAUCCACUGCCCUCAGGUGCAAAAUCCAUUUCUGCCUUCACAGUAACAAAAAAAAAAAUGAAGGUUUUGUAGUAAACAAUAUUGAUUGGGACAACACGACUUACGCCUAACUACUCUACUUUUUAGUGCUUAUAUCGAUAUAGUAAAAGCAUCAUAUUUACUACUAAUCUUGAAUGACAUCACCUAUGAAAUUUUCACAAAAUAAAUACCAUAUACAAAAGAAAGAGGCAUUCGAAAGAAGAAAGAAGUUCCUUCUACCUAGUGUACUUUUGCUUCAAAUUGGAGUUAUGUUUCCUCGUUCUCUAUGCACCAACAAGUUUUGGAUGGAGAUGCAGAGCUUUUCUUAUCCUUAAUGCUGUGAAUAGCAUGGCCAUGGGGUUUGCUUAUCUAUGCUCAUAUAAUAGCAUGUGCUACUCCAUUUAAAGAAUGUCAGGUAGGCAAUUUCCUACAUAAUCCAGAAUCUAAAAUGAGCUAAAAUAGUAGGAAUCAAGAUAUUUGUCUUAAAGGAAAUAAAAACUUUAACAUGUAUGACUAGACCAAGCAUGGAAAAGUAUCAAAAUACAUUGACCUUAGCCUUAUUUGCACAUUAUCAUGUUAAUCAUUUUUGUUUAACGCAGCGAGUUACGAUUUUCGAUGUCUAUGAGCCAACUCAAGACACUUAAUAUAAGGCGAUCGAUCAAGUGAUUUUCAUUAAACAAAUGAAUUUAAGGCGAUCGAUCAAGUGAUUUUCAUCAAACAAAUGAAUUUAAGGCGAUCGAUCAUGUAAUUUUCAUUAAAUAUUAUUCAAUAACGAAUGCUUAAUUAAGAAAAUCACCUAAUUAUUGCUUAAAAAUUUAAUUAAACUUUUAAUUAGCAUUUUGUGGAAUUUAAAAAUUUUCUAAUUAAGAAGUAUUGCGGAGAACUUCCAAAUAAUUGUUUUUUUUUUUGUUUUGAGAACUUGAUUAGCUCACUAUUUUCUUUUCUUUUAUUAACAGUCAAUUUAUUUUUGCAUUACACUAACUUGUCAUAUAUAAUUUGUCUAAAACACUUAUCCAAACGACAUAUAAUCAUUCCAAUUAAGAAUUGAAGGCCAAACUUAUAUUAAAAUCUGGCAAGAUUCAAGGGAUCAAGCUAACUCUAUUAUUUUUCAUACAUUUAACCUCUAUCUUGUUAAGAGAUAACAACAAUCAUAUUAUUUCUAUGCUAGGUCAUUAGAAAUCCUAAGAGCCAUGUUCUCAAUAUCAUCAUUGCUUUUUCCUAGUAAAUCACGUUCUCUUUGUUAGAACAUAGUGUACAUGUAGAUUGUUUAUCUUCAUCUACUGUUGUACGUAGUGUACAUGUAUAGUUAUUAUUGACAUCCAUCAAUCUCUUUUAAAUACAACCAAUAAAUAUUGUUAGUCUUUGACCUAAAUGUUGCAGUAUGAGAGAUUACUUUGUAGUUGAUUUGAUUUAUGUUAUCUUGAAUGCAAUAUGUAUUAUAGUUAUGAUACUUGUGUUAUCAAAGGAUUAAAUCCUAUAGGAUACAACUUUGAGAUUAUAAGAUCUAAUCAAAACAAACCCUAUAAUUAAGAAUGGUAAGAUGAAAUUACGAUUCAUCAAAUUGUUAUUAAUUACUUAUAUAGUUCAAAUUUUUUUUGUAAAACGAUAUAAAAUACAAAAAACAUUAACUACGUGAUUAAUGGUGCAGCCAUCUAGCUUUAUAAUUAAGAAUUAAUAUACCGCCACAAUUGCAAAUCUUUGUUCAAAAACUAAGGGGGAAAAUCAAAUUUCAUUUCAUUGUGAGAAACCAACAUGUUAGCAACGUACAAACACUUAAUUUUUGCUAUUAAAUUAAACAAUUAUAAGCACAACUAGUUUUGGAAGACUACAGUAAUGUUUACAUACUUUUACUUUUUUACAUGUACAUUACAAUCAACUUUCUUUGGAAAUUAAAACAAAAAAAAAAAAAAAACUUGCUUUGGAAAUAUGUUUGCAUCAUCGCUAAAGGUCCAUUACGUUCCAAAGUUAGAGAUAACCCUCGAGUAUUUUUACCUUCAAACUGCGAACAUAGAGAGAUAAUUAACCACUUUCAUAACAGUAUGCAUGCACAUAUCAUAAAUGCUACCAAGUUUUAAGAAUCUCCAUUCUUAGGGUCAUCAUUCUGUAGUACGUACAAUUAGACUUGUCAUUAGCUAUAUAUUCUUUGAUAUUUAUACAUUAAUAUAAAUAAACCCUUCUCGGAACUUGCAUUUCUAAUCAAGCUUGACAUGUUACAAAUUAACCAACAAGUCAUGAAUUUGAGAUUUUCCCCUACUCCACGUCCACUAUUAAAAUGUCUAUCCUCAACUGUAAAAAAAGCUGUAAAUUGUAAGAAGAAUACAUGCAAUUUCCCCAAAAUUUAAGAUAUUUAAUAAUCAUUUCUCUCAUGAAAUCCAAGACAUACACACCAAAAACGUCAAAGUAAUAAUUCACUAAAGCAUCAAGCAGUAUGGAAAAAUGAUUAAUAUUGCAAAUUUGAUGGGUAAGAAACCUGUACUUCCUAAUCACCAAUGCAUUUUUUUUUAUUCUUUAGUGUUAAAUUUGUUCAUGAAAUGUUUGAAUACUAGGACUGGCGAAUUGCGGGAUGCUUGUCAGAAAUGUUAUAGCUAGAAAUUGAUAUGCAUCAAUUUUGUUUCAAAAUACUGUAUAAAUUGCAAGAUUUAUGGAUUUUGAGGAGGGCCUUUUAUUCAAAAAGUUCCCCAACCCCACACUUUUAAAUAGAGGUGUUCAAAUUUCAUAAAAAAACCAAAGAACCGACCAAUCCAAUCUAGAUUGGAUUUAGAUUCUGGCAAAACAAGAAUUUAGUAAAAUCAAAAUAUAUUCAAUUAUAAUGUUUGGUAAAGCAUUUUGGGAACGGAUAUUAAAAAUGUAUUAUCAAUUAUUGAUCGAAUUUUUGAAACUAAUAUAUAUAUAUAUAUAUAUAUAUAUAUAUAUAUAUAUAUAUAUAUAUAAACACACACACACAUUACAAAAUACUGGUAAUGAGUAAUUAAUUAACUUUUGACUGCUAACUAGUAGUCUAGUGUAGUAUUACUAGCUAAAUUGAUUGAAUUUUGUUGAAAACAUAUAUGGGAUAUUAUUUUCGUACAAUAAUUUUUUAUAGAAAUUAAAAUAUUUUAACUUACAAUUGACAUUUUACAUUUCGGAUAUUAUCCGAUCACCAAUGUCCAAUUUACCAAAUUAAAGUUUGGACAAUAAUUGGAUAUUGGUUUUUUUUUCUUUUUCAUAUUCUUCCCCCUUCCCUAUUCCCUUCCUAAACCCUUACCCCAAACUUGAUAGACUUGGAGUUGAACUCUCAACUUGACAGGUGAGAGCAUGGCUCCUGGCCAACAGUCCAACGAGUUACUGGUUAAUCAGUUAUUGAUCUUAAAAACUCCUAGCCUGACAGGCGAGAGCCUGGCUUCUUGACCAACAGCCCAACGAACUGUUGGUUAAUUGGUUAUUGGUCUUAAAAAAUCAAUUUUCCAAUUCUCAAGAUUUUUUUUUUUUUACUGAAUUAUCAAUUACACAGUCGAAAAGAAAAUCAAUUUAAAUACACGGUCUCCAUUCUCUCUGGACCCUUUUGGCAGCUAAAGGCCAAGUAAAAGAAACAAACCAAAAAAAAAGCCCAAAAUGCUCCAAGAACUGAUUGGCAUUGCAUUCGUAAUUCCAAAAUCCCAAAGUUCAAACUGGUGUAAAUUUAAGAUGCAACUGAAUAUAAAUGGGCCAAAUUUAAGUCCUAGACCCAGCCCAUCUACAACAACAAAAAUGAUAUCGGAUAAAAUAAAGGAAAACGACAGAACCUCCAAAUAAGCAAUUUCUUCGUGUCAGACUCUCAGCUGCAAAUCAGUUGAACUGUCCCGUUUUGAAGUUUAGGGAAUGAAGUGGGAUUCUGCAGAUAAUUUGAGGGGAACAAAGUGGAAUAUACCCUUUCUUUCCCCUGAUCAAUUAAAGUUCAAUCUUCUACAGGUGAAUUUUGCCUUGUAAAAUACUAUUCAAGAAAUAUAUUUGAUGGUUCUGGGCUUUAUGGCUUUAUAAAUCUUUGUUGAAACUAGCUGGGUUGGGGUUAUAGGAAGUGAUGACUCAGGCUCAUUCGGGUUUGUGUGUUCAUGGGGAGUUUUUUCAUGAGAAGGAGGAAGGAGUUAGGGAGCUCUGAAAUGGAGGGAGAUGGGGUAUAUGUCGGCUUAUUUGGAUUUUAACUACUGCCACGUUAGGCCAGCCAUAUCCUUCCUAGUGUAUCGAUUUCUUGUUAAAAUUGUUGAUUGUCAAAAUUGAAAGAGUUUUCAAUAUAUUGCGAAUUGAAUGAUUUCUUGAAAUAUUUUGCAGUUGACAUGUUUACGAAUAAUCGGAGGCAAGAAGAGCGGACUGGAAAAUAUGGAACUCCCCGGGUAAAUUACCUUCAGGUAUAUCUCUGCUGUAAAUUAUUGCUAUCAGAAAUAUUCAACUUUUCCCUGUUCAAAAUGGUUGUGAAGGCGAAAAUGUAGUUGAGAGUUGUAUUUUUUUAUCUGCCUUAAUAUUGAUUGUUUGGGAACUUUCAUUAGUGGCAGUUGAUAGUUAGCAUCCAUUGUUUUCUUUGUUUGAUUUAGGAAUUGGUGAGUCAGUUUCAGAAUGCUACUGAUGAAGGUAUGUUUUGUCCAAUUCUUGUUUAAGCAUAUUUACUUGCUUCUUUCGUAUAGCAUUUAUGAGGUUAAGGCAUUUGAUUAAUAAUUAGCCUUGACAUCAGCUGGUACUGACAGGGUUUAUGAAGUAAUGAAACUAAUGGAACAAAAGAUUAUUCUGCAGUUUUUGUUGUGGAUUGCUAAUUAAUAAUUGAUUUUGACAUCAUUUAGUACUAACAGGGUUACGAAGUAAUGAAACCAAUGGAACAAAAGAUUAUUCUGCAGUUUUUGUUGUAGAUUGCUGAUCAAAUAAAAUUCAAGUUUUUUUAUUUGCUGACAUGGAGCUGGUACUGGGAUCCCUAGAUUGCUUCUGCCAUAGAAUUUCUGUGACUGCUAAAAACAUUGUUUCAUCCACGGAAUCUAUACAGAAUCAAUUUCUUGCAGUAAUGGUCAUGUGACCGUAGAGUAGAACCUCUUCUUUGGAGGGGAGACAUGCAUAGAUGAAAAGGGUCUAGAGGCGAAGUUGUUGUAUGAAUGUCAUAUUGCCCUGGAUUGGUUUGGAUGAAGCAGCCUUAGCAAACAGGUUAAAGGCGGACGAUCAGUUUUGAGCCAAUGGCCUCCUAGGUUGAAAACUCAGAAUGAAGAAUUCUUGACUUUGCCACAACCCUGAUGGUGAUCAUGCUAUCAGGGAGUAUGAACUGAUUCAUGUUGAUGAGGAAUAUGGGGAGCUUGUCUUAUGGAUAGGGUUUAUAUUAACUUACUCCAAGAUAAGUGGGAUGAAAGGAUUGGUUAAUUUCAUGUUUUAGUCCUCAUGCCUUCUCAUACUGUUAACUAGGGACAUGGUUUCUGUGGGAGUAUCUGCACUUAUGACGUAUGAUAUCUAUCAGCAAUUGGUAUUCUCUAUCAUGGAAUAACGUGUCCAACUAAUAAUCCUACUCAUCCUAAUUCCAAAUAUAGCAUUUGUGGUCUCAAAAUUUUGUGUUAUGUAUCUAUGAACACCUGUACCUAAUUUUGGUCAUUCCGUUUUAAGUUAACCUAUGAAAUCUUGUUAUUCAGAGAUAAAGGAGAGAAUUGCUGCUAAUCUAGCAAACUUUGCAUAUGACCCUUACAACUACACAUUCUUGCGCCAGGUAGUUCUAGAACUUUUGAGCUAUAUAUAUUUUUCUUUCUGCCAUGACAAUGAAUGUGCUUGCCCUGAUAUAAGCAGCUUAAUGUUUUGGAACUUUUCCUCGACUGCAUGACAGAGCCCAAUGAGAGGCUUGUGGAGUUUGGUAUUGGAGGAAUCUGCAAUGCCUGUGUUGGUAAAUUGGACCUCUGGCCCUAUUUUAUUAGUCAUUUAAGAAAAGAAGAUGUCUAUUAUUUUUAUAUCUUCUAAGAUUUUCUCAACUGGUUUUUAUUGCCAAACAGUCAGUUAUGGUGUAUAAUGUAAUUUGCUUUUCACUUGUAAUCUAGAUCCGUCAAAUGCUGCAGUUGUAAUUCAGUGUGGUGGAAUCCCUCUUGUCAUUGAAUGUCUCUCUAGUCCUGUCCGAAACACGGUAAUUAGUAGUAUUUGUUUUCUGGCUUGUUCAGAUCGUUGUUUGGAUGCCCUUACCCUUUGACUAUUGGAAGUUGACUUCAAUCAGGGCUCAAGUUGCAUAUCCAUACUGCAUAAUUUUUUGAAACUAGAAAAGGUUUACAUCGCUUACUUUACUCAAAGUUCAUUGACUAUCAUUCACUCUAUUUAUUGCUAAAUAUUACAGAGACAGCAGUGGAAUAGAGAUGAAUCCCGUGGCAGUCACAUGCUAAAUAUUCCAGUUCUGGAGCAUCUUUUAACAUUGGCAUUGUAGUUUAUGCUUGUAUUUCAUGGAAGCCACCUAAUGCUAUCUUCAUCGUAAUUACUAGAUUGACAAACUAAUGUACUUGGUUGAUUUUUGUUGACUUGUAUUUCGUUAAUAUGCUAUUUGAGCUGAAUUUGGAAUGCAAGGCCUUAUGGAUACUCCAUGGAUUGCUGUUAGUCAUGGCACAUUGACCCUGCUAUACUUUAUUGCCAACCAUUUAUUUAGAAGAAUUUGUUAUUUGUAGUUAUCCUGAAAGUCACUUCUGCCAGAAAGAGAAAUGAAUCUCUCAAAGUGUCCUUUGAAAAACGGAAACUUGGUUAUCAUCUUGGUAUGGUUGUGGGUAUUGUGUUACCAGCAGUAUAAUUUUGUCCGGAUACUUACUAGUUACUGCAAACAAACCUCAAUAUGGCAGGUGAACUAUGCUCUUGGGGCUCUGUAUUAUCUCUGCAGUGCAUCAAACAAGGAAGAGAUUUUGAAGCCAGAAGUAGUGGAUAUCAUCAAAAGAUAUGCUUCAGCUGGUGCAGUUAGUGUGAGCUUUAGUAACAUAGCCCAGGCUUUUCUCGAUAAGCAUGUCUCUGAGCUGAACCAAGCACAGGAUUAGGCAGUCAACUUUGGGGUAAUGAGACUGUGGCAUGUAGAAAUUGUAUUUAUCAUGUGUUCAUCUUCUAUUCUAAUUUCUUUUGAGACUUAAAACAUCCCUAUAUGCAUAAAAUUGUUUUUACCGUGUUUCUUGUGAUUUUUUUUUUUUCAACUUCAGAAUCAGUAGCAAUUCAAGGUCAAAAGCCUACGACUUUCUUCCAAUGUAUACAUUGUGGUCCAUCUUAAGUUCCCUCUGUUCAUAAUGGUCAGAAACUCUGUGUACUUGAGUCUGCUCAUAAUGGUUCAGGUACUAUGGUAGUAGAUAUCCAAAGCAGGAGAGAGAGAGAGAGUAGUUUCAAUUGUUUGGAAUGAUUAGAUGCAUCAAAUGGAUGGAACCCGUCCGAUCUUUUCUCAUUCCUCUGUGUUAUGUCGGCUGAAGUUCAUUGUCAAAUAAUGGUUGCCGUCCUAAAGAGUAAAGAGGGACGGACCCCAUAUGCUAUGCUCUGCUCUUUAGAAGUUUCAAAACUUGUUAGUUUGGACACAUAACCUUCCCCAGUGGCCACUCCACAUCCACAUUGGGUAGACAUCAAUGGAAUAAUAAUAAUCAUCUGCAGGCGACAGUGAUGCGGGGGAGCAUAAUUGAGUGCGGGGACCUUAAAAGAGAGUGUGGGGUUGUUGAGAGUAGUUUUAAGGCAUAAAGUCUCAUAUGAUAUGACAUGAGAAGAAUCCAUUACGUGCUUUGAUUCGCUUUUGAAGCUAAUUCUUUUCAAGACAGUCAACUUCUACAUAAUAAUAUUUUAAUCAAAAUUUAUGUUCACUUCAGAUUUUCGUGAGGAUUUGCAGAGUGCAUUUUUAGAGGGCUUUGAAUCCGACAUUUGUUUCUGGUGGUCAAUUUUUACAGUCACAGGUCCUAUCCAUGCAAAUCCUCCUGCCGGAAAAAUCAUAUAAAUGGAGGAGGGCUCAAGGCCAUUUUAAGGGGAAAUAAAUUUUUAAGAAUCUUUUUGAAAUAACGCAUUUUUAAGGUCAAAGUAAAAAAAGUUAAAAAGAAAAAAAAGCUAUAGAUUGGACUGUUUGGUACGUUCAAUUCAAUGUUGGGUACUAUGAUGGUCGAUGGUAGUGUCGUGACGUGACCAACCGCUCCCCUCGCUCGCCCACCAAUAAAAUUUUAAGACAGCAUUGAAUUGGAGCUGAUUCUCCUUUCCUUUUCCCACCCCAUCACCCCUCUUCGGCUCAUAUUCAUUUCUCCAACUCAGGGUCCCGGAUUUCUUGCCGGCGGAGAUUUUCUCGCCAAUCUCCGCUUCCCCUGUUCCUUGGGACUCAAACCCAUCUUAUAUAUCUAGCUCUUUCAUCAGAUAAGCUCGCAAGAACAAAACAAAGAAAAUGGCGUUCGAGAAGAUCAAGGUUGCCAACCCCAUCGUCGAGAUGGACGGUUAGAUAUUUUCCCACCCCUUUCUUUUGAUCUGUUUCCUUUUCUAUAUAGUUAAAUGAUUGUCAUGCAGAUCUGAGUUGCUGUUGAUUCUUGCUAUAUGGGUUGACUUUUGGAUCCUAGAGUGCCAAUGGGUCGUGCAUAUGAAGCGAAAAAUUAACGAAAAACUCUGAUGUUUAUGAGGUUUAAGUGAUUAGUACAAAAUCCUAGUAUUGAUUUUAAUGAAAGUUGGUGGGCCCUUUUUUUGCUUUUAUUGGAGAUAUUUGUUAGCAUUUUGAAAGGUGAUAUUUUUAACUGUUGUACCUGCAUUGAAAAAUCUUGAUCCAGCUUCCAUUUUUUGUUUUUUUUUGUUUUUUGGUUUUGUUUUGGCAAUUUUGUUUGCUGGUGUUGGUAUUCAUUAAGCUUUAUCUGUUCAAAAUAUUUGAAAAUUUUUUUUAUUGAUCAGUGUAUGUCAGCGUCUCGAUUCAGAUGUUAGUAUGUCAAAAUUGUAGCUAAAUGUUUGUCAACAACAGAUACAAGCAGAUAGUCUGGGCAUUCUUGUUCUGGCUUGUGAUGCAGUAAACUAACGAGAAAAAAAGGUUCCAAUGGAGUUUCAAGGUGUAUGGUAGUGGUUUACUAGAUAAGCAUUUGGGAAAGAGAUAUAAUCUGCCCAGACAUUGGAGAAAAAAUUGUAGAACUGUUACACUGAGGUUCAGUCUUGUUGCUGGCUGAUCGGAAAUGGCAUAUGACUUACACUGGUUAAUACAUCAAAUGAGCUGCUAUACAUACAAUACUAGAUUGAAUCCAAAUAAGCGAAAGUUAAAAUUUGAUUACGAUGUUUUAGUCAAUGUUCUGCAGGUUUUCUUUGUCAUUAAUGAGAAUGUGCCUUUCACUGUAUUAUGUUCUUCUUUACGUAAUGCAGGAGAUGAAAUGACCAGAGUCAUUUGGAAAGCAAUCAAGGAUAAGGUAACAAGUUUGCAUUUCCAGUGCUUAUCUUGUUGGACUUCCUAGUUUAUGUUGUUAUAUGUAUGUUUAAUUGCCAAGAAUGUUAGUAACAAGGAAGUAUGCUUGUGCUGCAGCUCAUUCUCCCUUUCCUGGAGUUGGAUAUUAAGUAUUUUGACCUUGGACUUCCUCACCGUGAUGCCACUGAUGAUAAAGUUACAGUUGAAAGUGCAGAAGCUACUCUGAAGUAUGACUUCAUGUUACUUAUGCUUUAGUUUCAAAUUGUCGGACCGUUAUGUCUCUAUGUUCGGGACCCAGUAAUUUCAGUUUGCAUGCCACAAUGUUUUUAUGUGGUUCUUAUUUACAUGUCAUUUUCCUUUCCUUGGUUAUAUUUGCUUGAAAUAUCUCCUGUUGCUUGCGUUCUUUGGCCUUACUUUUUGUUGAUGUGAUUCAAUUGUAGGUACAAUGUGGCAAUCAAGUGCGCAACCAUCACACCUGGUAUGAAUAGUCACAUGAGACCUGAAACCCCUUAAUUAUGCAUUUUGUUAUAUAUGAGGAUUCACGAACAUUUAUUCUUCAGAGUGCAGUAUGAUUGCUUUACCUGCUCAAUAAUAUUCACAUUCUGUAUCUAACAAUCACAAACACAGAUGAAGCUCGUGUGAAGGAGUUUGGUUUGAAGGCUAUGUGGAAGAGCCCAAAUGGCACAAUCAGGAAUAUUUUGAAUGGUCAGUGAACAUGAAUCCUCCUCAUUCUUUUAGUUUUAUUUGUUAUUAUUUUUUUAUAGUUUCUUCAUGCGAAUGCAUUAAUCUUCAAUGCCCAUCAAUUUACUCUCACUGCAGGCACGGUCUUUAGAGAGCCAAUUCUCUGCAAAAAUGUUCCCCGGCUUGUUCCAGGUAAUGAACUUCAUGCAGUUAAAACAUUUAUACUCGAAACAUAAAUCAUGAAAUGGAGUAAUUUUGGUUACUUGCUAUCAGGAUGGAACAAGCCAAUAUGCAUUGGAAGGCAUGCAUAUGGAGAUCAAUACAGAGCAACCGAUACUGUGAUCAAAGGAGCUGGAAAGCUUAAAUUGGUGUUUGGUAAUUCCUCACUAUCCAUCUUUCAUUACUGAUUAAGCACCUUAACCAAACCUCAUUGACUUGUGAAUUCUGAUUUGGUUAUCAACAAAGAAGUUCAUUUUGGUAUCUAUUUUACUUAUAACAUACUUUUCCCCUAUUCUUUUUCCGGCUUCUUAAUCCCUAAUAUCAAUAUGCAGUACCAGAAGGAGCCGAUGAAAAGACCGAGCUAGAAGUAUUCAACUUUACUGGUGCAGGUGGAGUAGCUCUAUCCAUGUACAACACAGAUGAGGUAUGGCUUUCAAAAUUGGGGUCUUAUGGUUAAUUUUUGAUGAUUCUCUUUGUGGCUCAUUUAUAGCCCUUUUUUGUUGUUUGUUGGAAUUGCAGUCUAUCCAUGCUUUUGCUGAUGCCUCAAUGAACGUUGCAUACCAGAAAAAAUGGCCACUUUAUCUUAGCACAAAAAAUACCAUUCUCAAAAAAUAUGAUGGAAGGUAUGCUGCACUUCCAUGUUAGGAACUUGUUUAUUGAUCUAAACAAUUGCUUGAGUACUCUUGUCAAAUAUUUUAUGUUUAAUUCCUAUAAUUUGUCUGUUUCCAAUUUUGUGCUUUUCACGUGUUUAUCUGACCCUUUUCUUGUUGUUUUCUCCCGUCAUUUAAUUUCUGCCUUCUCUUUGUCUUCUCCAAUUUCGUUUUUCAGCCUGUAUUUGAGCUUUCCUUUUUGCUUUUCUCCUGUCAUUUAAUUCCAGCCUUCUUUUUGCGUCUGUCAAUUUUGUUUUGUUAUGUAAUCUUAUCUUCUUUAUCAUUUGUUGCUCCUUAAAAGGUUCAAAGACAUAUUCCAAGAAGUAUAUGAAGCCAACUGGAAAUCAAAGUUCGAGGCUGCUGGAAUAUGGUGGGCUACUUAACUGCCUUUUUUUUGUGUUGGGGGGGGGGGAUGCUGCUUCCUUCCAUGUCUUGUGAAUUUUCCCAAUUAACUGCAUAAUACAUGUAACAGGUAUGAACACCGUCUUAUUGAUGAUAUGGUUGCAUAUGCUCUAAAGAGUGAAGGAGGUUAUGUGUGGGCUUGCAAGAAUUAUGAUGGGGAUGUUCAGAGUGAUUUCCUAGCACAAGGUAUGCAAGUUGUAUUACUGAUGUCUACACAUUCUGAUUGUGUUCUUGGAACAGGAGUUGCUUAUUAAAGCCUCUUUUGCUUAUGGAGAAAUAAAAGUCCUCUGUGUCAUGUAAAUGUUCAAUUUUUGCACAAACUUAAGUUUUCGGCUUCUUUUCAGGGUUUGGAUCCCUUGGGUUGAUGACAUCUGUCCUGGUAUAUUUCUUUUCAGUGUUUACUUCCAUCAUGAUAUCUUUUAUAUUUUUGCUUCCUUUAUUUGCUCAACUGAAGGCUUGUAUUAUUGGAUGAAAUUUUGAUAUGACUAUUUACUUAGUUUUGUCUUUACAUUCAUCUGCGUGCCUGUGUCAAUGGGUUUGGUGUGAUUUAGGUAUGUCCUGAUGGAAAGACCAUAGAAGCUGAAGCAGCCCAUGGAACUGUUACACGGCAUUACAGGGUUCACCAGAAAGGAGGUGAAACUAGCACAAACAGCAUUGCCUCGAUCUUUGCUUGGACACGAGGACUCGCACACAGGUAUGGUAGUGUUAAUUUACUUUUUUUGCCUCUUUAGCUCAUCAUGACCAUCUCAUGGCAGACAAUUGUUUUAGUUUACUCACAAAUGAUAAUGAUGAUGAACGUAUUUCUUUUCUUACUUUUUUACAGGGCAAAGUUGGAUGACAACCCUAGACUGUUGGACUUCACUGAGAAACUGGAGGCAGCAUGCAUUGGUACUGUUGAGUCAGGAAAAAUGACCAAGGAUCUUGCACUUAUCAUCCAUGGACCUAAGUGAGCAGCUUACCUAGUACUGUUUAUUUGUGUACUUUUCUUCAGACUUGUCAAUAGGGAGGAUUAGAGAAGACCAUCAGUUUAAUACUGCUACUGAUGUAACAUGUUUUCCUUUAUGGUGUAGGUUAAGCAGAGAACGGUAUUUGAAUACUGAAGAGUUUAUUGAUGCUGUGGCUGAUGAUCUGAGAGCAAGACUCUCCUGCAAAGCGUAAGUGUAUGUCUCCUACAAAUUUACUCCUGAGAUUCCCUCCCCCCUUUUCCCCUUUUUUUCUAAUAUUUAUUUGGUGAGUGUUCUGUUUGUCAUUUGUGCUAGUGUUUUCUUUUUCUCAUAAACCUGGAAUUUUUUAAUUUUUUUUUUAGAUAAUGAAGUUUGUGUACAAUUUAGAGGCCAAGCCUCUUGUUUCCUUUGUGACCUUUUCAUCAAGAUCUAGUUGCUGUUCUUAUUUGUUCCCAGAAUUUUUUAUUCUUAGUUUAGUUCUUUGCUUGUUUCUUCGUACAGAAUUUAGUGAUUGAACAUGUAACAGGAGCUCUUGUUCUUUUUGCUGUUGCAUUCUUACCAGGUCUCUGUAGGCAGGUUGAUGGAUCUGCUUCUCUCUGUUCUGGAUUUUGCUGAGAACAAAUAAAAAAGGGGAAUGAGAGGAGGCUGUUGGGAUGGUGGUCGCCUGAAUUUGCUCACUCAGUGAGAUGUAUUCUGGUUGUCAGUUUAACAUUUAUUUCCCUAAGCUAAAUGCUUUGGACAUUGCAAAUGUUUCUUGGAGGAUGAUUUCUCAUUACACAUCUAUAAUAACCUUAAUUUAUGCCAUGUCUUUCUUUUACUCUUUAGCCAUUUCAUCAUUUAUGAAGAUUGUGAAUGCGGGGGAAAAAAAAGCUUUGUUAUAACCUUAAUAUGUUUGAAGUAAAUAAGCUUUGUCAUCUAGCAUAAGUAAUCCUGACAGCAUCGGAUCUUUCUGCCCUGUUUUUGGCUUUGAAUGGCUAAACUCGUUUAUGGGAAGGGGCACUCCUGAGGACGGGGGCACAGUGCUAAAAUUUCGAUGCCGCAUGCAUGCAUGUGUCCAUGAGAUUGCCCGAAAAAUGUUUGAAAAGCUGAUGUGUUAUUCCUCCUUCACUGCCCACAGAAAUUUUUUUCACAUCGAUUGAGAGAAUUGACUUUUUUGAGUAUCUUGUGACAGUCCUUUUUGUGUCUUAGGAUCAAUUUGUUAUGCGAAAUACUAAUCUCCAAAUGUUAAUCGAACUCGGGACUGGUAUGCAUUUAGGAAUUUUGCUUCCCAAAAUAACUUUUUCGGGGACCACAAAAUUUUAAGAAAAGAAAAGGAACAGAGAGAAUUUUUCCUGAAACAACUCUUGAAUUUCACAAAUCUUGACCGCAAGCCCUUGUCAAUGUUCUUGAAUCUCUCUAAUUGCCUUUCCAAGUUACGUAUGUGAAAAAUGCCUUUAGACCCUAACAAGUGUGAGUGCUGACAUAUAAGCCUUUGCAAGCAGAUCUCGUUUCGCACGGGGGCCAGGCCAACUAUUGAACGAUAUGUGAUUAAAUCCUCGUCCGCCAUGCCAUGUUUGCAUCCAUCAAGGACACGACUCCGUAGUCGAAUGCUGUUUUGCUGUAUGGUUCCAUUGCUGAAGUAGAAUGCAGUAAUAAUUAAAGACAGACAGGGUCGGCAUCCACUUUUUUGAUAACUCCAAACCUGAUGUUGAAAAUUAAUUCAUUAAGAGUUUUUUGAAUUUAAUAUAUUUCAUAACAGAAAGAAAUGCCUUAAGAACUGCUUAAUUUUUGUUCAUAACUUUAAAUGAAUAUUUUUUUUGCUGAAUUUUCUGAACUGAUCAUAGAUAUAUCAUACCUCCCUCCCACAAGCAAUACAACUCUAAUACACAUGGCUCUCAUACGCAACAAACCUUGAUACAUGCUCUAACAUAAAGUGCAUCAACAUCCUCAAACAUUGAGCUUUAGUAUGCUGCAUGCAGAAUAACCUGGUUUUUCUUCUAAAUUACAGUAGUAUAACCUGCGGCAUCCCUUUGUUUCUUGAAACCCUUAUCGUGUUGUCUGUUUACAACAUGUAUCUUCAGUUACUUCAUAAAAAACACAAAGGAGAUGCUCCUAGUAUACCACAUUUAGUUGGGGGUCACAUAAAAAGUAACCCAAGCAACAGGCAAUACGACUAAAUCAAGGAGAUGCUCAUGAGUUGAGCGAAAAAUUUUCUAAUUGCACGGCCGGCCGAGACUAGUAUAUCCUUGGAUCUUUUAGCGAACGAAUGAGUGAAAGCUGCCAUCAAAGAAAGCAACUCCAGUGUAUCUGCCACAUGAAAUGUGAAAAUUUCUCCGUUUAAUCUACGCUUACAAGCAAGUAACAGGGUUAAUUGACAACUAAGCGUGAUUACCAAGUAGCAGAAUCAGUUGAAUGUCUUUGAUGCCCAUCUCCAAUUUUGAAAUUGCUGCUCUCAUGCUGAUAUCUGAAAGAAUGGCAAUGGUCAGUCUAGACAAAAUCUUAACAGUGGUUCAAAUGCUCCCGCUAAUGUAUGACACUUUGACUUUCUGAUAUAUAAUUCGUUACCCUACCUCUGAUAAAAUGGCAAACCAUAGAUUAUAUAUAUAUAUAUAACUAGACUGACUAACUAACAAAAAAAAAAAAAAAAAAAAAAAACAGCACUAGACACUCGAAAAAGCAUCCUGUGAAAGAUCUCAAGAAAUUGAAAAUCUAAGCUGUCCAAAAAAUCAUGUUAUAUGGUGAUUAAAUACAGAGUUCAAAGAUAGAAUGCUUACUGUUUUAUCACCCAGAUUUGACCAUGCAUGUCAGGAAGAAGAACAUCAUCUAUUUAGUAUUCCAAUAAGAAAGAUAAUCAUUCUAGAAAAUCCCCAUGUACUUCACAGUUCUAUAAAUCCACGGAAUCCUACAAGCCCAUCUGACUUCUACUACUUUAAAACAAAACAAAACAUGCAUUUUCCUAGCACAUAAGCAAAGAAAGAACUAAAAUUAGCUCUGCUCUGUAAGCUUAAAUAGAAUCUCACCAGAUUCAGAUUUUUCUUUGGGGUAGAGACCAUGGAAUGCAUUUUUAGCAUAAGCCCUCAAACGGACCCGUUGAGGAGCACCCAACUUGCUGAUCAAAGACCUAAGCAGACCACUACAGAAGACAAAAAGGGGAAAUAAGGUGAUCAUCAAAGAAAAAAUACAUCCUUAGACUUGUGAAUCAUAUUAGACAUCAAAAUAUAAAACAAAUUGCAAUUAGAAUGGGAGGAGCAUGGCUGGAAAUGAAGGAAAGCAUUCUUACUCAGCACGCAAAACUGUCAAAAAAUCAGCUGGUAAAGAUUCCAUGAAGGAGGAUAUGUCCUCCAUCUUAAGGGACUUCAGUUCUCUUUUUAGAGUCCUCUUCUCUUCAUCUGACAUUCCUCGUCCAAGUGGAGAUUUGCUGUGAGGUUGCAGAUUUAGAAAGUGUUGUACAAUUAUAUUAACAGUACUAUACUAGUAGAAACUCGAAACUACAGGCAUUAAACAAACACAUGAAUCAAUGCUUGAUUUUUCAUGCCGACCAAUUGAUAGUAAUUUCCAUUCAAAAUCAAAGAAUAAUGUACAAUUUUUCCUGUUUCACUGGACAUGCAUUAGUAUGAGCUAAACUAUGAAACCAAAGUUCUCACAACAAGAUAUGGGAGAGAAACGAGCAACGAACUUUCAAGUAACUUGUUAACUAAUAAGUUAUGAAUUGUAUCUGAUUGUUUUGAAUUUCUCCGAAUGAUGCAGGUAACUGUAUUCUAUAGAUAAACAGACCAGCUUUAGCUGUAAUGUGUCAUGUGGUGAACUUAAGUGCAAGGACUUGCAUUUCUUGAGCAUAUCAAGCUUAUUUCCUAUACUUUCGCAUUAAAUUAUCAGUAUAUCCGCACUACUUGGUCAUUACCAAACCAACACGCAUAUAUUCAGCUUAGGGCAUUAGUGCCAGACCAUAACCAGGGGAAAUAUGAGCUGCAUCUUCACAACCUAUCCCUUUAAAAAUAAAUAAUCACCUGUUCAACGUUCUUCCUGUGAAAAUGACGGGAAAGUAUCUGGAGUACUUCCCGACACCCAUCUGUUCACCAAUCUGCUCAAUUUUGUUUGAGUCCAUGAAAAUCAAAGCCUUCCAAAGUUGGCAGUAGUUCAGCCUGAAAGCUUCAUCCAAUUCUUUACAGAUCCCAUGAUCCAGAAGAACUGCAUGACCACAUCAAAUCAAAGUUAUGGCAUCACUAAAUGUCAAAAGUACACAUUAUAUUUUCGAGUUAAAUUAGCUCAUUUCUUAUUUAUCACUUUUAUUUAUGAGUAACUGCAUACCUAAAGAAAAUCCAUUCUGUCCUUGAGAAACCAAUAUAUUUCCAGGAUGUAAAUCCCCAUGCAAGAAACCAUGGAUAAAUAUCAUUUCUGCCACAACCUCCGAUAGGGCCUUUGCAACCUUUGAAUACAAGCCAGUGACGGAGGCGAAUAAAGAGUGUCAAACAGUAAAAAAAACGGCACUGCAUGGUAAGUUAGAAAGCUUGCAUAAUCCCUCUACUUCUUGAUUAAAAAAGUCUGAAGAGAUAGUCUACUACAAGUAAAUAUGCUUCUGGUGGAAAUAUGAUCCACAUCAAAACACAGCCUACUUUCCAGAAAAAGAAACCAGAAAAAUUUUGAGCCUGCUAACUUGAAAACCAACCUUAGCUGGAUUAAUCCCCAUUCGCUUCAUAGAUUCCAAGUCAUCAACCUGAAAGCUAAGGAAUUUCCUGUUAAUGGCACAUAUCGAUAUGUCAAUACAAAUGGUGGCCAAGAAAAUUGAAAUUGAUGUACUAGCAUUUUAUGCCAACAAUGACUAAGAAGAAAUUAAGGAAACCAAGCAUUUUUCCUACUUAAAGAGAAGAAGAAAAAGAACUUUGUUGAUACCAAGAAGAGUACAUACAUACACAAGAAGAACUCAGCUAAAUGGGAAUUAAACAAGACAAGACAUAACAGUUUCAGAAUUACUUUGCAAAAUCUUCCAACAUUGAUUGAUAACCAUAAUAGAAAGAAUAAAAUAAAAUGCUCUUUUGCAGACUACAAAUCGGUUAAUGCUGGUAACCAUAUGUGAGCAACUACAUGUACUAAGAGAAGCAACUCAUAUAGUUGUUUCAUCCUGACCAACAUGGAGACGACAAAUAAACAUAUUCAGAACUUUAGUUUUGGGAUUCUGAAUUCUGGUAGUCCAUCAACAUUUUAUGCCUAGGAAGCAAGAUGGAAAUUGUACCUUCUGUCCUUUACAAUAUUGCAUUGUCAAAACCUUGGUGGUUGUCAAAUCCUGGAUAGAUUUCUUAAAGAGUGAGUGAAGCUGAUACAUGCAUAGUAAAAUAAAGUACCAGGGGCAAUGUACAAAUCUGAGAAUGUAAUGGACUUGAAUACCAUACCCAAAAAACACGGGGAACCCUGACAAAACUAUUGCUUCGUAAAUUUUUGGCUGCUCGUUCUGAGUUCAUAGCUUCUUGAAUAAAAUCUAUAAAGCAACAAAGAUCAUAAAUGUCCAGAAAAACUUUUGUCAAUAUAUCAUUUAGAAUUUGCCAAGAUUUACAGCUACAAGAAAAGAAAGUUCAAGGAAAAUUUGUCAAGGAACAUAUAAUGAUCACUCUUAUGAACGACCAGUUUAUGUAACUCUGAACUCUAAUAUUAUUGGUCUUCUAUUUCCUUGCAAUGAAGCCUAAGAGAAGAGAGAAAAUGAUGUGCAGCACGGGGUAGAAUGCAUAAAAGCUGCAAGGAAAGAAAUUUUCUACUUGGUAUUCAAUCAAUUUGUGCCAGUCUAAAAUCCCUUACCAAGUUCAGAAGAUAUAGAUUUUUCAAAUUCUGACAGUAUCCACCCAAAUCUGUAGUCAGGAAAAAACUGUCGAAAGAGGGACAAGAAGAGAAUUGUAAAGCGUGUGGAGCCAUGUGAACAGAAGAAGAAAAUUACAUUAAAUAAUUAACCAAAUACAUGGAAUUGAAAAGUCAAAAAUGUAGAAAGAUGAACAAGCACACCAACCAAGUCCACAACUUGUGAGGUUAUGCAGUAUCUGCAAACAUUUUCAAGUUGAAUACCUCUUUCAUUUCAACUUCAUUCAUAGACACCACAAGAAAAAAGCCAAGAGACACGGAUAUUAAAAAGAUUGUAGUCUACAGCCUCACGGUCAAAUACCACUUCGAGUCAAAAGGCCACUGUGAAAAAAAGCAUUCCCCAGAAAAAGAAGUUCACUGAAAGUCAUUGUUCGUUCUUAGUUCUUACACAGUGUCAACCUCUGUCCAAAGACAUUACCAGCCCAAAAACUAGCUGAGUUUGUUUAAUUUUUCCUUUCUAACACUCUCAAAAGCCCAUUUUAUUUAAUUAAGCAAAUUUUAUAAUGGAUACCUCCAUGACUUCAAUAACUGUUAAAAUGAGAUGUUGUAUGUACCAUUAGAAUUUAAGUUAUCAAAACGGGUGCAACUGUAUUUGAGUUGGUCUAAUGGGGUAAAAGCUGAAAAAUAAACAAACUCCCAAUUCAAGCAGGGUCCCAAAGGGUUUAGUCGGGAUAGUUUAGGUUUACUUCAUUGCUAGUUUGACCUUUUCUAGUUAUUUGUUCCCCUAGGCCCUCCAAAGAACCAUUCUCUAAGAACUAACAUCCCCCAGAAACCCAGUCCCACACCACUAUUUCCUGCAAUACUUGCCAAAAAAUUACAGCUGGUGGCUUUUGGUGGAUCCAAGGAUAUAUCAGAUUUCCCAGAUGUAUAUCUCUAGUAAAUACCGCACUAGAUAAGACUUUAGAAAAUCAAUUCUCAUUGAAGAAAGGAAUUGAGCUACAUAUAUUUCAGGCUGGAAAAAGUUAAUAUUUGGUGAAACUGAAUAAUGAACAAGGAGAAACAAAAAGACAGAAUCAACAAUUAAGAGCUAAGAGCAUUGCUUGAUGAUGUAAUUAGUUCAUACCCAGGUGACUAGUCUUGAGAGGAGAGACAUGGUUGCAAGGUCAUACUUCAUCUGCUUCUCUAACCCAGGAUACUGCACCUGCAAUUAUAGUGGUCCAAAUCAAUUGAAUACCGAUGAAAAGUUGUAAAUAUAAUUAUACAUCACCAAUCACCACAUCCACUUAGUUUUUAAAUAAGUACUGAUGGUGACUAAGGAUGGCUGCUUCAACCAAAUGCUUAAACUUGAACUAAAUGGCAAUAAGCCACAAAUGUUAACUUCUUCCAAUGUUAUGUGAUAGAAUUACUAAAAAAACCACUACAUUCCCAUGCAACAGGAAUCUUACAGGGAACAUGAAAUAGAAGAAGUGGUUCCGUUGACAAACAUAUGAAUAGCCGAAGGUUGACUUUUCAUCUUGAGGAAGGGUGGGGAACAAAUAUGCUGACAGCAAAGUCUCACAAAUGUGCACAAUUACUUUUUUAGAAGAUGAAUAAACUAACAUAAUUCUAAACAUAAGAACACAUAUAUUGUGAAAGAAAAAAAAAAGAGGGGGGGGGGCAGGGGAGGUAGGAACUCCACAAUGAACAAUUAACAGAUAGAAACAAUAAACCAACCUUUACUGCCACUUCCUGGUUAUCAUUUAGUACAGCAUGAUGUACUUGAGCAAUAGAAGCAGCUGCAACUGGCUGCUCAUCAAAUGAAAUGAAUCUAAUAGGAAUAACACAAAAAAAAAAGUGGUAAGCGGUUGUUGUACCCAAUGAUCUUCUAGUAACAAACAGUUUAAAAUUCAGAAGCAGUUUUGGUCUAGAUAAAUGUUCAACAGAUUUUAGCCUAUCAUAUGAAGAGUAUGUUUUUCAGUCACUGAAGGUUAAAACAUCAAAUUGCAUUGAACAAAUGAAUUCCGAACUUGGAGUUUCUCUUUUCUUUGGGAGGGGGGUAAGCUUGAAGCACUUAGGUUAAUAUUCGUCCAUCACUCAAGAUGUAUAUGCCAAAUUCAACCUCAAUUUAGGAAGUUCAAUGUACUUCAAAAAACAACUAAGCCAGUCUAAAAAAUUAGGCAACUUCAAAACUUACAUCUCUGAUAAAUCACGACCAAAAUUGCUGACUAGUAAUUCUUUGAUAGCUUUGAAUCGGCAAGGAGCUGUCUAGUAUAGGAUACAACCAAAAUCAGUAAACUUGCCAGAAUUGAAAAAUUCUCAUCAGAAACCAAAUGAAGGUCAAAUUUAGAAGGGGGAAAAUAUUAAAACCACAUAAAAAUUUAUUCUAAUUUCAGAACCUGAUCCUGUAAUGAGGAAAGAGUUGAUGAGUACUCCUUCGGAACUUGCCGCAGAGCCGCAACAAAUUGACCAGCUUUCACAUAAAAACCUCUAUUGAACUCGCAUAAUUUCAAAAUUCUCUUCGCUGACCGCAAAUGGACCUAUUAUUGAACAAAGAAUCAAUAUUUUAAACGCAUUUCCUGCCAGAUAACUGUUUCAUAAAACAGUAAUAGGCAACAAUAAUGGACAUAAGCACCUAAAAUUAAGAGAAGUUUAGCAAUGUAAUCAAAUUUCUGAAAUACCAAACCUCGGAGAGAACAUUCCGGUACUCGUCGGACUUCUCCGGCAAGUAAUGUAGAGAGUACUUAUAGUCAACUACAGUGGAAGCUAUCUGCAAGAAGCAGCAUUUAGUACUAGUCGAGAUUCAGACAAGAAAUGAUGACUAAAAAUUCCUGUUCAAAUGUUUGAAUGAAAUGAAGAGGUACUGUGAAAAGAGCGCGAGAGGAUCGAACGGCGCCAUAAAGGAAGGGGAAGUCAGUAGCGUGAGGAGGUGAAGGUAAGCGGAGAGAGUCAGGGUUGUCUACAAGAGCUGCGACACCGGCGGCGGAGAUGAAAAACAACGACGUCUUAACCCCGGCCUUGGUUCUGGCGGGAAAUAAAUUAAACAAAAAUCGGGUCCUCAUCUUGCAAAAGAUCAAUCGGAGAAGGACGGAGGGAAAGAGAGAGAAGACCAAAGAUUCUUGCUUAAGUGAUUUGCAGGAGACUCUCGAGUCGAUCGGAAUACUCGGGUUAAUUCGGGUGAAAAAGUUAUGGUCCCGCUUUUGAAGUAAAAAUCGUGUCGCUGUUCCCGUCAAGUGAAAACGUUUUUUUUUUUUGUUUUAGAAGUCACACGACUUUGUGCAUUUCUUUUGAUGAACAGAACAUGACGUCGAUUUUGCACGAAUUGGGGAACAAGUUUUUUUUUUUCCCCAAAAAAAGUGAGUCGAAUGAGUAAAGGAAGCGUCUGACUCCAUCCCCCCAUCUCCCUCCCCCCAGCCCACCAAGAAAAAAAAUUUUUUUGAAAGGAGGAUGCUUCAUUUGUAGUUGGUGACAAAGUUGCCUUUCUUUUUUCUGUUGGAAGACUGACAAAGUUGCCUUUACCAAGGAAGGAUGAUACUGAAGGAGAGAGCAUUUCAUUAUUAGGACAAAGUAAGUACAUUAAAUGCUUUGCAUUUGACAUUUUAUAGGCGCUUGAAAUGAAUCGUGUGAAUUAUACAUAGAUAAUAGAUCCCAUUUUAAGAAUAUUCUUCUUCUUGAAGAAAAUCUGGAAUGAUUUCUUGUAAAUCAAACCAAUUAGGAAAGAGCUUAUGGUAAAGGAGUAUUACUAUAUAAUAUACAUUUACGUACCUAAAUGCAGAAUUGCAGAUUCAGGAUCAUUUCUGAAGUAUAGAUACACAGAUAUAAGUAUAUAGAUACACUCAACUCUACUAACGCUCGAGGGACAUUUAAAGAGAAAAUAUAUAAGUAUAGAUAGAUUAUACCAAGCUCUUUCAAGUGUUGAAAGCCAAUGGAAAAAGUUUGGUUCAUGUUUUAGUUGAGUAGAAUGCAUUUCAAUUCGGGACAGGGAACUGUUUCAGUCUGACAAUUCAAUAAAUAUGAAGGACUACACUUGCGUCCCUUGAUAUUAACUUGCCGAAAUGCGCAAGGACUUUUAGGUGUGUCAACAAGACUUUGAAGGCUGUUCCUGCCCUGAAAGUCUCAGAAAGUAGCAGAAAUUGAUUUCAGGAGGGGUGUAAUUAAAGUUCGUACCAUUAUCCGAUUAGCAUAUUUAAUCACCCGACUCCCUUUAAUGCUAUUUCCUGUGUAAUUCCUUUCAUGAUUUUUAUAUCAACUGCAUUACAUUUUGCCUCAAAAAUGCGUCAAAACAUGGAAAACCGGUAUACAGAUGAUCAUUGAUCAAUGCAGCUACUGUGAUGCUCAGGCCUUGAUAUGACAUGCUUCUGCCCAACAUGUGAUAAUAAAUGCCAAUUUAUGCACAUUUAUUACAAUACCAAGGAAGAUUAAGUGGUCUAGAAUGACGUUUCAGACUCUCAUUCCAUCCUCACAAGGUCUUACCACUGUGGAGUCUGGACAUGUCCAUGAGAACCAGAAUCCAACCAGAGAAGCCUCACUUCUUCAAGCCUAUCCUUCCAGGCUUCAUAGAUGGAGUGGUAAGCUUUGCUCUUCAGUCUUCCAAGUCCAGGUUUAUCGGUUUAUGCUUGUCUUCUGUGUUUGUGGGACAAGCUUUACAUGAUUACAUCUACAAAAUGUAAAGUUAGGAUAACUAAGCCCAGUUACUUUUUUCAUUGUUAAGCAUUUUUUUAAUUUGCAGAAAAUUCCAGCAUCUUUCUUGAACUAUUUAGGUGGAAAGAUAUCUGAAAAUCAGGCAGUAUUGCGAAGGGGUGGUGUUAAGGAAUGGAGGGUAGAAAUUAGUGACCAGUGGCUGAGAGAAGGCUGGAGAGCAUUUGCUGUGGAGAACAACUUGCAGGUGGGAGAUUUUGUAGUGUUCGAACAUGAAGGAAAUAUGGUGUUCGAGGUUUUGGUUUUUGACCCUAGUCAUUGUGAGAGAAAAUAUGCAUCCAUUGAUGAUGAAAAAAAAUGCUCCCAGAAAUUUAAAGCUGCAGGUUAGGUUUCCUUUUCUUUUCUUUUCUUUUAAAAUGAAUGUGUUUUUCGUUUUCUGCUUGCAUUUGUUAUUUGAUGGAUCCAAAUGAAGUGUGAUUAAUGUUCUUUUGAAGCAACUGAAGAGAUUCCAAGAAGCAAGAAAGUUAAGUUGGAACUGUCUGAUGAUCAAGAGGAACCUGAUUCUACUGAUCAAAUUUGCCGUCCCUAUUUUAUCUUUACUGUCAAGCCAAUUAACCUUCUGUAUCACCGAUUGGUAAAUGUGACUUUUCAUGGUUUUCCUUUUGAUGUAUAUGAACUCUACAUCUGUAGACCUAUAUAUUUUACUUUUGGUGCAUGAAUGAUAACAUACUAGCGAUACUCUAGAAAAUGUAUAUGAAAUGUCCUCAUAACUCAUUAGUAUUAAUACAUUGAUCAGCAUGCUUUCAAGCAGAGGAACUAGCUAUAUACUGAAAUCUUAUGAUCAAGUUAAAAUGGUUAAUAAGCUUUUAUAGCUCCAUACUCUAGGGAUAUGCUCCUCGGAAAAAAAAAUUUCUUUGAGUUUUCACCCAAAAAAAAAAAAAAAGAGCGCUGCUACAGGGGAAACGAAAUCGUAUGUUCAGUGCUCUCGCCUUCAUCUUUAUACCAUUUAAGUGUCCACGAGUAGCAUCAACUGAUACGCAUAUUUGUAGAAGUUACGAUUAACAGCCUCGCUUGAUUUUGUUGUCAGAACAUUCCCAGGGAUUUUGCGAUGGAGAACGGUCUAUUCGGCAGAGAAUGCAAUAUAAAGCUAAGAGAUCAAAGCCAAAGGUCAUGGAGUUUAAAGAUAAAAUCCAGUAGCGACUGCGCUUCCAUUCAAUGUGGAUGGAAAAGUUUUGCAAAAGCACAAGGGCUGAAGGAGGGAGAUGAAUUCGUGUUAGAGCUCACUGAAAAUGGAGAGGCGCCUGCCUUCAAUUUCUAUGGCAAGCUUUUCUGUUAUUAUUAUGCUUCCUGAUAUGUAUAAAACAUACAUAAGCUUGAAGAAAUUCAGGCAAUAUAAGUGGAAAAGUGAUGUUCUAAGUUCAUCCCUAAGAAUUUGAUACAUACCAUAUGGUUAGGCUUUAGAAUAAUUGAUGAAUCAGAUAGGUUUUCAGACGUACUAGUGAAAAAUGCAUACUUUUUAAACUGAGGCUAAACCUAAAUGGUAGUUCAUCAUGUACGAGGAAAGGAACAGAAAAUGGAGACUUCACAGUUUUGGAGAUUAGUUACUACUUAGUAUUACUAAUUAAUCUUUUCCUGGAAGCACGAAGUACAACAUUGCACCAAAAGGGCUGCUUUCCUUUAUAAUUGGGUAAUGAUCACUACUAAAGUACCUUAGGAUAAUUUUUUCAAUCCAGAGCCUCUGCCUGCCUCUACAGUCAAAGUCCAUUCAUUAUAAAGCAGGAAACUUUCACGAUUUUACUGCAUGCACUAAUGUAUGGUAGUGCUAAGUAGAAGAUUUGAAGGUUCCAGAGUUCUAUAUAAUAAAAUUUGUCUACCCAGUGGAAAACCAGGUUGUAAUUUGUAGACGACUUCUUUCUUGAACUCUUUUCAUUCAUUUAGGAAAAGACAAGGCAUCAACUCGAAAAUCAGGAAAGGAAGUCUCUUGGCGUGAUGAAGAACCUGUUAAUCCUCACUUUACGUCAACAAUAGAACCUCAUUGCAUCAGACGUUGUGUAUUGGUGAGCCAUUUUGUCUCUUGCCACAAUCCAUUUCUAUGGCACGCUAUACACUACAGUUGCAACAUACCUGGCAAUCCAAUGCAGUAUCUCCCAAUGAAGUUCGCGAGAUCAAAUGAUUUAAGCAACAGAAGCUGCAAAUUGAUCCUCAAAGAUCCAAAGAAAAGGUCAUGGCAUGCAGAACUCAACUCAAGAGGCAGCCGAGUUUGCAUCUCUUUUGGCUUGGACGAGUUCUUUACUGCAAAUGACCUAAAGGAAGGAGACACUUGCAGCUUUGAGCUUGUGGAAAAUGGAGAAACACCUGUUAUUAACUUUCUUACACACCUGACAAAAGAUGAUCAGCCUCCACCACAGCCCGCCACUGAUAAUCAUUCUUACUUCGUCUCCACAAUCAAGCCUUAUAACAUCAAAAGAUGUGUACUGGUAAGCAUUGGAACUUCUGAAACUGUCAAAGUCCAUUUAUAUAACGAGCUUUGGGACCUUUUGGGAUCUCUGAUAUGAUGUGUCCUGCAGCAUCUACCAGUGAAGUUUGCUAAACCGAAUGGUUUAACCAAGCUGAAGGGAGAAAUGAUCGUCAAAGAUGACAGACAAAGGCUGUGGAAAAUAAAAUUGAAGGACAGGGGAGAUAGAGUUGUGCUUUCAAGCGGAUGGAGUAAGUUGUCCAGAGCAAAUGGCCUUAAAGUUGGGGACAGGUACAAGUUUGAGAUCAUCAAGAAAGGAAAGAGACCUGUGGUGAAUUUCCAUUGUGAGUAUUUCUUUCCAGUAUACUUUAUGCCUUGUUAGUUAAAAUUUUAGAGUUAAUCUUAUAGUCGCUAUUUAAUUUCCCUUGUUGCUUUUAGUUGUAAUCUGUACUGAUCAAAUAUUCAGUUGCAUACUCUUCACUGAUUGCUAGGAUGCCCAGUUAUAAAUUUUAGAAGACGAAUGAGAAAUACUACUGAAUGCUUAACCAACCCUUUGAACUCGCAAGUAAAUUAUCUCAUCCUAAUUUACAGGUUUUGCAUGUUUCAAUUUUGUGAAUUAAUUUAACAUUCUUCAAUCAAAUUUUUAAGUUUCUCUUGAUGUGUGUUAGCGUAAGCAUUAUUCUCCAAGACUGAUGUGAUCUGCAGGUGAGUUUCUGAAAUCUGAAGAGGACAGCCCAACUUUAACCCCAGAUUGAUGAUAAUUGACAAUCACACCCAACCUUCCAACUUCCAAGCACGGUACUGGCACAGUCCAUCAUUUCGGUAACACCGUGCUUUCUUCAUUUCUGAUUUCUGCUUUCAAGAAAUCAUUAAUUAUGUGCUUUUCACCUGGGCUACUUCUGAAUUAUGUAAAAGCAUCAUUUGUACCAUUGGAUGAUUUUCUUUAUCUGGAUAAGUUCACAUUAUUCUGUUUAGGAAAUGAGGUAAAAUAUUUCUCUUCGUGUGGGAUCAGAAUAGAGGGAUUGAUUCCUUUUUUGCUGAUUUGGUCAAUCCUGCAUGAUAAAGAAAGUGUAGGGGUACGUAUGUAUAGAAUUACAUCCCCAUACCAAAAAUGUGGAGUAGUUAGAAACUAAGGAUUACCGAGAAAACAUUCUAAUUAUUGCUAGCUUGACAAGAAAAUAAACACAGUUGUACCUCCCAUAACUCAACAUGCCCAUCCUCGCAUCCGUCUCAAUAACCUAGAAUAAAUCUUUUUUUUUUUUUUUAUUUUAAAAAUCGUCUUCAUUUUAUUACACGUACAUGAAUGAAACCUGGAAAAAUUUUUUUAAAAAAAUUAUGAACGUUAAAAAAAAGUAUGGUUGCUUUGGUUUAGCGUUCAUUAACCCAACCCAAAUCUAUACUGCGACUGUUUCACUCGAGCAAUUGUUCGAGCGUAUGAUCUGGACGUGAGAACUUGACAAGUUGAACCUCUAGAGAGAGUCCAAGAACAAAAAAGAAGUUACUAGAUAUUUUAGGCUUAUGCCGCUUUUAUUUACCAAAUGGUCCAUACUGGCGUUUAUGAAUGGUAGUAGGAAAAGGACCAGAUGGUGCAAGACCUUUCGAAUGUCACGGUUGCUUAAUUUUCUAUAAGCACGGCGAAACCUCCCUGUCUGGCCGGUCCAGGGCUGGUGAGCGCGGUCGUGCGCGACACGUGUCAAAAGGAAUCCGUCAAAGCUGUUGCGACUUCAUUUUGCACACACGGGAAAGAGUGGAAUAUUUGAAGCCAAAUAAUAAAUGUGUUAUCAUCUGCAACUUUUAUUUGCGUAGAAAAAUUUUGUUGGAACUGUUAGAACUGUUCAAAGUCUAUAAUGAAGUUGCGGCAUUGUGAAGCAGUUGACUUAAAAAUGUGGAGUCUAUGGAACCCAGUUUGAAGAUUCGAAGCCAAGAUGGAGAAACUAGAAAAGCCGGAUUCUAGAAUAAUACGUUAACCUCCCCAAAAAAAAAAAAAAAACGGUGUGCCUGCACCCCAUUUCUAACGGUUGGUAUUCUGCCUUCCCCAUCCUCCUGAUCUUCUUCUUUUCAACCGUUGGAAUCUCACGACGAGUAUUGACAAAUACACAGACCAAAUUAUUUUGACCAUGCAGAAUGGAGACAUACUUACGUGUUACUGUACACAAGCGCGUGGGUACAGAACGGGGUCGACGAACAUCCAAUCUUAUGUAAUUGAUUUCGAUCGUAAUCAAAUUGGAGGAUCAAUCCCCCCUAUAAUUUUGUCGGCAAAUGCGCAUGGCCUGUAUCGUGUCCACCUAAAUUUUUUUUUCUAUAUAUAUUGUAUAACCUUGCAUUUCUGAGCCACUGAUAAGUGAGAUCUUAAAUAUAUAUAUAUAUAUAUAUAUAUAUAUAUAUAUAUAUAUGUGUGUGUGUGUAUAUCAUGGGUUUUUUUGGAUGUUUAUACUGCAGAAGUUGUAAAAAAAAAUUUUGGAGCGUAUAAAUUUUUGAAUAUUUUGAAAUAUACAGUUUAAAAAUUUUGAAGAGUUUCUUGAGAUUAAAAAAUUUAUAAAAGACAAAUUUGGCCAAAUACUUUUUUGUCAAAUAGGCCCCAUAUUAUAUUUAAAAAGUAGGUAAAGAUAGUGAUUAGAAAAAUCUUUUAUCGUUUCUCCUUUUCUAUUUAUUUUUUUCCAGGCAAAGCAAAAGGGCGAAAAAAAAAGGUUACUUGUUCCUUACUAAAUUCCAACCCUGAUGGUCCAAUCUUCUUGGGCAAACAACCCUCUGAUAUGGAGACAGAUGCCAAACCGUGGUAUAGUAGUAGAAAUUCGCUUUUGUCUGGGGGACUGGAAGGAUGCCCACUUUGGAUUUUCAUCGCAUGAGGCGGCGAAAAUUAAUCCGCGAUGUUUGCCGAUUUUUGUGUGGAAGAAAUUCGACCAAUCGCGAUCCACAUGUAGCCCAGCCCUCCCCAUCCCCCGGGUUCAAUUAGCAAGAUCUGGGAAAAUACACUAAUUUUGAUCCCUACACUUUGAGUUAUUGACACAUUUGGUCCUCUAUAUAUAUAUUUAGUGUCCGAACUACCAAUUUUUGAUCAAUUUCAUGCUCAAACGAGAAAUUAAUCAAUUUGAACGGAAAUCAGAGUUGAAAAGAGAGGCAUUGGAGUUGAAAAAGUGAAAGUAACUGCUCGCUCGCUCGUUCUAUUUUACUGAUUUUAAAUCAUGUGAGAUUUUUUACCAAAUGAUAAACUGUAGCAAAAUCUUGCGCGUUUCAUUACUCGGUCCUCCUCAUCAUUAGUCAUCUGCCAGUUGCCAACAAAAGAAAUUUUUUACUCCCCCCAAUCUCCUGGAAACACGACCCCAGCCCAUUGGUUGUCUUGCUGCCGGCGAUGCCUCCAACUUCUCCACCACUCGUCUGGAAAAUAACAUGGACCCAGUCCUAGUCCACUGUUUCGCUCGCUAGCUGCCACCGGGGACGGCUCUAACCCAUAAUUAUACUAUUCAUCCUUUUAAGAGGAAAUUUCAACUCUAAUUGUGGCAAAGAGCUCCAAGAAAUCCAAAAGGAAGAUGGAACCUGCUUGGUGCCGAGGCAGCAGCACCCGCCCAUGUUCCCACCCACGCAUGCCAUCAUAAGCACCAUGGACAAUAAUCCUGUCAUGUCGCAUCCAUUGACCAAACAGCGUGGACCCGAUUGAUUAUUCUAGCAAGGGUGCCCACCGUCUGAUCGCGCUUCCUAGUCUCCAUUUUUUUCCAUAAUUAAUUUGUUUACGGUUUUACCUUUCCGCGGCCCUUCGCUUGCACUAUAAAUAUCAUAUUACUUCCUCUGCAAACUUUCGUCAUACACGGAAAGAAACCAUCAUAUUUGCCUUUUUCCUUUACUCGUGAAAGAAAGUCUCUAAUCGUUUUUUCUCAAAAAAAAAAAAUCACUCAAAACCACCAUGGUUAUCUCCAAGACUGCAUCCCAAUCGGACGUCUCCGUCCACUCCACCUUCGCCUCUCGCUAUGUUCGAGCUUCUCUUCCCCGGUAUGUACAUAAAAAAAUCUCGAUGAUGAGGCGUUAUGUGGUGAUGAUUAUGUCUUAGUAAGUUAAUUAUACUGAUCUUAAGUAUUUUUUGCUUUUUUCUGCAGGUUUAAGAUGCCGGAGAAUUCGAUUCCAAAAGAAGCAGCUUAUCAGAUCAUCAACGACGAGCUAAUGUUGGAUGGAAACCCGAGGUUGAAUCUGGCAUCCUUCGUGACCACAUGGAUGGAGCCAGAAUGCGAUAAGCUCAUCAUGGCUGCCAUUAACAAGAACUACGUCGACAUGGAUGAGUACCCAGUCACCACUGAGCUCCAGGCAAGUCUCCUUCUUCUUCUUCUUCCUUUUUUUUUAAAAAAAUUUUUUUCCUGCUUUAAUUUGCGACAAUAUUAAUGAUAUUAUUAAUAUUAGUAUAAUAGUGCUCUCACUUCAGCGCCAAGUUACCGAACUUUGCGGCAAUUCCAGCCAAUCAAGUAUUUCUAUCCUUUCUUUAUUGAAAGGGACAUUGAAUCUCUCCCGUCAAUAAUCGUAUAAAAGUGGUAGGGUCAACUGUAAUUUACACCCCUCAACUAUUUGAGAUUUGCAUUUUAUCCCCUAAACUAAACUAUCCAUUAUGGGAAUAUAGUGCCGCAAACCUUUUAGUUUAUUGUAAAAUAUUUCAAUAACCUAAAUCGCGUUGGAAUUGAACUAGCCGUUCACAAUUAAUAAUAAGACAAUCAGCUCCUUGAUUAAUAUGGAAUGGAAGCUCGACUACUGACAUUUCUUUUUAAAAUGUUUAUGUCAAAUUGCUAUUUUGAAAGGGUGUGAGUCCGUUUAGAUUGCUAUUUCUUAGGAGUUUUUGUAGAAAAAAUAUAUUAUAGCGAUUUGAUAUAUAUAAAAUUUAAAAAAUAAGACCUAAUAAAAUUUUGGUGUCAUAAUAAAUGAAUAGCGUCAUAAUAAAUUUUAUCUAGUUGCAUGUUCUGUGGAGUUCCGGGUAAGUGCGUGGUCCCUCCAUUUAUUUAUAGGCGCGGAAUUAUUCUACUUAGGGUAAGUGCCGCGGUUUGAUGGGCACAAGAAGUCUGAAGAUGCCCUCCAACAAGUGGAAUUUGGCCCACAUUUGAUCAAGAAUGUGGACUUGGUUUUUGAAAAAAAAAAAAAAAAAAAAAGUGGACUUGGUGGUAUCACUAGACAUUUUUUUUUAAAAUAUUUUAUCACUAGACUUCACUUUGCUCCUCUUCGCUAUAGCCUAGUUACAGUACUAAUUACUACUAUAACCGGUUCAUUAUUUAAAGAAAUCAAGGGCGGAUUGAGUCGUAACUCCUGGGCUAUCAUCCUCUUCCUUUAACCAACUCCACCUGUUUCCCUUACCUCUUUGUCUAUUGGAAGAAGAAAAAUUAGGCCCUGUCUCGAUCAUCAUUCUUUUCCAACAUUUUUUUCAAAAAAAAAAUUAUAUUUUUUUGCAAACACAUUUUUCAAUUAUCUUACUGUAUUUUAUAUGUAUCAAUUCGUUGCAAUAUAUUUUUUUCACAAAAAUUUUCAAAAAAAAAAUAAUACUAAUUCAAACGGGCUCUUAAUUGAACAGCCAACCGAAAGGACAAGGGUGGCACCACAUCCCAUAAAUUUGGGACAAUUUGGGACCGCUCCAAUAAUUUUGCACCAUUCCAUAACUGGAAGACUAGCUAGAAUAGUACUCAGUACACUACAUUCUUGAUUCUUGUGUCGUCUGUCUCGACUCGUGCCAAAUUCUUAGACGUACAUUUUUCUUUGUCGGGAUGCUGAAAAAUCAAAAUCUUUAUUUCAUUGUGAUUGACAUAUUAAGCCCUGUACAGUUUCUUUGUUGAAAGAAAGAAAGGUGAGAUGCUGCGCUAGCUUUUAGGUCAUUGCCUCCGUCAGUUAAUUUUAUGACUUUGGGAAUGUUCAAAAGUUUUCCACUUUCACGUUUGAAGCUUGAAUUUCUAAGAUAUAUAUUCCUUAGUCGAUGAGAACGUGUUUGCCGUUGCUGUGUUUUUUCUUCAAGAAUUACUUGCACGUUCAGAUUUGGAGAAUUUGUUGAGCUUCCUUCCUACCCCAAAAAAAAAAAAGGAUAACGUUCAGACAAGAUGACGAAAAAAAUAAAAAAGAAAAAGGGUCCUAGGUUUGGACCCAAAGUAAAGUCCAUAAAAGGCCCGAACAUGGCGCUAUCAUUUCUCGGCUUCACAUCGAAGAUGGGUUUUAGGUAAAAUAUCAUUUCUAGCUAUUAGCAUCAAUUAGUCAAAACUACCAUAAUAGAAAAACGGACCAAAGCUGCCCCACAACUUUGCCUUCUAUUUGCAGUGGCCCGAACCCGAUUGGUACGACUUCACUGCUCAGUCACUAGCUUUAUGAUUUCAUAAUUAUACCCCUUUCUUGACUUUUUUUGCCGACGCUACGGACCAAAAAAAAUAUCUAGCAUAUCUUGCUCGGUGUCCAUUUGGUGAAGGGACCAAUUCAAAGAAUUCAUUCGGUCUGAUUAAAUUAUUGCUUUUUUUUUUUUGGAGUUUUUGUAAUUGAAAAAUAUAGUCUUGAAACCUAAAAUUUCUUUUCGGAUCUAAUCAACAUUAGGAUAUGCAAUAAUAUAUCUGUACAAAGUGAUAGUAGUGUUUGGCAAAGAUUACAAUUGAAUAGAUCGAAAGUUGCUUUGGAGAAGCUUCGUGGUUUGUCCAAUCAUGGCAUCCUGUUCUCCCUCUUACGCCAAGGGUCAAAGGCAUCUACUUCUUCUUUUUGUGCAUUAAUUGAAUGGAUUAAAGUCACAAAAGUAAGAUACUUGAGAAAAAAAAAAAUUGAAUAUGCUUUAGUGUCUAACUUUUACUUUGCAUCGUUGUUUUAUGCUGUGUCUUGUGAAAAACGAAAAUAGUAAUACAAAUGUAUGCCUCAAUUCCAAUUGUAACUUCCUGCUUUCGAUAACAAGACGCAGGUAUGCCGCCUAGGAGGAUGCAUUUUAUCCUCCUUUUACUGAAUUCCGUCUGAGAAUUGAACUUUCUACAUGCAGAAAACAGUUCCUUUUUUUUUUUUUUUUUUGAAAUUAUUAGGUGAUCCGAAGUUGGAAACAUGAAAUCAAAUUUGCUUAACCUUGUUUAGGACUGAUAGAGGACCUGCAAUUCUGGACAUCGGAAAAAAAUAUUGUUGACAUGUUACUGCUAGCACUCUCAUUCACAUAUUGGAUCCAAUGCUAACAAAUUAAGUGAUUGUAUAAAACUUUGAUGGCCUUUGAUCUAAUUUCUGAUGCAGAACCGAUGUGUGAACAUGAUAGCGCAUCUUUUCAAUGCACCUCUUGGAGAUGGGGAGGCUGCUGUUGGAGUGGGAACAGUAGGGUCAUCAGAAGCCAUCAUGCUUGCAGGCUUAGCAUUCAAGAGAAAGUGGCAGAACAAGAUGAAAGAACUAGGCAAACCUUAUGACAAGCCUAACAUUGUCACUGGUGCCAAUGUCCAGGUACACUUUGCUUCUACCAGAGUUAUUGUGGUAAAUCCACAGCUUAAACUAUUAGAGUCUGCCAAAAAGAUUUAGCGAUGCAUGGCGAGCCGCGGUUUAUCAUGAUAUGGGAAGAAUAUGCGUUCUUGGUAUUUGGGAACUAAGUCCAUAAUGAGCUUCAUUUUUCAGUAAUGCCAUCAAAUUUUACAGGUAUGCUGGGAGAAAUUUGCAAGAUACUUUGAAGUUGAGCUGAAGGAGGUGAAAUUGAGAGACGGAUACUAUGUGAUGGACCCUGAGAAAGCAGUGGAGAUGGUGGAUGAGAACACCAUCUGUGUUGCUGCUAUCUUAGGUUCCACACUUAACGGGGAGUUCGAGGAUGUCAAACGUUUGAAUGAGCUCUUGCUAGAGAAGAAUAAACAAACAGGGUAUGCCCCUUUCUUUUUUUUGAAAUCGCACAGCUCCUCUAAGACCUUUGCCUUCUUAUUAUAUCUGUGCUUGGCAGAUGGGAUACACCAAUUCAUGUGGAUGCAGCAAGCGGUGGCUUUAUUGCACCAUUCCUUUACCCAGAACUUGAGUGGGAUUUCAGGCUGCCACUAGUGAAGAGCAUCAAUGUUAGCGGCCACAAGUAUGGACUUGUAUAUGCUGGAAUUGGUUGGGUCAUCUGGAGGAACAAGCAGGACCUGCCUGAUGAGCUUGUCUUCCAUAUUAACUAUCUUGGUGCUGAUCAGCCCACUUUCACUCUCAAUUUCUCUAAAGGUAACCUUUUUUUUUUCUCAAAGUCUAUAAUGUAUAUUAGCCUCAUCCUGAUCUAGUUGAACAAACAUUCAAAGUUCACACAACUUUUUGUUGGUCUUCAGGUUCUAGUCAAGUCAUUGCCCAAUAUUAUCAGCUCAUUCGGCUAGGUCAUGAGGUAUUACCAGCAUUGCUGCUGGCUUUGUUGAUAUUUAGGAUGAUAUGCAGUUAGAAUCAUAAUGAUUUAACAUGGGAUCUCCAUUUAUCUCAGGGUUACCAGAACGUAAUGGAGAAUUGUCAAGAAAAUGCAAUGGUACUGAAAGAGGGAUUGGAGAAGACAGGAAAAUUCAACAUCGUAUCAAAAGAUACGGGAGUUCCAUUGGUAGCAUUCUCUCUCAAAGACAACAGCCGUCACAAUGAGUUCGAGGUUUCAGAGAUGCUGCGCCGCUUUGGAUGGAUUGUGCCGGCUUACACCAUGCCGCCCGAUGCUCAGCAUGUAACAGUUCUGCGCGUCGUGAUACGAGAAGACUUUUCAAGGACGUUGGCCGAGCGCCUUGUCUUGGACAUCGAAAAGGUCUUGCACGAACUUGAUAUUCUCCCUGCCAAAGUCACAGCCAAGUUGACAGCCAACGACGAGAAUGCUCAUGAUGUGGCCGUUGUUAAGAAAACUACUCGCGAGGUGCAGUUGGAAAUCACUGCAGCCUGGAAAAAGUUGGUCGCGGACAGGAAGAGGACCAAUGGCGUUUGCUGAUCGAUUGUUACCGAUACCUUGGAACUUAUGCUGGUAAAAGUAAACUUUGUGAGUAAUUUUGGACUUGAGCGUGGUAGAGUUUGAUCGUUAGGACUGCAUCUAUGAGUUGUCAUCCCCGCUGUAUUGGGAAGAUUACCUCUUUUUUUUUUUUUUUUUUUGUUUUCCCCCAUCAGAGUUGUAUUGGAAGGAUUACGGUAUACUGUGUUUCUGUAAUCUGGAUUCUCAACAGAGAAGUGAGCCAGCCUCAUCUUAAUUUAAUAUUUUUGCGCAUGAUAGUAUUGGCUAAUUAACAUAAUCCAAGCACCCCAGCCCGCACCACAUUCCAUUCAAGCAGGAUGGGGUGGAUAUCUCCCCCAGGGCACCCGGCCCGUCCUCCACAUAAAUAUAGUAGUAUUAUUACUUAAUUAGUAAUAAAUAGAGGGCUCAAGACAAGUAAUCCUUAUAAUGUCUUCGCUUGGGGGGAUAUAAUUUCAACUUAUCAUUUAACAAGCUCGCCAAUACACAAGUUGCUAGCAAAUUUAUAUGAAUGAAACCAUUAGCCCUCCAUCGUCUGGGUUAGUCAUACCUGUAUUACCAGAAAAUAGUAGUGGUCCAGGCAGAUUUGGCAUUUCGUCUACUUUCUUCCAAAGGAUUAAGAUGUUCUCUUGCCAAAAAGAGCUCUGAAGAGCUGGCUGCUUUCAUUAAACGUUUCAAGUACAAAGCUCUGAUUGAACAUUUGUGAAUUAUUGAAAGUGACGGUCAAUUGUCAUUGCGGAGAGGUUGCUCCUACUUUCUUUCCCCUGUGGGCACGCAAGAGCAGAGCAUGGCAGGGCGGGGACAGAGAAAACGACCACGACGGAUAGGAUUUGGGGCAGGGACGGUCAUACUGAUGACCGUCCCUGCACGGUUAAGGGCCAAGAUUUGCCCUCAAAAUUUUGUGCGGCUGAGAUAACACCAUGUAACUCGAUUUUCGCGUCAAGUGUGGGGCCCACCACUAUCUGUUGUGAAAAUACAUCCUGUGAAAAAAAAGUUACACGGUGUACAAAGAAAGUUACGCGCAGUUGAUAAUGACUACUGCAACCGUCCGUGCCCCGAAUCCCGACGGAUAAGGCGGGGGCAGUUUUUUGAAGACGGGACGGGGCAAACCCUUUAACUCGCCCGUUACCCUAACCCGCAGCUGCAAUCCUUGAGGAACAUAAAGUUGUCCAAAACUUGGAUAGAUACGAUCUUGAAAGACCCAAUAAUAAUCCAAAUUGAGUCACAUUAUUUGAUAUGAUAAUGUGGCACAACUCCUGCCAUUGAAUUUUUUAGGGAAAAGAGUAUCAAUAUCCCUCUAACUAUUAGUCAGGUGACCUUUUGGCCCUCCAACAAUUAAGAGUAAAUCUUUGGCUCUCGAUCUAUCGAAAGUGCAAAAUGUUGGAUCUUCUGUCAAGUUCAGUCGUUAAGAUUGAUGGAAACUAACACCAAAUGAAACUUAUGCUAUAAUAUGAAGAGCAUUUUAGUCUGUCCAGCAAUUUUCUAUUUGAUAAAAAGGGAUUUCUUCCCCAAUAAAAAGCUAUAGGAAGAAAAUCUCCCUGGCAGCUGAAGCUUUAGUAUGAUUUAAGCAAAGCUUCUCCAACAUAAAUUAAGCAAUUUCCAAUAGUAGGUUACUAAAGCUGCAAGCUUUAGAACUAUGAACCUUUCAUGCUUUUCCUUUAUUGUCAUGUGAUUGAAAGUCAUAAGAAUUAAAACGGAAUCACCCCCACUUAUGCAGCAGUUUAGCUAAAAUUUCAAGGAACGCCAUCAUCACACUAUGUACUGGCUCCAGUAUUAUUGUUGUGAAGCAUUUUCUUUGACAUGAAUUUCUUUGACAUGAUAGCAGAAGAGAGGAGCCAGAGAUUGAAUAGCUUAAUUAUUUCUUGAAUUGACUUUGGGGAGGACGGGGAAGUGAGGAGGAGAAGUUGGGAAGGAGGAGGCAGCCCAUGUUGGAUUUGGUGGGGAAGGAGUGGAGGGAACAUCUUGUGGCAAUUAUGGUCGAUCGAUGGGGGCAGAGGCUAGAGAGAGCUUUUUGGAACCGGUAGAUACCAGAAGAUCAAGAAACCUUAACUUCAGCCAAAAUCAACACCAACCCAUCUCAAAAACAGAUCCAAUCCCUUCACUCGUCGACUCAAAUCGCUCAAAAUCAACCAUUUCCUCUUGGUACCUGUAAUUCCCCAGCGGAAGCUUCAAGAGAUGUGCACCGGUGAUGAUGGUCAACAAAUUGCAGGAGUUUCCAACCACUUGUGGUAGAGGGAGAGAGAAUGGUAAAAGACAACAAUUAAGUUAAACUGAUUUUUACUCCUUUUUACUGAGUAGAUGAUAGUUUGAACUAAAAUGCCCCUUGUAUUUCGACAUGCAUCUCACGUGGUGUUGGUUUCCAUUAGUUUUAACAGUUGAACUUGACAGAAUGUUUAACUUUUUGCACUUUCGAUAGAUCGAGGGUCAAAAUUUGACUCUUAAUUGUUGGGGAGCCAAAAGUUCACUUGACUAAUAGUUAAAGGGUCAUUGGGACUCUUUUCCCAAUUUUUUAAAAAUCGGACGUAGACAAACAAGUGCGAGUCUUGGCAGUUUUCGUUCUAACUGAAUCGCUUUACGUGUAUUGACCGACGUUUAGGAGGAGGAGGAUAAUAUAAUUCGAGGAAAAAUCUACCCAAGUACUGCUAAUCUGCUAUACGUUCUCAGUGCCAUGAGCAGAUACAUGACAACAGGUUAGGCCGCAAACAAUACAGAGACGAAAGAGUCAUGAGAACACAUCUUAUCAUGUCGCAUCCAGUGGAUCCAUCAACAACCAAAACAUAUAUACUACGAUAAGGUGAUAAACAGCCCAAAAGACAGUACUACCAAGUGUCUCACUGAAUGUUAUCCAACAACCUAAUAAGUACCACAUCACACCGCAUCCUUAAUUUCUUAAAUUUUGCCUUCUUUCGGCUUUUGUAUCUCACAGACACAAAAAAUACCAGCAAGUGAGAAGACAACAAAAACCUCCUUACUUGGGUGGCCCUUUCACAACAGUGACUGGACACAGUGCAUUUUGCACCACGUAGUUGCUGACACUUCCAAGCAACACCCUGCACGUAUCAAUUCUUUAAUUAAUAAGAAGAUUACAAAUCAGGCAAGCAUAUUAAUGAACACUAGUAAAACAAAAGAGGUGGCCUUGAAUGGCGUUACUUGGACUGUGGGAUUUAUAACAGUUUGCCUCUUGAAAGAGACAACCAAAUACUAUCAGCUCAAGGGUUAGAUAUGAUGUUAAGAAAAAAAUUAGAAAAGGGGUACUUUCUCAAAUAAUUACACGGCUGUACUUAGUCUAAUUGAAGCAUUUGGGAAAUGAUGAUUAUGGUCGGCUAAAGAGUUUACAAAAAAAAUUCAUAAUCUCAUAAAAUGAUGAUCAUCGCUGCUGAAUUGAUAACCCUCUUCAGGAUUCCUAAGAAGUAGUCCAAGGUUUUACAUGAGAAAAAAAGAAAGGUAGGUAAGAGAAGAUCAUAAAAACGGAGGAGAGCCAGUUUGUCAAAAUGAUUAUAAUUGCAGCGUUUCAAAAAUGAUGAUGAUGAUGUUCGGAUAUGUAUAAUCAGAGCAAGUAAAAUUCAUAAUCUCACCCAACAAGUGAGAAUCAUGAUCAUCACUGGUUGAUUAAUUACCUCUUGAUGGCUCCUAAACCUCGACUUCCAACAACCAGGGAAUCAAGUUUAAGAUGAUCCACUGCCUCACACAGCUUCUCCCUUGCAUCCCCCCAGUACACCUUGGCCACCACCUUCACCUGCAAAUUUUCACAAACCAAACAACCAUCCACAUAAAUCUCAGUACAGUACAACUUUGUACGCGUUAUCAGAGAGAGAGAGAAUAUGCUAUACCCCUUUGGUCUUGGCUACCAUGUCAAGCAAGUCAAGAACCUCAGGAUCAGGAUUAAGUCCAUAAUGCUUAGACACGUUGAUUUCUCUAAAUUCCGCAAGAGGUAUCAAUGCUGAGAAAGCCAAUUAGCAACAACAGUAACUCAGAACCAAGCUAACAACAAAUGAAAGCAUGCAUAAAGAAAGUUAUUGAUUGAUUCUUCUACGUGAUCCGGUGUCUUCAAAGAGCUGCUUAUUGGUAGUCUCGACUUUGGGUGAAACCCCGUGGAUGAUGAUGAGACUAUCCCCUUCUUCGACCAAAUUAUCAGCAGCCCAUUUGAGAGCUAGUUUGCUGGUCUGAGAGUAGUCCAUCCCAGCUCCCACUGUGCGUGCCUUUCCCAUCUUUCAAUUCCUUACUUUGCUUGCUCUCUUUUCUAUCUGAAACAGAAGUAUGAAGCAAGGAGGUUUAAUAUGACGGUAAGCAGGGUACUUAUCAGACAGACACGUAAUGGUGGAGGAAUGGUGAAAUAUCAAAUACGGUGGGCGGUAGCAGUACAACUGCGCAUUUCAAAAGGGGUGUUGGAAUUGUCUUUCUUGAAUUUAAAAGGAAGGAGAAUAUAAUAACGUGGUUUGAAAAGGAGGAGACUAUCCCAUGUUAGUAAAGUAAGUAAUACAACUCCAUAAAGUAAGUAAUACAACUCCAUUGCAUCCGGAACUCAGCGUUGGUCCAGCUGUACCAGAAACGUUGCGCCAAAAGACAAUUAAUAAUGAUGAAAAAAAGUAAGCAUGGGCUGGUGGUAAUUAAGACUAAUCAUAGCAUCAAGACUAAUGAAAUACCAAAAUAAUGUUGAAGAGGAUAACGCACUAAAAUAUUUUAAAAAAUCGUACCAAUUUCUAUCCAUAACUCCGAUUCUGAAAAAUUGGGCUCCGAAACGGCCUUGCUUAACCGAUCCUAUCAUAAGUAAGUUUGGGCUAAUAUUUCAUGGGCCUUGAGAGUGCCCCUGGACUACCAGCAUUCCAAUAUAGAGCGCUUUCGUAGAAAGAAACAAGCAAAACAAUUGAGGAGGAAAUCGUACAAAUCACGUUAAAAAAUGAUGAUCCUCUUACUAUGGCAAAUUUGUUUCUUCAACUUCAACUUGUUGCCUUUUGAGGAAGAAAGAUAGUAAAACUGUAAGAACAAAUUUCCUUGCAUUAUAUACACCGUGUUUUUUUUUUUUUUUUUUUACUUGUUAUGAUAAAUUUGUCACACGAAAAUCUUUUUAGAAUUAAUUACGUUGGCUAGCAAAGCUGAGCUACUCAAAUAUAUAUUAUUAGCUUUGGAGCAAUACCUUAUUAAUAGGGCAUGAUUAGGUAUGUAAUCGAGCUCGACUCGACUUAUAAAUAACUUGGCUCGAGCUCGAUCGAGUCGAAAAAUCUCAAACUCGAGUUUGAUUCGAUGAAAUCUUUAAAAGCUUGAGACUCGACUCGAUAAGGCUCGACCUUUAGUCAAGCCUUAUCGAGUUGAGUAAUCAAACUUUUUGACUCGAUAUCUUACUUGUAAAUUCAGUAUAAAUUAUAUCCAUAACGGUCAUUUUAUAAUUAUAAUAAAUAUAUAUUAUUUAAAUUAUAUGGCUCGACGAGCUACUCGUCGAGCCACGAGUUGCAAAAUUCUGACUCGAACUCGACUCGAAUGUGUGCUCGAGUAGCUCGAGACUCGGCUCGAACUCGAUGAAACUGAGUUCAAACCAAACCAUUGACCAAGCUCGCGAGUUGCUCGAAUCCCUAGGCAUGAUUGUUCUUGUAGGUUAUUUAUCCAUUCCAACUAAAAACACAUAAUGCAUUCACUUGACUUGAACCCUUUUUCAUACGUUUUAAAAAAAAAAAAAACUAUUUCAUUCAUGCAGUAAUUUUAUUCAGUCAAACCCCAUUAUUGUGUGAUUUUAAAGAUAUUAUAUUGUGUUCGAAAACGCGGGAUUCAAUCAGUAACAUGGACUAUACUUUUCAAAGUAAAUAUUUUGUCAAUUUCAUUUACCGUUUUGUGGUCAACUUAGCCCAAAGAAUCAAUAAUAAGGAUGCUAAUUCGUGGCGUGAGUUACGGGGAAUAAUAAUACUACUGAAUAACGAAAAGAAAAAGCCGAUGACUAUUUAUUAUGUGCCGCAUAAUUUUUUUACGCAUAGUGGAGAAGAAAUUGUCAUCAAGAUCUUUGUUGGAAGUUUUUGGAGGCCCUCAAAAGGUGUCUGCGCAAUUAUAUAUGUUCUCUCUCUUCAUAAGUAGCUACCUUCGACAUCGUAGUACUAAUUGUCUUGUCUGAAAUUUUGAAUCAGCUCUUUUUCUUUUUUUUUUUUCUGCCCCCGCCUUUUAUUUGGAUUAGAAAGGAAUAAGUGUACCAAGUGCGUGUAAGGGCCUCAUUUGAGAUUACGGUGACUCGUAAAAAAAGUGCUAUUAAGUUACAAAAUAGUCAGGCUCCUUAAUUUACGGAAAAUUAGUUACCAAAUAUUUUAGAAGUACUUAAAAGUUUUUUUUUUUUUUUUUUUUUUGUAAAUGCAAUCCCAAGUACUCAUGUUAAUAUGAUCAAAACAAUGAAAUAUACGAUUGACCAGCAUUUAUCGAAUUUAAAAAAGAGUCAGAAGAAAUGGCUCGAUCAAGUUUGGUAAGUAAUUAAUAAGCUAGACUCUUAAGAGUGACCACAAGAGAAUUUCCUUUUUUCUAUUGCUGAGCGAUUGCUGAGCGAGUGCAUCGCUAGCUAGCCUUAACCAUUUCUACCAGUCCCUAGCAUCCUAGUUUUGGGCCAUAGAAGUCGCUGCUGCGAUAUGCUACUUUGUAACGAGUGCGAAACCGAUAUUAAUUUGGGAAAUAUUUAUUACACUCCUCGAUUAGCCUCCUCUGGCACUUCUUGAAGUAGGCUAUAUUUUUAACGAGUAAAUUAGGGUGCAAGAUGCUUGAAUGAAAAGUGUGAAAAAUCAAUUUUCUAAAAUUUUAAGUGCAUAAAAGGAAGGAAAAGAUCGAGAAACCUUCUUUACCAACAAAAAUUUCCAAAUCAUGAUUCUUGGGACUCAUAAUUUGAAAAUAAUUUCUUUCAUGUUAGCUAUUGGAAAGGGAAUCCAAGAUCCGUUUUUGAAUGUUAUUAAUGUUUCUAAUUUUCAAUGUCAAGAUCGUAAAACAAUCACAAUAUUCACAAUGGUUUGUCUAAUAGAUGUCCACAGGUCAUUCAUUAAAAUACAUUUCAGGUGUAAUAUUUUUGAAAAUAUAAGAUUAUUUAUGAAAAAUAAAUAAAUACAAGGAAAAGUAGACAAGGUUAAAUAAGAAAAGUAUAUAAAUACAACGGAGAAUAAUAGUUAUUAAUAUGUGUAUAUAUAUGAUAGAUUAGGUGAAUAUUAAAUGUGUUAAGGAGUGCUUUAAGGGUACAUAUUAGAAAAAUCCAAAUAUAAAAUCACACAAACACAUGAGAAUUAAGAAAGUUGAAUUGCCAAAAAAGGGGGAAAAAAAGAAAUUGAAGGAGCGUGGAUCACCGACUACUUAACCCUCAAUUAAAACGUCAAAUAAUGUAUUAAAACUGGGAUAAAAAAUAAUUAAUUUGUUGGGAAAUUUUGCAGUCCUUUUUUUCUCCUCGUUCCCAAAAUUACCCUCCACCUUAAUCGAGAUCUGUGCUCUUCCCCUUUCCCCUCUUUCCCCCGCCUCCGCUCUCCAUAUUUAUUCACAAAACACACACCAAAUCCACACACAAAAGCUUUUUUCUGGCUAAGUCCGAGUCCGGUGAGGUGGAAAGAAUUGGAGGAAUGGUGUUGAGGAGAUGGGACCUCGUCGUUUUGGGGUUGCUGCUGUCAACGGUGGUAACAGUGGUGAAAUCGGAUGCUUCGGAUCACACAUACAAACCUAAAGAUCAAGUCCCUCUUUACGCCAAUAAAGUUGGCCCUUUUCAAAACCCUAGGUUGACGUUUCAUCAAACACUUCAAUUCAUUAUCUAUCACUUCGAUUGUUGGACAAUUGAUAGCCCAUUGCUUUGUUUUCUGUAAAUUUAGCAACAUUCGCGGUAAAAAGGGUGAUUUUUUUGGUAUUUAUUUCUUUUGGUUGAUAAUUUUCGUUUAUGUGUUCUCACCGGAGCUGGUUUGAAUUGUGCUUCUUUGAUUGAAUCGUUAUACAAUUUUUAGUAGUUUUGGUCAAUUCAGUUGAGCCCUUUUCCUUCGUAUUCAAUCUUUGAGGGUGGGGUUACGGGGAGGGUAAGGUAGUGUGGGUGAUUGAGAAUUAUGUGAUAAGGAGACCAGUGAACGGGAAAGUAAGGAUUUGACGAUAAAAUUAAGGAUUUCCAUUACGGGAGCAUUACAAACACAAUAUGCUGUAGCUAGAUAUGCCUGAUAGUUGUUAGGAAAUUAGAAAAUAAUGCAGAUUAGCUUCGCUGAGUAUUUUCUUGGAGUACUCGUUGACCUCGGUGCUUGUUAAAUUGGAAGAGUCGACGGUUUAAGCAAUUUGAAUGUGGUCAAGUUUCAAAGAGAGAGAGUUUUUAAAGAAUGCUUGAGUUUCUAGCUGGAUAAAUGGAUUUAAGAAUUCUGUUUGUUUUGGCUUUGUGGUGCUAAUUUGAGUUUUGGUCAAAUUGGGUUACAAUUGUAUUGUCUGUGCAUGCACAAUAAUGCUGCUGACAUUGAUGUUUAUUUUUUUUUGUUCCUGAUUCCAGUGAAACAUACCGCUUUUUUGAUCUCCCAUUCUGUUCACCAGGUUGAGAUUUUACUGCUUUAUUCUUCCGUUCCAAAUUAUUUGUCUGGUCAGAUUUUAAUUUGAAGUUACUGGUGAAAUGUGGCUGGCAGCUCAUGUAAAAGAGAAAAGGGAAGCUCUUGGUGAAGUGUUGAAUGGAGAUCGUUUAGUCAGUGCUCCUUAUAAGCUCGAAUUUUUAGUUGACAAAGACUCAGAAUUGGUUUGUAAAAAGCAGUUGACUAAGGAUGAUGUUGCACAAUUUCGAAAGGCAGUUGCAAAAGAUUACUACUUUGAAAUGUACUAUGAUGACUUGCCUGUCUGGGGUUUCUUGGGAAGAGUUGAGAAAGAUGGAAAAUCAGAUCCCGGCGAGCACAAGUAUUACCUUUUUAAGCACCUGCAUUUUGAUAUUUCCUACAAUAAGGACCACGUGAUUGAGAUCGGUGCACGAACUGAGCGAAAUGAUCCAAAUUCUCAAGUAGAUAUCACUGAAGAUAAAGGAGUUGAUGUAGACUUCACAUAUUCAGUGAAAUGGAGAGACACAGAUAUUCCUUUUGAAAAGAGGAUGGAUAAAUAUUCACAUUCUUCAUCAUUACCACAUCAUUUGGAAAUUCAUUGGUUCUCCAUUAUUAACUCCUGUGUGACAGUACUCCUUCUUACGGGUUUUCUUGCCACUAUUUUAAUGCGAGUGCUUAAGAAUGACUUUGUCAAGUGAGUCACAUCUCUUAUUAGCCAUUCUCUGUAUUUGCACCCUGUCUCCCUUCUUUUUUGGUGAUUUGGUCCUCCUUGUAACAUUCAAUGUGUGGUUCUAUGUUUUAAAGGUAUGCUAAUGAUGAGGACACAGCUGAUGACCAAGAAGAGACUGGGUGGAAAUAUAUCCAUGGUGAUGUUUUUAGGUAUCCAAAGUACAAAUCUUUGUUUGCUGCAGCCCUUGGUUGUGGCAGCCAGUUAUUCAUCCUGUAAGUGUGCUCCUGACCUGGGCUUAUUGUACUUUGUCUUGAACUAGCAGGAUUGGUAUCUUUCAUUUUUCUCCUGAUUGUUAAUGCAGCUUUGGUCAUUCUUCCUUUUAAACAGGGUGGUCUUUAUCUUUAUUCUUGCUAUUGUUGGUGUAUUUUAUCCAUACAACCGUGGAGCACUCUUCACUGCACUUGUUGUCAUAUAUGCUCUUACUUCUGGAAUUGCUGGCUACACAGCAGCUUCUUUCUAUGGCCAACUAGAAGGGAAAAAUUGGGUAUGCUUUGCAGAAAACUUAUUUGUUUUAUUUCAUGGAUCUACUGGCAUGAAUUUCUUUGGCAAUCCUAUUUGGUUACUGGUACUCCUCCUGGUUGUUGAACUGAAAUAAAACUCAGAAGUGAAAUUCCCUCUUCCCUUCUAUUUCAAACGUGGCUUUCUAAGUUCUCCAAACUUAUAUGUUUCUUUAAAAGUUUUACCCUUGGAUAAUCAUUUGGUGAAGAAAAUUUAUGGAGAAGAAAAAAUCCUACUUUGGAGUUAUCUCUUAUUUUCUUGAUCUCUGUAAUUUUUAUUGUUUUACACUGUAAAUGUGCUAAUGUAAUCUACUUCUGGCUGUUCUGAUGUUCUAUUUCUUCUUUUGACAGGUGAGAAAUCUACUAUUGACAGGGGCCCUGUUUUGCGGACCAUUGUUCCUGAAUUUCUGCUUUCUUAACACUGUUGCUAUUGCAUACAGGGCUACUGCUGCAUUGCCAUUUGGUACAAUUGUUGUCAUCUUUCUUAUCUGGGCCCUUGUGACAUCACCUUUGUUAGUCUUGGGUGGGAUUGCUGGAAAGAAUAGCAAGACAGAAUUCCAAGCUCCUUGUCGUACCACAAAGUACCCCAGAGAGAUUCCCCCAUUGCCAUGGUACCGCAGUACACUACCUCAGAUGGCAAUGGCAGGGUUUUUGCCUUUCAGUGCAAUUUACAUUGAGCUUUACUAUAUAUUUGCAAGUGUGUGGGGUCACAGGAUUUAUACUAUCUACAGCAUCCUAUUUAUUGUCUUCAUUAUUCUUCUAAUUGUCACUGCUUUCAUCACUGUGGCAUUGACAUACUUUCAGCUUGCCGCUGAAGACCAUGAAUGGUGGUGGAGGUAUGUGAUCUUUAUUCUGGAUUCCAUGUUGCUCUUAUUAACUGGCUGCCUUAUAAAGAAAUUUUAAAACCUUUUUGACUCUUGCUUGGAAUUUUUGGAACACAAUGUACAAGAUAUGCUUGUUACACAUAAAUGACGACGAAAACAAGUAGGUUUUUUUUAGGGCUAGUAUAAGGGAAAGUGAUGGCCUAGUUCUAAAGCACUAAUAUAUGCUUGCUUGCUUGCUCCCUGUAGGUCUUUCCUCUGUGGUGGAUCAACUGGAUUAUUCAUCUAUGGGUACUGCUUGUAUUACUAUUAUGCACGUUCUGAUAUGUCAGGCUUCAUGCAGACUUCAUUCUUCUUCGGUUACAUGGCUUGCGUAUGCUAUGGUUUCUUUCUUAUGCUCGGGACCGUAGGCUUCCGUGCAGCACUGUUCUUUGUCCGUCAUAUAUACCGCUCAAUCAAGUGCGAGUAGCAAGUGACUGGACAAAGGUGGCUUCUUUGCUCUAAUUCUUGAUUAAUAUCAGCAGUCAUGGAUCGAGAAAAGAAUGUGUAGGACAAGAGUAGUGAAGCAGAGCCUGUAUUAUCUUACAGAAGUGAUAUGUAGAAACCAUGGUCACAUUUUGCAUUUACGGUUCAACAAGUAAUAUCAAUGUGCUAGUUUUCCAGUUCAUGUCAUUCUUUCCAUCUUUGAAGAUAUCAAAGCUAUGCUUUUGUUCAUGUUCUUUGUGGUAGAAGUACGGCAUUUCAGUAUUGGUUCCUGAUACUGUUUUUGUUUUUUGUGGCACAACAUCAACAGAAUCAGAGCCACUCUUGUUCCAAGUGUUCGAAAGCAACCACAAAAGAAUAAAUAGGGAAUCCCAUCCGUUUGACAAGAACUCAAGUACUGAACUAACUACGAAGUCUUAUAACCUACGCCAAGCGUGCGACCGAAGGCGUGUUGCUGGGUACUGGGUUACAUUAGUCUGUUAGGAAAUAGGAAAUGACCAGCAUCUUCCCCUUACAAUUGCGAUGACUGCGUGGCAUUUGGCGGUUGUUUGUUCGAGUAUAAACAUAUGCAAAGCAAUAACGUUGGAUCCGGUCAUGUCUACUUGCAAAUGCUUCUACCUGACUUGACUUCUCCCACACCUUUUCAUAUGAACGAUCUAACUGCUAACUCACCUAUACAUCAGGUAGGUUGUUUAGCAUAGUCAUUAUGUGACAAUGACGCUUUUAUUUAAUUUAACACACCCAGACCAUAGGCUCUAGACAGGUAAAAAUAACUGUGGGAACACAACUAUCACCUUCCCAUUUGAUGUACUACCAAGUGCUAAAGUUCUAGUAAUAUAAAAUUCAGACUCCCUCUGCUGGGCUUAGCCAUGAAAAGUUUCUUCUGAAAACUCAUUCCUUGUUUGCCAUUUCCUUUGUAAAUCUUUGCCUGUUUUGCAAUUAUCGAUCUCCUUUUGGACCUCGCAAUCUUGUCUCGUGCAAAGAAUAAUGUUUAAAAGAGAAUCCUAGAUAUGAUCGUAACAUUUUGACAGCCCAAAAUUUUUCUUUAUUCGCAAGUUUUGCAGUCUUUCAUACAUAGGGCUGCAAACGAAUCGAGUCGAGUCGAACUUUGAGCUAAUCGAACCGAGUCUCGACUAAAUUUUACCAAGGUCGAGCUCGACGAGUCGGCAAUUUUCAAGCUCGAGCUCGACUCGAAUCAAGUCGAGCCGAGCUCGAAAAAAAUAAAAACUAAUUAUUUUAUUUUUAAACAAAUAAAUAAAAUAAUAUUUUUUUCUUAAUAAAUAAUAAAAUAUUAAGGAUAUAUACGUAAUUUUAUUAUGAAAAUAAAAAUAAAAAAAUAAAUAUACAAUAUACGUAAUUUUAUUAUUAAAUAAAAAUAAAAAAAAUAUAUAUAUAUAUAUACUCAAGCUCGCGAGCUGACUCGCGAGCUAACGAGUUUAAUAUUCUGAGCUCGAGUUUGAUUCGAGCCGACUCGAGCUCGAUUAAUAUCGAGUUCGACUCGAGCUUGACUUGAGACUCGCGAGCGACUAUAUUCGUUUGCAACCCUAUUCAUGCACUCAUAUUAACUUUGAGAUGUUGAACCCCCAUUGUUGUGCGACAGUUUUGAGACGCGGUCCAUUGGUCUACGGUACCGAUUUCCUUUGUUCUUCUAAGAAUUAAGAUGUUGUAAGUUGUAACUCACAUUUGUUUCCUUUCUUUAUUGUUUCGAAAUGCUAAGAAGAAUUCGAUUUACCUGAAUGUUGAUCGACCAUACUUGGAUUUGGGAUCUCGUGAGCAAAGUAACAUAAAAUCAUGCCUCAAAAUAAUCAUUCCUAACAAUUGAAAAGGCUAGAUCACACCUAAACGAUCAUAUAAAUUCACACGCCAAUAAUUGUUAUCUUAUAUUACAGGGAUAAUUUUAGAAACCUCCCCCGAAAUUUUUCACAAUACCGCUCAGCUCUUCUGAGAUUUUUAAAAUCUCACUACCUCCCUUGGAAUAACAUUUCUUGUAACAUUUUAACUCCUUUGAAGGAAAAUGCAAGAAAGAUAAAACUUUUGUUCCAAUACUACCCUUAUAUUAUCCUACUUAUGGAAUUUAUAACAACAAUAACAAAUAACAUAAAGUUAAAUUUUUAUAAGGUAUAAAUUUUUUAACGUAAACUAUUUAUUUUAGUUAUAUUGGAACAAAAGCAAAAUUUACACCUUGAAAAUUUGACACAUAUGAAGAGAUUAUUUUAAUUUUCAAUACAACUUAAAUUACACCAUGAAUUGAAACAUAUUUCUCUAAAAAAUAUCUUGACUUCCUUAAUUUUAAUUGUGCACGAAAUUUUUUAAGAUGUUAAUUACUUUUUAAAAUCCUUCGAAGUGGCUGAUCUUAAUUAGAUUUAAUUUAUCUACCCUUUGCUAUCCCACCGUGACCCCAAUGUAAAGAAAUAUAGACCAUUAUUAGCUAGUAAAUUUUUUUAAUUUAGAUUUUUUGCUUUUAAAAUUUUAUUUUGUUUUGGUCUAAAAUAUCUCUGAAACAAUGUCCUUUUUCAUAUCUAUUUCCUUUUCCUUUAACAACCAAAAGUAGAAGUUCUAAAAGAAAAGGUAGAUGUUCUGAACUCUGAAUUUCUUCAUUAGAUUGCGAUAACCAAACCAUUAGCUGCACGUGUUAGAUCUUCUGUCUUAGUCCCUUGCGAUGAAUUUUUUUUUUUUUUUUUAAAAAGGAAGAAUUGACCAAACGUACCAGAACACCGAAAAUGAAAAAGGAAAAAAUAGAAAUAACCAUAAACAAAAGAAGACACGAUGUCGUUUUCACUCAUUCAUCGUCUGUUGGUUUGUCAAAUUCGUAGAUUUGCGCGUGGGUGAAAAAUUGGGUGAAAAAUUUUCAAUUGUUUCGUACCUUCCUACACCACUUCAGCAGACCAGUAUUAAGAAGAGCAGUCUGGAAAUCUGCUCUCUAAACUCUCUCUCUCUCUCUCUCUCUCCUCCUCUCGGGGCUUAUUGAGAUCUGCCUCUCUCUCUCUCUCUCUCUCUCCCCUCUUAUUCCAACGACCGAAUUGACGCCGACGAUGGGGAGGAGUUGCCGGAAUCAUUACUCCGUUCUAAUUUUAGCGGUUAUACUUCUUAGCGCUACGGAAGUGAGGUCAGAUGCGUCAGAUCACAAAUACAAAGUCUCAGAUCAGGUUCCUCUUUACGCUAACAAGGUCGGACCUUUCCAUAAUCCUAGGUAAUCUUCUUCACGUCUUGUCCACUUUUAGUGAUUUUUUCUGCUCUUGUAAGUUAAACGUUUGAUGUUAUUUGUUGAAUGGCUGCCGUAAAAUUAUGGCUAAUUGUUCCAACUAUAGUAUUUUAGAGUUUAAAUUUUGUUUGGAUUGAGUAUUCUCCGUCCUUUCUGAGAUUUUGGAGUUUUUGAUGCUUAGAAAUGCUGCAUGGAUGUGUCGGUGGAUCGCGUGUUUCAAGUUUUAUGUCAGUGGGAUUCCAGUUGGUUGGAUCUAGAGUUAAAAGCUGCAUCUUGCUUGUCUAAUUACAGUAUUGGCAGUUGUGUGGGAGAUUUUUGUUUGCUAAUUGCGCUAUUUUUUUUUAAGCUGAAGUAAUAGCUUGGAGAUUGUGAGAAUGUUAAUUGUUGCUGGUGUUUGAAUUAGUUUUGUUGCCUAUACUGCUGAACUAAAGAAAAGUUUGCAUUUUGAUGGUGUGAAAAGGGAGAUUCGGGAAGAAAAUUAGGUCCUUUUUGUUUCUGUUUUUAAACGUUGAUUGGAAGCUCUGCAAGAAUGAGGGAAAAGUGACAAGUAUUCGAUAUAAUAAUAAAUGAAUCAUCUUAAGUUGUGAAGAGUACGAAAAGUAUCAAGUUGUGGCUAAAAGAAAUAUGGUGAGAAGUACAAUACACGUAUGAUCUGGCACUUGAUACGAGUAUUCCCUGCACUUUAGCUAGUUAUCAGGAAUUAUGUGAGAAUUUAUUGCAUCUGUAUCAAUGUUUCUUUGCAGUUGGUAAAUAUGUUUGUAAGCCAUGGAAGCAGAACGUAUGCUUCCCCAAGAAAUAAGUUGAGAGGCAUUAACUUACUAGAUCAUGAAAAGAAACUUUGUCUAAUGCAAUUAUUCUGAUACUUAAAUUUGACAGACGCAUUAUAACACUUGCAACUGAGUGUAUAGGACUGUCAAAAAGAAUAGUGAUUUGCAUAUUGCUCCUUGGGGAUUUGGUCAGUUAACAAGAAGAAGAUGCUCUUUUGGUCUCUGUCUUGAUCAAUGAUCGUAUACUUGCAAGAGAUGGAGUUGGUUUCUGUUAAUAAAAUUGGUUGUUAGUGGGGUAUACAAGUAAUCUUUUUUGGUUUUAAAAUUGCAAGCUGGCAAUGUGUUGACAUAAAAUGGCUCUUUUAAUAAUUGUUUAAGAUGUAUUUGAUGCGACCUUUUGGACUUGUGGAUAGCCCAAAACUUCCAUCGUGCUUGCAAGGCUUCUGUUAGCUACAAGUCCUAUAUAGCGAAUGAUUUUGGAAUGGAGGGUUAUGUUGGUAAUUGAUCUUGUGGAGGUGCUAAAUAAAGGGCCUAUUUGCAACCUGUUCUUGUCAAUUGAAAGUAAAGUAGUUCUUGAUAAUAUUAUCUAUGAGAAUCCCAGUUGAAUAGCUAAGUUGCGACUUUGAGAAGACUUUCAGUCAACAUCUUCCAUCUAUAAAAGACUUCUCUAGUGACACCCUUCUCUCAAUUUAUGAGCUUGCAAAAUUCAGUAUGAAAUUAUGUGUAUAUAUUCUGUUUAUUUUACUUGAGUUUCAUUUCUGACUUUAAACUCUUCCCCCCCCUGUAUGUUGUAGUGAAACCUACCGGUAUUUCGAUCUUCCGUUCUGUUUACCAGGUAUCAAGAUGAUCGCUUUUAUUCUUCUUCCAUUAGUUGUUUAUCUUUUUUCCUUAGUGAAGGCUUGAUUCUUGAUGUAUAAUGCUUGCAGCUCAGGUGAAAGAGAAAAAGGAAGCACUUGGUGAAGUUUUGAAUGGUGAUCGUUUAGUUGUUGCUCCAUAUAAUCUGGAAUUUUUGCAUGAUAAAGAGUCUGAAGUUGUUUGCAAAAAGAAGUUGUCAAAGGAAGAAGUUGCUCAAUUUCGAAAUGCUGUCUCAAAAGACUACUACUUCGAGAUGUACUAUGAUGACUUGCCUUUGUGGGGUUUCUUGGGGAAGGUUGAAAAGACUGGCAAAACUGAUCCAAGCGAGUACAAGUAUUACUUAUUUAAGAAUAUCCAUUUUGAAAUCUUAUACAAAAAGGAUCGUGUUAUUGAGAUCAAUGCACGAACUGACCCUGGUUCUAUAGUGGAUAUAACUGAUGAUAAGGAAGUGGAUGUGGAAUUCAUGUACUCCGUCAAAUGGAAGGAAACUACUACCCCUUUUGAAAAGAGGAUGGAGAAAUAUUCUCAUUCAUCUUCCUUACCACAUCACUUGGAAAUUCAUUGGUUCUCAAUUAUCAAUUCAUGUGUCACAGUUCUCCUCUUAACUGGUUUUCUGGCCACAAUUUUGAUGCGAGUCCUUAAGAAUGAUUUUGUUAAGUAAGUACAACUUAUUAUUUGUGACCCAUUCAUGUUAUACAAAUUCAUUUGUGCUGCUUGACUGUCUUUUACUGUUUGUCCUGAUGGAUAAAUGCUCUGUAAUAAUAUUUGGUGUUUAUUGAAAGAUACGAGCACGAUGAGGAGACGGCUGAUGACCAAGAAGAAACUGGGUGGAAGUAUAUUCAUGGUGAUGUCUUCAGAUUCCCUAAAUACAAAUCCUUGCUUGCUGCUUCCCUUGGAUCUGGUUCUCAGCUAUUUACCCUGUAAGUUAGUCUUUGGAGUUUUGUCUCAUAGUAUUAUGCAACUCAAGCAAGUUUCUUUUAACUCCGUGGUGCCAGAAGGUGGUGAAGUUAAUUGUGCACUUUUCCAUUUCAGAACAAUCUUUAUAUUUAUUCUUGCUCUUGUUGGUGUAUUUUACCCUUAUAACCGAGGAGCUCUCUUCACUGCAUUGGUGGUCAUAUAUGCACUUACUUCUGGAAUUGCUGGCUAUACUGCAGCCUCUUUCUAUUGCCAGCUUGAGGGAACCAAUUGGGUAUGUAACUCAUACUUUUGGCUAGUAUAAGAAUUGUUUUGUGAUCUUUUUAGUUUAGAAUUGUAUCACUGUAAUUUCAUCAUCAUCAUCAUCUUCUUCUUCUUCUUGUUCCUCUUUUUUUGGGUUUUUGGGUAUGCAUGUUAAUUUGGGGAGACUUGUGUAUUGUAUGUCUUGGAAGCAUGAUGUAGCUCUUCCCUGGUUUGGAACUUGCGAACAUUUUUGCACAUCCAAUUUUGCAGUCCUUCAAUUUGGAAACUUAUUACUUUUCAGUAAAUGGUCCAUAAGAAUUCUCUCGGGGAUGGAGCUUUAAAAUGUUAGGGUACAUAUGGAAGUGUUUCCUCUGUUUUUGUGCUUGGAUCCAUAAAUUUCUAACUUUUGAAGAAGAUGAGAACUAUGCUGCAAUUGCAUCUUUGUGUUUUUGAAAGUGUCAUUAUUUUCACACUAAAUAACUGGAUCGCAUGUUAUAACGGACAAAACAUCUCCAUCAGUUAUUUCUCUUUUUCUUCCAAGCUGUUGCACACAAUCAAUGUGGUGGUAAGAAUUUGCAUCACUCAUAGAAGCUAUGACUAAUUAUUCUCAUUUUCUUUUCCCCCUUCUACAGGUUAGAAACUUGUUGUUGACUGGAGGCCUGUUUUGUGGACCGCUGUUUUUAACAUUUUGCUUCCUCAACACUGUUGCUAUUGCUUACAGUGCCACUGCAGCACUUCCAUUUGGUACUAUUGUGGUCAUAUUUCUCAUAUGGGCCCUUGUCACAUCACCUUUGCUAGUCUUAGGUGGGAUUGCAGGAAAGAAUAGCAAGGCAGAGUUUCAAGCUCCAUGUCGUACGACAAAAUACCCAAGAGAGAUCCCACCAUUGCCUUGGUACCGUGGAACUCUACCUCAGAUGGCAAUGGCAGGUUUCUUGCCUUUCAGUGCCAUAUACAUUGAGCUCUACUACAUAUUUGCUAGUGUUUGGGGUCACAGGAUUUACACCAUCUACAGCAUCUUAUUCAUAGUCUUCAUUAUUCUCCUGAUUGUCACUGCAUUCAUCACUGUGGCUCUUACAUAUUUUCAACUUGCUGCUGAAGACCAUGAAUGGUGGUGGAGGUAUGUUUUCCGACUUAAAUCUUUAUUGACUAAAUUUGCAAUACUUGUUUUUAGUUGAUUAAAGUUUGUUUCUCAUGAUGUUUUCUGGCAAUGGAUGUCUAAAUCAAGGGCUCCUUGUCACACCAGAUAGUUUAAAGUAUAUGGUUGAUUGUCUAAAUCAUGUGUGAAGUACCGCAUGAUGUUUUCUGAUAGUUCUAUUUGAUAUGAAUAAUAGUUUCCGGCAAGUCCAACAUAUGGUAGCCUAGCCAGGAGGAUGCCAAUUUUUCUUGAUUUCACUUUUUUGGAUAUCUCAAUUUUGAAUUUGACUUACAACAUAUAUCUAAUUAAGUUCAUUUUGAAAUUGGUAAUGCAUUUCAUGAUGAUCUAUUAGAUUAUUAAAGUAAGUUAUAAAGCUUCGAGGCUUGCUAGAAAAAUGAUUCAUAGAUUGAUCAAAGCGGACCAAAGUAAUCAAUUGAUUUCUCUAUAUAUGAAGUUGUUUUGUGCUGUAGAAGGGAUAGAAAAUUUUAGUGUGCAUAAAGACACAGUUUAAUCAUUUUAAUUGGUAUUGACAAUGAGUGAUGACUAUGAUUAAGGUGUCUGGUCCUAGAGAAAAAGAGAGAGAGAACGACAAACUUUAAUACCAUCAUAUUAUAGUAAUGUUCGGUGAAUUGGUAAAAGAUAUGUGAAAUUGCAGUUAGACUUUUGUUUAUUGGCUUGCGGAAGCAUAUCUGUGAAGGUUCUGUCUAACAUCAAUUAAGGCUAAGUAAUGAGUAACUUUUACUUUCGUGGUUUCGUGUUCUCAUCCCAAGCUAUUUGGAUUCUGUUGCCUUCAGAUCUUUUCUUUGCGGUGGCUCAACUGGGUUGUUCAUCUAUGGAUACUGCCUCUAUUACUAUUAUGCGCGAUCAGACAUGUCUGGCUUCAUGCAAACGUCAUUUUUCUUUGGUUACAUGGCUUGCGUUUGCUAUGCCUUCUUUCUCAUGCUGGGGACCGUUGGUUUCCGUGCGGCAUUGUUCUUUGUCCGCCACAUAUAUCGCUCAAUCAAGUGUGAAUAAGAUGUUGGGUGAUCAAUCGUCCAUAUUCACUAGGUAUGUUUUCCUCUGUAGAAAAUUUGUUGGGUUUCUGUAAAAUGUGAGAAUAUGUUGUUGGAAGACUCUGACGAGUAGAAGCGGGAAUGCGAUGCCAUGUCCUCUCAGGUCUUUGUCAAAGGCAAACUGUUGAGUGCAGCUGAGUGGUCACACAUUGCAUGAUUUUCCAGCUGGAUUAGAUACAAUUUGGGUAACCAUUGAAAUAGGAGAAAUAUUUUAGGAGAAAGCCAGAGUGAGUCAAGAGGCAGCAGCCAGGGUUAUGCGGAAGCAGACUGAGGUUAUUUUGUUGACAACUAAAUAAUUGGUGUCUAAAGUAUAAAUUAGGUUUUUUUUUGGGUCUCCUUUUCUUUUUUUAUUGAAUUUUAUGUACCAAUAGAAACUGUAGUGUGUGAAACAAUGAUAAUUGCAUGCCGCCUCAAUUUUGCAUCUAAGAGUUGUUCAAUUCUUUUGAACCCCCACCAGAAAAGGGCAUUGCUUUCGCUGAUUCUGUACGUCGUGCGUCCAUACAUAGCUCGCUACUUUCUUACCUUCGUUUUCACUCUUACUGCCUUUUGACACAAAAUCUCCGGAUUCAUGUUUCCUGCUUCUUCUGUGAUUAUCAACUCUUCUAACUUUAGUAACAAAGCAAAUCAGGAGUUCUAAGCGGCCCUCAAAUUAAAGACACCUUGUUUGUGCCACACACACACUAUAUACAUAUAUACAUAUAUAUAUAUAUGUAUACGGUGGGGUUGGUGACCCGGUUUUACUGAAGCCGGAAAGUUAAUUAGGAAUUCGGUCUUGGGGGUCUUGUUGUUUAGCUAUUGAAUGGAAGAACCAUUUGUUUGACGAGACGAGACUUUAGUUAAUGGCGCAAGCAAGUUGUCUGAAAAGCAUACAAUUAUCCUCAAAUAAACGUACGCGCCAUUGAUAACUUGAACUUGCAUCAAGGAAAGAAGCUGAUAAAAGUGAUGAAGUCCUUAUUAUUGUUCGUUUUAUUUUUUUGGGUCACAUUGGAAUUUUUUGCUAUUCUGAAGUCAACUAACAUUUGAUUUUUAAGAGACAAAGUCUUUGUUAUGAAUAAUUAUUUUAAUUGUUUGAAGACAAAUAACGUCCCAAGCUUAAAUUCAAUGUAGUAGCGGGGAAAUGAAUAUAUGAUCCGAAGUAAUAAGCAAAUAUCGAAAAACAUAAUUACAAAAAGUAUCAAAAACUAGACCCCUGUAAUUUUAUAUGCAGCUCAAAAAGAACAAACAGAAUGAAUGGAAAAAGAGAACUCACAAUCCACCUGAAAUGCUCCCAUUGAAGAUCUCAAUGGUAUCUCCUUGAACGACAUGGUGCCAUCUAAAUGAUCGAUCAUCAUCCAUCACAUUUUGUUUGUAAAUGAAGAAAUAUCCUUCUUGUGGAAGAUUCAAAUCCAGGUUGUGGUUUAACUUUUGAAGCUCGUUUCUGAGUUGUCCAACAUUAUCAGAAGGGCUCACUUCCACAGGGAUCUUCCUCGUUCCGCACUUUGUCAAGACCAUAAUCUUCAUCUUCUUCGAUCCACUGGAAUUCCCCACCGACGAUCCUGAUGAAGUCGUAGACGAUGAUGGCCUAAUACUAACAUCAAUUUCUGAGUGAUCAAAAAGCUCACAUUCAACUAGACUUCGAUGAUCUUGCAAUUCAACACCGCCUGCUCCUGCAUGAAUGAUUAACCUGCCAACCGGAAUGCCUUCCAUCUCAUGAAUCUUCUCUUUCAGCCUUCUGAUACUGUCAUUGACGUCCAUCUCCACCGCAACACCAAGUUUGGACGCUGGCAUCUUGACGAGAAGCUGGAUUUUCUUGGAGGAGGGCGACAAUGAAAACUCGUGUUCCAAUUUAACAACAUUGUUAGUAGCACAAGUAUUAUUAGUAUUAAGUUUUUCGGGAUCAGAAGCCACAACAAGUUGAAUGCAAGAGCGAUCAAGGAUUUCUGAGGAGUGGACAUUGAGUUCAUCAUUGAGAACGUCGCCAUUGAAGAUUAAGGAUUGUUUAGAAAUGGGGAUUCCUUGGUGCUUUUGGAUCUUCUCUUUGAUCUCAAGCACGGUAUCAAAAUAACCUAUUUCAAUGGAGAAUGACCUGCCUCUUGUGGGUUGAAAGAUCAAAUCCAUUUUUAGUUGUUGUCAAUGAUAAUAGAUAGAAGGGAGUAGUACGUUAUAAUAUCAAGUGAGUGUGCUGUAACAGUAUCCGAUAUUUGCCUAACCGUUAUUAGAUAUGGAUAUCUAUAUUCAACUUUGUUGGGCUGUAGUCAAAGGCAAAUGCCCCUGUGACCUCCUUUUUUUUUCUUUUUCUUUUUUUUUUUCAAAUACAAAAAAGUGUGUGUGUGGGAGUGGGUUUAACCCCGAUUAUCAAUUAUCACGGCGGAUAGGACUCCGUUCACAAAUAACUUACAAGGAAUCGUCCAUCAAUGUCGUUCUCCCAUCAAUCAACCGUGCAAUCACUCGUGCAAUCCGAUGAACGCAGUCCUUGCAUCAGAUCGGCAGUGCGAUUGAAACCUCUAAUAUCUGAUGAACACAAUCCUCGUAUUGACUCCAACUUCUGAUGUCCCGUCCCAUGAAAUUCUGAUGUUGCGCAGUUCUUUAGUUUGGCGGCGGUUAUUUGGCUUUAUAUUCUAAAUACAUGGCCAUAAUGCAAUUGUUUGUUUCAAUCUUUUUCAUUGAUACGUACCCUUUAAAACUUCAAAUUGUUUUUUUUCUAGAAUUUCAAUAAAUCCAAAGAUAAACCGCUGGAUACAAAAGUAUGUUCUGAUUCAUAGACUGAUAAAAGGAACAUAUGACGUGAACCCAAAAAAGGAAAAAAAUAUUCAAUGGAUACAAUUCGUAUUUGGAAAUCAAGAUUUAACAUGAAAAUCUUGUGCAGUGCACAUGAUAAUCCAAUUUUAAGCAUUAAUAUAAUACCGGCUGAAGAUUUAGUUACUCUAAAGAGUAGUCAAUAAUUGACACAAAAAAAAAAAAAGAUUGCUUGAACACUAGCUAUUUUUUUUUUUUUUUUGUACAUAUGGUGCAAAUUAAGAGAAAAUGUGAUUUAGUUUGAUCUUGAAAAUUUAUCGAAUAAAUCAUAUUGGCAUGGUGAUUUUAUUUUAAAUCUUUAUCAUAUAUUUUUGCAAAUCCUAGCAACUGUGUACACUGUAGCAAUAAUAAUUCUUUUGCACAAUUGCAUUUAGAAUUAAUUUUCUAUACACUGACGGUGUGUAAAUUCACCGUUGGAUACAUGACAACUAAUUUGAAUUUGAAAUCUAAAUCUUACAUAUGUGUCAUACAUCCAAUCAUGAUAUUAUGUACAUUGUACAUAACAUUAAUUCUUAGAUUUAUGCCACAUUUGUUAGUAGAUGUCAUAAAAUCUUAAAUGGUUUCUAUAUUAGCAUGUUAACCAGCUGUGCAUGUAAGAUAGACUUCAAUUAAAUUUAACUUCACCAAAAAUGUUCUCAAUUACUUUUGUGCUUGACAAUAUAUUUAGCAUAAGAUUAGAGGUAUAUGGUGUUCAUCAAAAUUAGAAACUCAAUUUAAUCACUAGCACUCGAAGGAGCAAAGUGACUGGAGAAAAUUAAAGAAAAGAAAAGUAGUCUUUACUCUGUAUGCUAGAUGGAUAAUUUUUUAUGAGGUGUACAAUAUUGUUCAUCUUAUGACUUGCUUUUCAAUGAUUUAUAAAGUCCCUUUCUGCUUUAUUAUACCAGAAAAACUUUGGUCUGAUAGGUUAAGGAUGUCGUACUUAAAUUAUUUUAGACGAGAGAAUAUGAAACUUUCUUUUUUCUUUUGUCAAAGGACAGGAUGAAAAAGAGUACCUAAGGUUCAAAAUUAAAAUGUUUCAAUCAUGGAUACCUUUUUUUUUUUUUUUUUUUAAUGAGAUGUACGAACUUGUUCAUCUUUUCACUUGCUCUUUAACGAUUCAUAUAAGUCCCUUUCUGAAUUAGUAUAUGAGAGAAUACUUGUCAUGUGAAAUUCGGGGUUUUAUACUUAAAUAAUUUCAGAUGAAAGAACAUGAAAUCUUUUUCUCUUUUUUUUUUUUUUUUUUUUUUGUCUUGUUAAAGAAAAGAAAGAUAAAGAAUACCUGAGGUUCAAAGUAAAAAUGCUUAGGAAAAUUUAGGGAAAAGAUAAUUUGAUAAGUUUUGUGCAAUUCAAACUUGGAAAGAGCCCCUAAAUCUGCAUAAUCCUUUAUCUAUUAAAGUUAUAAUAGUUUUUGUUGGAAAGUGUUAGCAUAGAGGCAAAGGUUGUCUCUUACCAAAGUUAAGGAGCAUUUAGCAAUUAGCAUUCGUAAGUGUUUUUGCUCCAUUGACCAAAACUAUAUUGGACGUAUCAAAGCCGCUUCCUGGCUACUAACAUAAAAAUCAGGGGAAACUUCAGAUUUUUGCUAUUAAACUUCAGUUCUCUUACUUCAGAUUUCAGUAUCCUCAAAUUUCAACUUGCAUUUAGGCCCAAUAGACUUUCUACCCUUGCAAAGAAGCAUGAAAGCAAGUCCUAGUCAGUUAAUUCCAGAUUGUAGCAGGCAACAAACCUGAGAUUAUAAAUCACCUAACAAAGGUGAAUCAACCAUUUGGUUGUUUCUUCUCAUCACAAGACCGAUAAACAUGCAAACCACACACGAAGAAAAACGAAAAAGAAAUUAUAGUCGUCAGAGGGCUUGACGAUUGAUCACUCUGAUCAGUCUUUAGUUCGUUGAAAUAAAUUGAGCACUGAAACUUCGCUAGAACAGAAUAAAUCAUUCAACAAAUCUAAUAUACAUGCAGUCCUUCCCCACUGCAUAUUCAUGAAAGGCAAUGGCAUAACUGAUAUUGUGUGGUCUAGUCUGGAAAUAUCAGAUUGAAUGUCAUCAAGAAGGGUGAGAAAAACUAGAGGAAAGAGAUAGAAGCUUCAUCAAAGGAAGAGAGCCAAUCUGGUACAAGUCGAUCCACGAAGCUAAUACGCGGGCAAAGAAAACAGUGCUCGCACUACCUCCAAGUAGAACCACCAAGUCUAAUAACCUCCUCAGUGCCACUAUCCCUAUUAGGCCCCCUGUCCUUGCCCGUGUCCUCCUUUUGAUUGCCCAAAUCGCCAUAUAUAUCUUUAAGUUUGGCCAGAUUGCUGGAUGCAGUAGUCUUCUCCUUGUUCCCAUCUCGAGGUGAACUACGAUGAUCACCAUGCAUACUAUGCUCGUACAUGCUUUGACUUCUGCUCCUGCUUCUGCUCCUGCUCCUGCUCCUACGGGAACUACCUUCACUAUAAUGUCGGCUGCCAUCACGGCUCCUCCUCUCAUAAUCCCUUCCACUUUCCCGGGACCGUCGAUCAUAGUCAUACCUUCUGUCUCUAUCUCUGUCACUGUCCCUGUCCCGCUCCCUAUCCCGAUAUCGUUCCCUGUCCCUGUCCCGGUCCCGGUCCCUGCCACGAUCCCUAUCUAUAUAAUCCCGGUCAGACAACUCACGGCUUUGGCUUCGGCGACCACUGGGGGAACGUCUUGAACCAUCGUCUCUAUCAUAUGAUGGUGGUGGUAUGGUGCGUCGGACAGGAGAUGAAUCUCUAGUUGAUGCACGAUGUGGAGCACGCUGACCAAAAGAGACGGAGAGAGCAGCCUUAACAGAUGGUGGCCGACGGGCAGUUUCAUCAGAUCCACGUGUUGAUUCCCCAGUGGUACCACAAUGCUUGGUUGGAAGCUUCAGUUUUUCGAGAUUGGAUACAACAGAGCGCAUCACAGGAACAGGGAUGCGAGGAAAAAGAGUAUCAAAAUAGUACUGCAAUUAAAAGUUGUCCGAUUAAGUACUUGCAUUGAAAGUCAAAUUCAACAAAUGCAACACUAUAUUAUGCUUUCAACUCAAACAAUUCAGCACUACUGUAGCAGUGAUUCUCACAAACAUUUAGUCCAAGAAGGGAUUUGUGCAAGCAACCUGUAGCAUAAUUAUCUAGGAAUUGAAAGGGUUAAGAAUUCCUCUGGUCAGAAUCAAGCUCAAGUAAACAGAAGUAUAUUGCUUGAACCUUCAAAAUCAAGUACAUGAGUAUGCUCAUCAGCCUCAUUUUCAAGUCCUCCAGACCUGCCUAACUACAGUAUAUACAUUAAUCAUAGUUAAAUCUUCUUUCAGAAUUUUGAACGUUACAAACAUUGCAACAAAUUAAAGAAGAAAGUAGGGUAAUAGCAAUGCGUCACACUAACAUUCAUGGCCUCUAGCUCAGAAAAAAUGAACUUUAGACAACUCUCCCAAUCUGCCUAAAGAGGCUAAGCAUAAAAGCAUUUAGACAGUAAGAUAAUCACAGUUGCAAUCCAAGGACAUCAGAAAAGAAUGGUAUGGCACCUGACCUGUCCAAGAAGCAAGUCCCUAAUAUAAACACCCAUUGUAGUCAUGCGACCAUUGGAUCCAGGAGCAAAUUCCUGAAAAAGGAAACUAGCUAUAAAACAACACAGACAUAAAACACCCAAAAAACCUCAACACGAAAGGAGGUAGUAGACAUAUUAGCACUAGAUAUCUACCAAAAGAACAAUUACAUCAUACAGCAUUAAAAGCUUUUAUAAGACAUUUGAGAUUCGUUUCACAAGAUAUGUACUGUAAGUUUUAGAAGAAUCUUAAUUUUUUAAACCACAUAUUUAUUCAAGUUGCAAAAGGUAAAAUCAACUUAUCCCAAAAAAGAAGCCCAAAAGAUAAAAAUCAACAGCUGCAUGACCACCUAAUAAAAGAAGACCACCUAAGCAGCAAAGAAAGAGUUACACUUGCACCCAGCAAAAUCUGUAAUAGCACAUUGAAGAUGUGGACAACAACCAACACAUGAACAAGCAACAUGUGCGCGCUCUGCAAGAACACCUUGUACAUCACAUCGAGCACAAAAAUGCCAGAACAAAGAAUUUGAUUAAUCAACUAAAAGAAAGCAUUUUUACAUGAGGGGACACCAUAGGGAGAGUGGGAGAUGCAUUAACCAAUUACAACUUCAAAAUAUUCAUAAGUCAAAAACACAUGAAAAAGGUAUUUGACUGAAUUUAAAGGAUUAGUCCCUUUGAUUCCAUUAUGUGUCUUCAAGAGAGAAGAGGGGAAAGAAGAAUGGCGAAAGGGGUGGUGAAAGAUGAACCUCACUCCAAAACAAAUAAGCAAGGCCCUUGAUGACUAGCUAUCAUUGGUUUUCUUCUUCCAAAAAAAAUUUUCAGAACAUUUCUAACUAACGUUCACAAAUCAUAAGCUACAGAAGUUCAAAAAUUGCAUCUACUGCAAAAAUUAGAGAUGUUAAAUUCCCCCAAGAGGGAAACAAGUCAAUUGGGACUUCAAAUCAUGUAACCAAAGUCAAGCCAAAGUGUCAGAAGAUCCAAAGUGUCAGAAGUCAGAAAUGCACCUGGUGCAUACCUCAUCAUCCUUGAUAAAUGGUUCAUACCAGUUCCAUAGAGUCUUUGGAUCAGCAUAAUAUCUUAGGUAAAGAAACCCAACCUGCAAAAGCAAUAACUUGCAUUACUUUACCUGACUAAUAUCAUAGAUAGGAAUGCAAAUAUAUCUCUAAUAUCAGUGAUAACUCAAAACGAAAUUAAAAUACAUGUCAACAUGAUAUGCGAUUUUCAUAAUGUAAGAAAGCUAGGAAAACCAUUUUGUGAUCCAAUCUGCACCCUCCAGUUAAUGCAGCAAAAUAAAUUGCUACCCUCCAGCCCUUAGCUAAUUUGUACUUCAUCACAAAAUAUUUGUUACCAUUGAAAGCAAAACAAAUUUUCUGAGUAUAAUACUCUGUAUAUCUACUGAAAUAAGAAACAACUAAAGAGAUAGGAGAAAAAAAUCAGAAAAAAUAAAAAAUGUGAAGGUGGAUUUGGUAGCAAAGAGCCAAAAGCAAUCAUGUCUUCAAGCUAUUUCAUGCUGGAACUAUUACCACUUUCUAUUCUCAUAUUUGCUGCCAAGCAUCAUCAAGCAUUGGAGAGACCCAAAAAGAGCCUGGCUGUCUCACACUGAUGUAGCAAAAACACCAACAUUAGAUGAAAAUUAGGUCAAUUUCUAAUUGAUCAAUUCUGUGAUGCCAUCUAAUUGAGCUGAGUAUUACAGAGGGAAACAGAAAAAGAAAAGAUGCUGCUUCCAUGCUUCUGCAUUUCAACAUCAUUCACAAAAUGCCAAAAUAUCAUAGAAAAUUACAAAGAAAGAGAAAACAUUGAACAGACAACUUUUCAACAAAAAGAUUACAUCAUUAUGAAAGAAGUAUACUUAGCCAACAAUUUCCCCCAAGCUAUUCCUUAAAUGACCUAGCCAAUAUUAGUUACUACAAGAGCUAGCAAAUCCACCAUUAGCACCACAUGAUAUACUAUGAAAAUAUACUUGUCAAUAGGAUAGAUGUUAACCAACUCCAAAACUUCCAUGUUCAACACAUACAGUUUCCCUAAGGUAGUGGCAAAAAAUUAGUUCACUUAAAAACAACAUCUUCUCAACCAAAGUAAUGCACAGCAACAAAAGCAAUCAAUACAGGUUGAGAACCAGUACUUACAGCUCUGAUAUAGGGAGAGUCUGGGUGCUUCAAGAGACCGUGCAUUUGCUUGACAGUGAGCUUCAUAGUAAAAAAUUUAUAUAGAAGGCAGAAUGCUGUAGAAGGACCACGACAAUUGCCAGUCAUCCAUGGCUCCACAUGAUCAACUUGAUUGUAGAUCUCAUCUAUCACUUCAUGGUAAGUUUUUAAUCUCAAAAGGUCUCUGAAGUAAUCAGAAGAAAGAAUAUUCAUGCAAAGGACUUUCUCCAACAAUUGAUCAAUUGGCCUGCCAGAGGUCUGUAUCUCCGCCAUAUAUAUAUAAUUUUAUCAAUUCCAGCCUAUAAAUAAAUUAAUUGAAAAUUUGUUACUCAGCAUGCAAUCAUACGCAAAUGUCCGCAUAAUGAGCAAAGAAAGACUCAUUGCUAAAGCAAAAGAAACAAAACACUAAUGAAAUAGUGAAACCAUUAAGCUACUUCAAAAACUUUGAGAUAGCAAAGGAGAAGACAAAAAGUUUAAUUAAAAUAAUUCAAAAUAAGAAGUGAGUGAGGAUUUAUUACACACAAAGUAUCACAAAUUAGACUAUUACGCAGAACCUUUUAGUUUUAAACAUCACAUUAAUAGGAGAAAUAUAUGAAGAUGAUUUCUUUCAUAUUCUCUUUUCCUCUUCUUCUGUCCUUCACCAACUCCAAGAUCCAAUUUGGACCUAGACUAUCCACUCAAGUGCAAAAGAACCCCAUAAAUGCAACUAAAGAACAGCUCCAAAAUCACACCUCUGCCAGAGCUCUCAAAUUUAGAUUCAAAGACAAGAAAAUUUUCCAAAGUUGUUCGAAAUACCACAGAAGAAAAACAAAUAUCCCCUCCCAUAGACGCCCUGUAAUAUUACGUUUGGCAAAGGGACUAAAACAGACUAGACUUAAACUUCAAAAAACGAAAACAAAAAGCUGAAGAUUGAUCCCAGAAGUCGAGCUAAUCCGAAAACUUCCAUCUGCACAGCUCAAAUUCCAACCCCGACAGCACAAUUUCCAGCUAAUUCAAACAAUAUGGAAGCUCGAGAAAAAAAAAUUUACAGAAGAUAUGAUAAAUUUAAUUGAAAAACAAAUUCAAGCAUAUAACACGGUUCCCCCGAAGACCCAGACUUAAAAAUCAAUCCUUUUCAUUAAAGAUCCAAUUCAUAACCCAAAAAUUCGUCCUAAAAUUCCUCAAACAGCUAAACAAAGAAACCCUAAAAUUAUAGGUGAAAAACGCAUACCUCCUACAAGAUAGGGAGACAAAGAAUGAAAUUGCUCAAGAAAUCAAGGUUUUUAUUACGCGUUAUUCAACGAUAUUAAAUGAAAAGUUGCUAAUAGCCUACCACGGCACGGUGGGAGGAGGCUGAGAGAGCGGCGGCGGCGGCGGCGGUGGCGGUGGCGUUGGGAGUGAGAUUUUGGGGCUCCGACUCCGACCGAUAAUUGCUUACCCUUUUUAGGGCAUAGCCUUGAUGGCGUUUAAUUCAGAGCCUUUUACUUUUAUUUGUAAGUUGCACUAAAAGCGUGCCCGUGCACGUGCUUUCUUCAAAGCGUGUAUGGCCUGGAGUCGAGAUUUUUUAUACAUUUAGCCCCAAAAGGAAAGAUGGUAUGAUUUACAAUACACUACUAAACUCCCUAUGUGUCUCACUCUGUCCCCAUGUUCUUUGAAUUGCAACAUUUGAGUUUGAUAAAUUACAUUCAUCAUAUUUCUGUCAUUCUGCUUUGGAAGCAAGAGAUUGCCAACCAUAGAAAUCAGUCCAACUUUCAAAAUUCUUUAAUUUCAUGAUCUGGUUGUUUGGGUAGUAAUCAUACAAGAUUUUUUUUUUCUUAAUUUUACAUUUUUGUUUUAUUUCUUGGUUUCAAACACCAAUUACACGACCACUUCUGAUCAUUUUCACAACGUAAAGAUAGAUAGAAUUGAGUGAAAGAAAGUGUUUAAAUUUCUAAUUGAUGUAAAUAAAGUCCUCUGGCUCUAGUACAAUGUUGUUCCAUUAUUCAACAAACUCUGCAAAUCCCACAAUUUCUGUGAACUAUGUUUUGUACAUCAAUCCGCGAAAUAAAGAGUCUAUAUAAACAGCCUACAAAAAGUUACUGAAGCGAAUCAAAACCACCCAAAUUCAGUAGCUUAAGUUGUUGCAGGAGCUGAUCUCAGUUACUUAUUGUGUUAAAAAUUGGGAAGUUCAUUCUGCGAGAGAUGCAGCUCGUAGCGGAACACUAGCCACUCACUAGCUUCAGCCUUGGCUCCUUUGGAAUUGUCAAUGGCCUUGUUGAUCUGAACAUUUUCCAAUAGUGCAGAAAUGUCAAAAAAAAAAAAGAAAAGCGGUUGUGAGGUUAUCUUCAUGCAUUGUCUGGAAGAAUAGUUUUAAGGUAUCCAUCCAUACAAUCAUAGUCAAAUGUUCAGUUAAUCUCAGUGGUGAGUAUUUACAGUUCCAGAUAAGACAUUAAAUUGAAAGAAAAGGAGAACAAUCUUCCUGUAACAAGUACUAUAUACACACACACACACACCUUUGUGGGAAGAAAGGCCUAUCAAAGUAAGGCAUCAACUGAGCUCUAGGAAUCAUCUCUUUUCUAAGCAACUUCACCUCUUCCUCCUCGAUCAUCUGUCUCAAUACUCACCAUUUGUAUUAGUUCUCCAGAAUCAUUCAAUUUAACAAAACCCAAAUCACCAUUGGUUAUCCGAGGAGAUGAUUAAUUACCUUCUGCAACUUCUCUAGUUGUCUCUUCUGUCGCUCUUCUAUGUAUAUCUUGGUCGCAACCUGCAUUUAUUUCCAUUCAUGAAGAGGGAUUCAAAUGGAAAGAUACGUCACCCUAAAAACGGAAAAAAGCAAGAGAAAUUGAAAAUAUAAUCAUCUUGCAUCUCACCGAGUAGUUGAAUAAUGCACGUUUCACAGCUCUUUCCUUGGUGUGGAGUUUGAAAUCCUGUGGCUUAGUGUUUUCUUUUGUAACCUGCAGAGACCACAUGUUGGUUCUUCAGUCAAUCGUUCAUGUUCUAUUCCUUCCUUCCUUCCUUCCAAACAAUAAUUUCCAAGAAUGAGAUGUACAUUUGUAUGUAUCUUAAGAAAUGUAAACAUGUAUAUGUGCACCUUAUUCUUGUCAACUUGGCGCUCUUUGAGCUCAUCUCUUGGCUGAAAUCAUUGACAUGAAGAUUGUGUCUAAUUAGGCAAUGAUAGAAAUCAAGUGGGGUCAUUGAAAUAUUACCAACAUAAGUUGGUGAAUUAGGUGGAAUGAUGUCAACAAUGAUUGCUUCGCCAUCCAUCUAUCUCCGUUUUGUGAAUGCUCAAUUUUUGUCGAUAACUUCGCUUCUGUCCAGUUUUACUAAUGUAUUGUAGUCUUUUUCUUGAAGAACAUUUGCUUUGCACUGUUUAAAUUAGCUCUAUUGACAAUUUCUUCCUUCCUUUUUCUUUUUUGGGUAGAAAUUGACAAUUUAUUCUACUACUAUUGUUUAAGCUAUAUAUUUUGCCGCCAGGACAUGCAGGAGCUACUCUCUUUUGCCAUCCAGUAACUAUAAAGUGGAGAAAAUUAAAUAGAAGUUAGGAUUCUUGAUUUUGUUAUUCCAGGCAUAAAAGGUGCUCAUCAGCAAAUUAAUGCUACUCCUAGAAAAGUUGUUUCAUAAAUUGAACAAAAACCACUAAAGAGCCAAAGUUAAACUUUUUUUUUUUUUUUUUUUAAUUUUCUUUGUGGGUUGAGCAAAGUUUUCGUUAGCAAAAAUGACUAUUUACUGUGCAAAUAAACUCGACUUAGAGAACAGGCAAUGGCAGCUUGCAAAAUCCUUGAAGUCCUACCCCAGAGUUGUUUCUCAGGGCCUGCAAGGGUGAUAUGUGUCUCACCACUCCUUUGCCAGUAGAUGAAACAGGAGACUGCGAUCUGCUUUUCACGAACUUAAACAAUUUGAGGGAAAAAAAAAAAAAAAGGAAUUAUACACAAGACAAAACAAAAUAGGUAGUUAGAAAAACGUUCUACCAAAAGAGAACAGCAAAAAGUAGUAGUAAUAAUUAAAGAAUCUACCUUUUGAGCAUUUUUGCUGUUGGGGCUAUCCAUUUUGAGUUGCUAUGAUCGACUGAAUCAGCAAACUCGGUUUAUAUAAAGCACAACCACGAUGAUCAUCAGGAGUGGAGUUUGGAGAUUUGUAUCUUUCUGCAACAAUUGCUUGCUGUUGAUCCAUCAGUAAAAUGCAUGAUCUAUUGUACCAAACUUUCUGAUUAAACCUCCCUCUCAAAUUUGACAUCACACACUUUUUUGUUUGUAAUUGUGUCUUCAACCUCCACAUUUUGGAUUCAUUUUAUAAUAGGAUGAUCAGAAGUAACACGUAAAGCUUGAAGAACCAUUGGCCUCAACUCUUUUCAGCGCUCCAUGCACAGGCUUAAGAUUUAAGUUAGUCAGUGACAGAUAAAAUCAAAGGCCUUUCAGAUUGGGUGACAAGUCACUCAAUUACUUGCAUGUUUCUUCGAGCUUCAUUUUGCGGAAGCUAGUGCAGUUCUGGGCUUAACGCAUUUUCCAGCUAAUUGGAAUCCGAAUGAGCUUCUUAAUUAAUUGGGAUUUGCCAUGUGUGCCUAUUAAGUGUAUAGUAAAUUCAACUAAAAUGAAUUAGCUCCAAAAUCCAACUGUGUGGGAACGAAAGAAGGUCAUUCCUCUACUGCAGACAAGGUCCCCAGGAUAACAGCUUGGAUCUGUGGCUUAAUGAAGUGUGAAGAUUUUAAUAUAGAUAUUUCCAUUUCAAAAUUUAGCUUUCGUUGCUUGAUUUCAUCAGUCGACAUGCCUUCUACAAUGAUCAAGGAUUUUGUCAUCGGUAAUUUAACUCAAAGGAUCGGAAAUUGUUUGAUCCGUAGAAAUCUUUAAUGCAGGAGCUGAACGAGCUCUAUAUAUGUUUAAGAUAAUAAGGACCAAACAUCUUCCUUGAUUAAUUAGAGCACCAAAAUCAAAUAAACACGUACAAGAAUGUUAAAUUAUGACAUAGAUAGAAGUAAUGCACGUUAAUUAAUUAGUAGUAUUAUUUUGUCAUAGAUUGUAAAUCUUCACAUUCUCACAAACUUAUAAUACCCUUUGUGAAGCAUCCUCAAAAUGAUUCUCCCAUAGGCCUGCAGCAUCCUGGUUAAUCCUGGCUAUUUCUAUUUAAGUACGAAAAUUCUCUUAAUUAGUAAUAAACUAGGCAAAAUCAGCUUCCUUGUUCCUGAUGAAUUCGACUGAUAUCAUCAUCAUCAUCAUCAUCCCUUGAGUCCAUAUACUAGCUCCCUGGUCACUAGCAUUGAAUGAUUACAUAAAUACACCCCUUAAGUGCACUCAAUUGAUUUGAUAAUGCAUCAAGGAAUGGGGAAUGAUGACAAGGAUCAUGACAAUUAAGCAACUAAGCUCAAUUUAACCACCAAGGAAUGUGAGAAUCAAGCUUUGUUAGCCGAUGCCGAACCGCCAUUAAUUACAGCCGGAGGGAGUAAAUCUAGAGGUCAUUAAAAAUUGUAAGACCACACACACACAACACAAUUCAAUUACGUAAAUCAGAAGAAGAUUAUGGAAAGAUGCUCCAGAAAUUGGUCUUUUAACAUCGCUUUCUUUCAAUAGUAAAUUGAGGGGGGAGGGACUAAGAUUUUUGACGACCUGUUAAUUAACAAGCAGGGGGAAGAGUUCAUUAUCAAGCAUUCGUUGUUUAAUCUGUUAUGUUGUGUAACCAAGGUGGAAGGUAACACUUUGGUUUCUGGUCGGUUAUUGGCUUCUUAUCAAUCGUGAUAAUAAACCAAAGGCCUGUCAUAUACCAGUUAGGUCAAUAUCCCAAAAUCAAACUGUAGUUCAAUUUGCUCAUGUUUCAAGUUAUUGAGCAUGAAUAAACUAAAUCUAUCGAUCGAUCUCAGCAAAUUCAUCAGGCACGACUAGUUUAUUCGAAAGUUCAAAUUCUAAGGAAUAAUUGUGAAAUUAACACAACAGCUAAUUUGUUAAAAAUGACAAAUAAGAUUAACAUAACAGCUCCUCGAGGUUACAAUCAAGCCAUCCUGGGCUGGCAUAAUAAAAAGCGAAUCUGCAAGAUGUGGACUUAAGAGGAUGUAUAAAUUAAUAAAUCGGGUGAAGCAAAUUAGGCCAAUCAACAUAUGUUUUUUAGUCGAGUAAAGGCUGAAAUUUUUCUUAGGUCUUUAAAUGGCUUCAGGUCAAGCCCAAAUCCGUGCAAGUAUUUGUACUUGACUUCAUAACCAAUUAGGCUCUGCUUUCUCAACAAGCAAAAAAUGCUUUCGCUGCUUCCAUUUUCAGCAAUUAUUACUGUUCAAACAGACCACAUGUUGCUUGUUCUCUGGCAAAAUUAUGCAAUCUCCAAAGGAUAAGGCUGAGUGGAUGGUCCUAAACCGGAAGAUUUACGCCAAAUGUACAUCCCGGUACUUGUAGGAAUUGUUAGAGAUAGCAGGCAUGCUCCAUAGUGGAUGGUCGUGGAUUGGAAUUUGUUGUAGAUUAAGAAGCAUAUGAGCAAAUUUUACGCUAAUAAUCAAGAUUUUUGUCGGUAAACAUCAACCAUCACAAGAAGUGUAUGUUUUGUUGGAGUUUAGAUACUGAGUUAGCGGAAGGAAGAGAGAGAAGGGAUUGUAAAAAUGUGACUUAUCAAAUUAUUUAUAAACACCAAUAAUUCUUAAUUCGGAUUAACAUCUAAAAUAUCGUAUAUUCAAAUUUCAUAAUCGAUUCGAGAGCCACGUUGAUUGAUAGUACGUAGGAAGUUACAUUAAACGUAGUAGUCUUUGAUCUCAAGCACCUAUCUUUUUAAUUUUAAAUUAUUGAUUUAUGAUUUUGAAAACUUGCCCCGACUACGGUCAAGGCCAUGGUCAAAUCAAAUAGAUUAUAGGCAUAUCAAUUGCGUACCAAGAAAAGAAAAGCAUACACAAACAAAAACCCACUCCGUCAGUAAAAAAAAAAAAAACCAGCCAAAAAAAACGAAAGAAAAUUUUUUUUUUCCAGACACCAUGAGAUGAAAGGUUCAGAUGAAGUCAGAGAAGGAGAGACAUCAUUAGGAAAAAUGGUCCAUUCUCUUCCACUGAGCACUGCCACUGGAGGGAGGAAGGAAGGCCAUUGAGCGCAUCCCUUGAAUUGUGAAAGAAUAAUAGUGGGUACGUAGUCACAAGACAUUGUUGUCAAAGACCACAAUUUGUAUGUAUACUAGUAAAACUUUUUCUUCUCCUGUGUAAUGACGACUCACACAGAUGAAUGGAUCUUCUUCAAUGGUUGCUCUUUUUCCUCUGUCUCAGUUGCGAUAAGGGUUUGCAGAGGUGAUAAAAAAGAGUGGGGCAGAGGACUGUGUGUCUUGUCUGGGGUUUGAGAGGGACAAGAGAAGCUGCAGAAACUUUCAAAUUGUGGCACUGAAAAACAUGGCGUUUUUUAUUGGGCAUUUAAAAUUCGAACAGUACUUGUGAAAGAGACACUAGAGCAACAUGGAAAAACAUAGCCUUAAUCCCAUUUCAGCUUUUUCUUUUUGGCUUUUUCUAUGGACCACUCCUCCUCCUCCUCCUCCUAGGCUCAGCACUCAUCAGUCUGUGGAGGAGCACCUGCCUGCAUGCCUAUUCUUCACAUGAAGAUCAACUGGACUUCUCUACCAUCUCCACCAUCUCCCCAGCUAGAGCUAGCUCCAUGUACAUAAGAGAUUGAUUAUAAAAAAAAAAAAAAAUUUCAAAUAAAUAUAUUGAUAGAUCAAAUGGGGUCUUUGUUUUGCUUUCUUCCUCUUUGAUGUUUUCGAAAGAUCUAAGGAUCUAAUUUUGGCCAAUACAACAAGGAAGUCAAGAAGAACAAAAGAUAACUAAAAAACAUACUAGUACUUUUUACCCUAGGGAAGGGCGGGAAUCCUUUGUCCAGCUUAAAUUUAUUCAUCUGACAUAUUCAUCUUCUGAGAGGAGGGACAACAAAAGAGGCGUUUAGAGGACAAAAGUACUGUUUAAAUUGAAGGGCAAAUGAUUCUGAAACAAAAUGUACCCGUAAAACUUGGACACUUUUGUGGUUAUGAAACUUCAGAGCUCCCCAAAUAUGUCCAUGCUCAACUCAUACUAACGGGAGAAACCUGCUCUAGACUACUGAACAAUAUAUUAUUCUAGUCAUGCCUUUUAAUUCUGGGAUACUUAUGAUUUUGGCAUUAACUUAUUUUUUCUAAAGUAAUGUAAUAAUGCAAACUCUGGACUACUGACCAGUACUCGUUUUUAUUAUUUCAUCCUCCAUUUUCCUGCUAUUCAUCCUUCUCUUCGUCAUCCUUCUCCUACUUAAAACAAAAGCAAUUAAGGAAGAAGAGUAGAAUUACGAAUGUUAUAAUUCUCUCUCUCUCUUUACCUAUAUUUCUUGUAUUUUCUAACUUCUUUGCAUUCAAGAGAAAGAAAAUUUUAAUUUUUUGUGCUUCAAGUCUCCCAACUCCUUCAGCAAGAGGGGAAAGAAGAAAUUAGGUACAAACUUGCUAGGAAGGGUAUUCAGUGGCUUCACUUUAGCUCAUCUUACUCGUUUCAACCACAAAAACAGUUUUAAAGGUACAUGCAUUUGGAUUUCAAUGAAUGACAUAAAUAUCAUCCAAAAGCAGCAUACCAGCUUUAGCAGUCAAGUAGCUGCUUUACCAUAAUGACUGUAAAAAGUAAUUGUUGACAACUAUAAACUAGUUUCCCUAUUAGUGCCGAUGUAGUUACUGUAUAGAAAUAGUAUGCUCACUUCACCAUAAACAAACAAGACAAAAUUUUCUUACAAGAUGACAUGCUAGACAUAGAUUCUCCGUUCUCUUGUGCAGUCUAAUUAAUAUAAAAUUUGUAUUAUCCAACCCAUGCUUGUUAUCUUUUAAUUAGUAAUUUAAUCAAGUUUGUUCAGUAUAAGUAUACAGUAGAACUCACGAAAUAGUAAAAACAGAUUCACAACUCAAUAAAAUUUGAUUACAUAAUCAGCAGCACGCAUUUGAAAACAAUGCAUGACACAUUCAGCUAGGCAAAUACUGAGGGCAUCAAUUUCACUAGACUAAAGCACGAGGAUCUUUACCCAUUUUUUGACAUUCUAGAAUGGAAGAUGAGAUGGAACUCUCAGCUGAGAAGGCUUCUCCUGUAUAAAAUCUCUCCUACAAGCAUUACAAGUUAUCUGCACAAAAUUAGAGC
rnacentral:lncRNA from 1 species